rnacentral:lncRNA from 1 species
UAAGUAGCGGCAAGUGAAGGGGGAAGAGCCUGGCCCCAUGCAAUCCCUUGCAUUAUGCGGUCCAUGUGUCUCGGAAGAUGUAGCCGUUUUCAAAGGGUGUCUAGCACUAUAGGGUGCGCGUAAAACUUAGAUGAAUAUUCUCGCGUCGGAACUUUGGGCUCGUAACCCUGUGAAAGAAAACUGUUGUCGUGUGUUGAUGUCAGUGUGAAGUCCAUAUUCUAGAGUGUCGUGGAUGUGUUGGCCCCCGCCUACGGGCUGUUUAUGAAACCUAUACUUGGUUGGUUGGUCCUCUAGUGACUUUGUUUUGCUGUUUCUUCUGUUUGUUUUUCUCUAUAAGCAAGUCUUGUUGUUAGUUGUUGUACCCAGAGUGUAGCCAAUCACCAUAUUUGGGCAUAUUAAACAUGUUGUUUCGGUCUGAAAUUUCAGCAUGGCCUUCUUAUAAGAGUACGACGGCACUUCCACGAGCAGUAGCCGGAGGAGGGGAAAAACAGAGGGGAUGGUCUGUGAGGUCACAUCCAGGGAUCACAAAGCUGUCGGUUCGCGAGACGACGUGAAGAGCAUCUCUGGGCUUGGGUAUGUUUGCAUUGGUAUGAAAAGUCUGGGCUAAUUAAGUCGCCAAUUACAGCUCCAACGAUGAUCGCUGGAACAUCAUACUACUCCUAGUCCACAUAGUUAUUUAGACUACCCUGAAUCACCAACUGGGCAAGAGAACAUGUGGCCAUCUUCGUCUUUGUCCUGUAGUGGCUGAUCUCACCUGUUGCAAACCAUGUUCUGAUGUGAAACUUCGGGUCUUUGAUGGUAGUAGAAACUGGUGUUAUUCAUCACCAUGGCUAGCCGAUGCUCGUACGGCCUCCCUUCCAUGACUGCUAUCGCUUCUCAUGCUGGCUCGCCAACUAGGGUAUGGUUGGUUGAUGAAAGAAAAACUCUACCACACACCAAAUUUAGAUCCCGCUUUCUUAUAUAUGUGCAAAUUUUUUGGUACAACCAUGCUCCACAUCCAACUCUAUCUUAUCUUUCCAGAGUGGAGGAAGGGGACACUUUGCGGGACUUUCAGUAGAAAAUUUUCCAUACAGAUAGAAGCACCUAUUAAAAAGAUACUCCAAAGGCUUCCGGAUCAUAGUCUCAUUAGCUGAAGAACACACAUGCUAAUCUAUAUUAAGUGCAUUCAAAUCAUGCCUUUAUUAACUAGUCCAAGGCCUCAUCAGCCACAACAUCAUAAAUACAAAGAGGAAAAACAUGAAACCAAGUUUUACACAAAUCAUUGGGGCAACCUUCCCUUGCCAUGAUGGAAUUAGCCCUAUUAGUUGUUCUUCUAUUCCACUUCACCCGAUGCUCUUCUAAAGCAGAUAACAAGUCCAUUAUGUCUUCACAGAGAGGCCCCANNNNNNNNNNNNNNNNNNNNNNNNNNNNNNNNNNNNNNNNNNNNNNNNNNNNNNNNNNNNNNNNNNNNNNNNNNNNNNNNNNNNNNNNNNNNNNNNNNNNNNNNNNNNNNNNNNNNNNNNNNNNNNNNNNNNNNNNNNNNNNNNNNNNNNNNNNNNNNNNNNNNNNNNNNNNNNNNNNNNNNNNNNNNNNNNNNNNNNNNNNNNNNNNNNNNNNNNNNNNNNNNNNNNNNNNNNNNNNNNNNNNNNNNNNNNNNNNNNNNNNNNNNNNNNNNNNNCCACACCCUGAUUGUCAUUAAUGAAUACAAUUGUUUGGUCAAAUAUGUUAUUUGAGAGUAGUUCAUGAUGGCCUUUCUAGUUGGAGAGAAUAAUUCUUUCCUUGAUGAUUUCUCUUACAAAGAUCAAGCAUAUAUAUCGAGGGAGAGAGAACCCACUCCCCUGGAACGUAGGCAUGCAGGCCAUGAGAACUAGGAGAUCCUAACAAGGGUGCAUAGACGUCCUGCACAAACGGUUCUCCGUGUUAUGGCAGGUUACAUUCUCAUGUUUUUUUACUUUACAGUGCUUACAAGUUGAGAUUUGAAAAAAUCUAGCCUAGAACAUAAGUCAUCAAAACUCAUGGCAUUUUGAAACUUUAGUCAUAAAAAGAUAUCAAAUAUCAGACACAAAAAGGGACUGCUAGACAAAAACGCAAAAAGAAUGAAAAUAAAGAAGUGGCACAAUAGUUACCGAGCGUUGAUAUGUCUCCAACGUAUCUAUAUUUUUUAUUGUUCCAUAAUAUUAUAGCCCGACAGCCCCAUCCUCUACUCCAUCGAUGCGUCCACUGGGCGAGAUCGGUGGUGUGCCAUCUGAGGGAGUCCCGGAUUAGGGGGUGUCCGGAUGACCUGACUAUGACCUUUGGCCGGACUCCUGGGCUAUGAAGAUACAAGAUUGAAGACUUCGUCCCGUGUCCGGAUGGGACUUUCCUUGGCGUGGUACGUAAGCUUGGCGCAGAUAUGUAGAUCUCCUCCCAUUGUAACCGACUCUGUGUAACCCUAGCCCUCUCCAGUGUCUAUAUAAACUGGAGGGUUUUAGUCCGUAGGACGAACAACAAUCAUACCAUAGGCUAGCUUCUAGGGUUUAGCCUCUCUGAUCUCGUGGUAGAUCUACUCUCGUACUACCCAUAUCAUCAAUAUUAAUCAAGCAGGAGUAGGGUUUUACCUCCAUCGAGAGGGCCCGAACCUGGGUAAAAACAUCAUGUCCCUUGUCUUCGUUACCAUCUGCCUAGACGCACAGUUCGGGACCCCCUACCCGAGAUCCGCCGGUUUUGACACCGACAUUGGUGCUUUCAUUGAGAGUUCCUCUGUGUCGUCAUCUUUAGGCCCGAUGGCUCCUCCGAUAAUCAACAACGAAGCGGUCCAGGGUGAGACUUUUCUCCCCGGACAGAUCUUCAUAUUCGGCGGCUUUGUGCUGCGGGUCAAUUCGCUUGGCCAUUUGGAGCAGAUCGAAAGCUAUGCCCCUGGCCAUCAGGUCAGAUUUGGAAGUUUGAACUACACGGCCGACAUCCGCGAAGACUUGAUCUUCGACGGAUUCAAGCCACAGCCGGGCGCGCCGCACUGUCACGAUGGGCAUGAUCUAACUCUGCCACCGAACAGUGUCCAGGAGGCCGCCCCAGCGUCCGCUCCGACCCUUAGCUCGAAGCCGACUACGCCAAUCGAGGACGGGUGGCUGGACACCGCCUCGGGGGCUGCAAUCCCUACGGCGAUCGAGCCGAAUACCAGCCUUGUCCUUGACGAAGCUCGUGACUCCCAGGUGCCGGACUCCUUUCCAGACUCCAAACCUUCCACGCCCCUGCCGAUCGAACCCGAUUGGGCGCCGAUCAUGGAGUUUGCUGCCGCUGACAUCUUUCAGCACUCGCCCUUCGGCGACAUUCUGAAUUCACUAAAGUCUCUCUCUUUAUCAGGAGAGCCCUGGCCGGACUAUGGUCAGCGAGGUUGGGAUGCGGACGACAAAGAAAUUCAAAUUCCACCCACCACCUACUUCGUAGCCACUGUCGAUGAUUUAACCGACAUGCUCGACUUCGACUCCGAAGACAUCGACGGUAUGGACGCCGAUGCAGGAGACGACGAAGAACCAGCGCCUAUAGAGCACUAGAAGGCCACCUCGUCAUAUGACAUAUACAUGGUGGACACCCCCAAAGAAGGGAAUGGCGAUGGAACAACGGAGGUUGACCCCUCCAAGAAGCAGCCUAAGCGCCGGCAUCAGCGGCGCCGCUCUAAAUCCCGCCAAAGCAAAAACGAUGAUUCCGGCACGGGAGAUAAUAUCACCCUGGACAGUGCCGAAGACAACCCCCUCCAGCAGGAUUCAGCACAGGAGGAUGGAGAAGCCAGCCCUCAUGAGAGAGCGGCAGACAGAGAGGUAGAGGACGAUAAUCACAUGCCUCCCUCCGAAGACAAGGCAAGCCUCGACGACGACGAAUUUAUCGUGCCUGAGGAUCCCGUCGAACAAGAGCGUUUCAAACGCAGGCUUAUGGCCACGGCGAGCAGCCUCAAGAAAAAACAGCAGCAGCUUAGAGCUGACCAAGACUUGCUAGCCGACAGAUGGACUGAAGUCCUUGCAGCCGAAGAGUACGAACUCAAACGCCCCUCCAAGAGCUACCCAAAGCGUAGGCUGCUAUACCAAUUAGAGGAGGAAGCACCUAAACCUACAUCACCAGCGCACGACGCGGCAGACCGGCCACCUCGUGGCCGCGACAGAGAGGCCUCUCGGCCAUCCACUCAAGCCGCACCCCGGCGUCGCUCAAAAAAUACCAAGGCACGGGGAAAGGUGCCAGACCUGCGAGAUAUAUUGGAGGACAAGGCAAGGCAAACAAGAUCGAUCUCCGGAUCGCGUGGGCGCCCCACGACACGUAACGAUAACCGUCAUGCCGGAUAUGGCAAAUACGGCCAGGCCAAACACAGCAGACAAAGCUCAUUUGAGCUACGACGUGAUAUAGCCCAGUACAGAGGCGCCGCACACCCACUAUGCUUCACAGAUGAAGUAAUGGAUCAUCAAAUCCCCUAGGGUUUUAAACCCGUAAACAUUGAAUCAUACGAUGGCACAACAGAUCCUGCGGUAUGGAUCGAGGACUAUCUCCUUCAUAUCCACAUGGCCCGCGGUGAUGACCUACACGCUAUCAAAUACCUCCCACUCAAGCUUAAAGGACCAGCUCGGCAUUGGCUCAAUAGCUUGCCAACAGAGUCAAUUGGUUGCUGGGAGGACCUGGAAGCCGCAUUCCUCGACAAUUUCCAGGGCACCUAUGUGCGACCACCAGACGCCGAUGACCUAAGCCACAUCAUUCAGCAGCCAGAGGAAUCGGCCAGACAAUUCUGGACAUGGUUCUUAACCAAGAAAAAUCAAAUAGUCGACUGUCCAGACGCAGAGGCCCUCGCAACCUUCAAACAUAACAUCCGUGACGAAUGGCUUGCCCGGCACCUAGGACAGGAAAAGCCGAAAUCCAUGGCAACCCUCACAACACUCAUGACCCGCUUUUGCGCGGGAGAAGACAACUGGCUAGCUCAUAGUAAUAACAUGACCAAGAGCCCUGGUAAUUCGGAUACCAAGGACAACAAUGACAGGUCGCGUCGCAACAAAUACAAGCGCCGCAUUAAUGGCGACAAUACUGAGGAUACGACAGUCAAUGCCGGAUUCCGAGGCUCCAAACCCGGUCAGCGGAAAAAGCCAUUCAAAAGAAGUACUCCGGGCCCGUCCAAUUUGGACCGAAUACUCGAUCGCUUGUGCCAGAUACACGGCACCCCUGAAAAACCAGCCAAUCACACCAACAGGGAUUGUUGGGUGUUCAAGGAGGGAGGCAAGUUAAGCGCCGAAAACAGAGACAAGGGGCUGCAUAGCGAUGACGAGGAGGAGCCCCGACCGCCGAACAAUAGGGGACAGAAGGGCUUUCCCCCACAAGUGCGGACGGUGAACAUGAUAUACGCAACCCAUAUCCCCAAAAGGGAACGGAAGCGUGCACUCAGGGACGUAUAUGCGUUGGAGCCAGUCGCCCCAAAGUUCAACCCAUGGUCCUCCUGCCCGAUCACUUUUGAUCGAAGGGACCACCCCACUAGCAUCCGCCACGGCGGAUUCACCACGUUGGUUCUAGACCCAAUCAUUGACGGAUUUCACCUCACUAGAGUCCUUAUGGACGGCGGCAACAGCCUGAACCUGCUUUAUCAGGAUACAAUGCGAGAAAUGAGCAUAGAUCCCUCAAGGAUUAAACCCACAAAGACGACCUUUAAAGGCGUCAUACCAGGUAUAGACGCCCACUGUACAGGCUCAGUUACCCUCGAAGUGGUCUUCGGAUCCCCGGAUAAUUUCCGAAGCGAGGAGUUAAUCUUCGACAUAGUCCCGUUCCGCAACGGCUAUCACGCGCUGCUCGGACGAACCGCAUUUCCAAAGUUCAAUGCGGUGCCGCACUACACAUAGCUCAAGCUCAAGAUGCCAGGCCCUCGAGGAGUCAUUACGAUUAAUGGAAACACCGAACGCUCUCUCCGAACAGAGGAGCAUACGGCGGCCCUCGCGGCGGAAGUACAAAGUAGCCUCUCAAGGCAAUUCUCCAGUCCAGCUAUUAAACGUCCAGACACCGUCAAGCGCGCCCGGAGUAACCUACAACAAGACCGCCUGGCACGUUCCGAGCAAGUGUAGCAGUGCGGCCCCAACCCCAGCCCUCGCGAAAUUGCGAAACCAGUACCACGCGUACAUAAUUACGCUCUAGAAAUAUCAUGGGCAUAGGGGGAGGGGCACAACCAUGGCACGCCCAAAAUGCGGCUUAACCGCACUAGGGGCUCCCGAUUUUGUCAUUUCUUUUUUCUUACUUUGAGGACUCCAUUCUCCGGAAGGCCUGUCCGGCAGUACAAUCGCCGAACACACGAUGCAACAGCCAGGGAGGCAGCAAGCUACGUCAAAUAUCCAGGUGGUCUCUAUAACGAGCUAAAUACCUGUCUUACAUAAAGUCUCACAGCUUUCCCUUGGAGGGGGACAUGUCAAAUAAUCCCAUCUCUUGCUUAUCGCACUAUUUGUAUCGUUCUGCUUUCACAGCAGCCUUUUAACAAACAAUGCAUAGCUCUUGUCUAUUAUUGCAUUCAUUUUUUAUGUAAAUAUGUUCAGUCAUGACAUUAUGCAACCGUACACUUUGGUACGGCCAACACACCAGGGGCUUAAGUACUCCAGAAUAUGGUGUGAGAAGUCCGAACACUCUCACGAGUGCGGCACCCCGAACUUAUAGCAUUAUAUGCAUCGGCUCCGAAUCAUGUCUUGGGUCAAUAGUUGGGUUUGCUCGGCUCCCAUGUUUUGGUACCUUACGUUCCGUUAUAUCGGCUAAGGUAGCGCUGGGAGAACUACUGCGAUUGUGCCCCAGUUGAGCUGGGUUAAGCACCUCAGUAGAGAAAGCUAAAACUGACCGUCAUGAUAGGGCGAGAGCCGGUCGCUGUUCGAGAGGUUUCGAGUCCCUAAAGACUUAUGCCGCUUAGAGCGAGGAGCUGGCUUUGUCUGGCCUAGGCGUGGAUAGCGCCCCGAACUCGGUCUUCCGAAUACUAGGGGCUUCGCCGAAAUUUAAAAUUAUAGAAUUCUAUGGCUAAGUGAGAGUGAUAAAGCAUUAUAGUCCGAUUGCCUUGUUCGUUGUGCUGAGCGCCUCCCUCGAAGCACCCAAUAAUGGGAACAAGAGCGCUCAGGUUUAUCCCGAACACCCCAGCACUCGUGGCAUGGGGGUAGAAGCCGACGACUCGCCAUCUCUCAGAUUUGAUAAAUGGCCGCACAGAAGGUAAUAUUGUAAAUUCAAAAAGCAUUGCUUAGCGCAUAUGAACAAGUCUUCAGCGCACAGGAUAACACGAGCGAGUUUACUCAAAUAUUACAUAUUUGGAACAUUCAUUCGCCACAAGGAGGGCACCCUUCAGGACACCCUCAUAAUACAUCUCGGGCUGCGAUGCUCCUUCCCCUCCGAUGGCCCAUCUGUCACCAGCUUCUCAGCAUCCAGCUUGCCCCAGUGUACUUUAGCACAGGCAAGGGCCCUACGGGCGCCUUCGAUGCAUACGGAGCGCUUGAUGACUUCAAGCCGUGGAAAGGUAUCCACCAGCCGCCUCACCAGCCCAAAGUAGCUCCCGGGCAUGACCCCCCAGGUCAUAGCCGGACUAUUAGGCCCUUCAUGGCCUGUUCGGCUACCUUAUGGAGCUCGACCAACUACUUCAGCUGGUCGCUCAAGGGCACCGGGUGUCCGGCCUCAACAUACUGGGACCAGAACACCUUGUCCGUCGAGCUCCUUUCCUCGGCUCGGUAGAAUGCGGCAGCAUCGGACACACUGCGGGGCAGAUCUGCGAAUGCUCCUGGAGAGCUCCGGACUUGGGUAAGUAACAAGUAAUUCACUUUCACGUGCUUGCUUUGCAUAAAGAAUGCCUUACUCGCCGCUAUCUUCUUCGUCGCCUCAAUUUCCUGGAGGGCUUUUUGGGCUUCGGGCUUGGCAGAUUUGGCGCUUUCAAGAGCCGAGGCAAGCUCGGACUCUCGAGUCUUUGAGUCAAGCUCCAAACUCUCGUGUUUUUCACAAGAGCGUGGAGCUCUUGCCGCAGCUCCUCCACUCGCGCUCCUCCUUUUCUUGCUCGAUGCGCUCCACGGCCGCAUUGUCUUCGGCCUUGGACAGCGCUUCCUUCAGGGUCGCCACCUCGGUUGUGGCCCCUAUAACACUCACGUUGGUCCUGUCACUAUUUGCAACCAGGUAUUUUUAUAUACUUACAUAAGGUACUACUUACCUUCCUUGUCCUCGAGCUGCUUCUUGGCAAGGCCGAGCUCGUUCUCGGACCGCUCGAGGCUCUUCUUCAAUGCAUCGACCUCCGCAGUCAGUGCGGCAGAGGUCAGCAGCACAACCUGCAUUCCCAUCUUGACAUAUUUAUGUUAGACUCCUGCGUAUAUCUUUUUAGAUCCUCAGUCCGGAUUUUCUUUCCGAACACCAAACUGAGCAUCAGAGGCUACUAUCUAUGCGGUAAUAUUUUUACAUGUCUUAAAUACAUACCUCAAAACCUGUUAGAAGGCUGGCACAGGCUUCUGUCAGCCCGCUCUUGGCGGAUUGAACCUUCUGGAUCACCGCACUCAUAAUAGUGAGGUGCUCCUCGUCGAUGGAGGCACCGUUAAGCACCUCCAGCAAAUUGUCCGGUGCCUCCGGUUGGACGGAGGACACCGGCGUCGUAGGCUUGCCCUUCUUACGAGGGGGCCGCCUGCCGGACUCCGGAACCACUGAGGGUUCCGGUGCGGUGUCCGGCCCAUGGCCGGACUUAGAUCCCUCUGGGGUUUCAUCCCCUUUGCGCCUGGAGCCCGGGAGGUCGCCUUGCGGCGCCUCCAGGACCACCUCCUCCUGGCUUAGCCCCUUUUGGGACUUCACCUCGGCAUCGUCCGCGGGGCAAGGGGAGGUAGCAGUCAGGAGUGAAAGACUAUUCACAUCUGACGAAUCCAGGGAGCCGCUCGACGAAGCGUCGAGCCGGGCCUUGGGCGGACUACAUGAUUAUAUUUGGUGUCAGAAGAUACUGUGCAAUAAAGGAACGCCAUGAGUUAUUCUGGUACCCGGAUACUUACGAUUUUGCCAGGGGCUUGGCCCUGGACGGCCACUCCUCUCCGCCGUCGUCGGCGCUGGUGGAGUAGUCCGGAAGAAGGGUCUUUCCCUUCUUGGACCCUCCGGCCUCCCCAGUUGGGGCGGCCUUCCUUUUCUUUCCUCCCCCCGUUGGAGGGGGAGAGGCUUCUUCUUCCUCCUUCUCAUUUUCGGGGGAGGAGUGCGUUUCGGGGUCGUCAGGCGAUGAAUCUGACACCACCAGGCGCCAGGAACUCUUUCGAGUUCCCGUGGCCUUCUUCUUGGCCUUCUUCUUCGGCACCAUGUGAGGUGUCGGGACCAGAAGCUUUGCCAAGCGUGCAUCUACUGGGCCUUCGGGCAAAGGAGCCGGACAGUCAAUCUGUCUGGACGUCUUCUUCCAGUCCUGUCAAAGGAGCGGGAGCUUAGAUCCCGCGUAGAGUCAAACUAUGAAAAACAAGUAUCCUGUAAAGGGUAAAACAAGCUUACUGCGCUGGCUUGGCGCUUCGCGCAGAAUCCGCGAUCCUCGGUAAUGGGAGGGGAAACCUCGGAGCCCUUGAAUAGCACCUUCCAGGCAUCUUCGUGCAUUGUGUCAAAGAGCCUGGACAAAGUUUGAUGCUGGGCCGGGUCGAACUCCCACAAGUUAAAAGCCCGUCGUUGACACGGGAGGAUCCGGCGGAAGAGCAUGACCUGGACUACGUUGACAAGUUUAACCUUCUUGUCCACCAGGUUUUGGACCCAGGUUUGGAGUCCGGUCACCUCUUCCGGAUUACCCCACGACAGGCCCAUCCCUUUUCAGGAGGUGAGCCGUGUGGGGAUGCCAGAUUGGAAUUCGGGGGCCGCUGCCCAUUCAGGGUCACGCGGCUCGGUUAUGUAGAACCACCCCGAUUGCCACCCUUUGAUGGUUUCCACAAAGGAGCCCUCGAGCCAUGUGACGUUGGGCAUCUUGCCCACCAUGGCGCCUCCGCACUCCGCUUGCCGGCCGCCCACAACUUUCGGCUUGACAUUGAAGGUCUUCAGCCAUAAGCCGAAGUGGGGCUUGAUGCGGAGGAAGACCUCGCACACGACGAUAAACGCCGAGAUGUUAAGGAUGAAUUUCAGGGCCAGAUCGUGGAAAUCCAGGCCGUAGUAGAACAUGAGCCCCCGAACAAAUGGGUGGAGUGGGAAACCCAGUCCGCGGAGCAAAUGGGGGAGGAACACCACCCUCUCAUGGGGCCUGGGGGUGGGGAUGAGCUGCCCCUCGUCUGGAAGCCGGUGCGCAAUGUUGUUGGACAAGUAUCCAGCCUUCCUCAACUUUUUGAUGUGCCCCUCCGUGACGGAGGAGGCGAUCCACCUGCCUCCCGCUCCGGACAUGGCUGGAGAAGGUCGAGGUGGGAAGUGCGGACAUGGGCGCUGGAGCUCGAGUGCGCGGAAAUGGAUAAGCGAAGGAGGAAGAGGGCGUGGAUGGAAAAGGUGGAUCCUUAUCCCCUUAUAUGAGCGGACGAAACUGUGUGCCCCCACCAGCCUGGUAAAACUCGCUUAUCUCCCAAGUGCCCUGAUUAAUGGCACGGUUGGGUUACCCAUGCCCGUAUUGAUGAGAAUCCCGGAAUAAGAGGACAUGAUCUCUGCUUUGACAAGACGUGCCAAGGAAAUCGCCUCGCUGAACGCGCUGAGGUGGGACAGUAAAACGAUUCGAAUGAAGGCUUGGCCGUGGGAUGAUGUCAUGCUACGGAAUACGUCAGCAGAUUAGAUUUGUACAAACAUUAUUCUCUCUACGGUGGUAUGUGGAACUUAUUUUGCAGAACCGACACUAUCCUUGUGUUCAAAAUCUUCUAUGAAGUAUUCGGAGGAGGAACCCGCCUUGCAAUGCUGAAGACAAUUUGCGCACCGGACUCGUUGUCAUCGAAGCCUGGUUCAGGGGCUACUGAGGGAGUCCCGGAUUAGGGGGUGUCCGGAUGACCGAACUAUAACCUUUCUCCGGACUCCUGGGCUAUGAAGAUACAAGAUUGAAGACUUCGUCCCGUGUUCGGAUGGGACUUUCCUUGGUGUGGAAGGCAAGCUUGGCGAUACGGAUAUGUAGAUCUCCUCCCAUUGUAACCGACUCUGUGUAACCCUAGCCCUCUCCGGUGUCUAUAUAAACCGGAGGGUUUUAGUCCAUAGGACGAACAACAAUCAUACCAUAGGCUAGCUUCUAGGGUUUAGCCUCUCUGAUCUCGUGGUAGAUCUACUCUUGUACUACCCAUAUCAUCAAUAUUAAUCAAGCAGGAGUAGGGUUUUACCUCCAUCGAGAGGGCCCGAACCUGGGUAAAAACAUCGUGUCCCUUGUCUGCUGUUACCAUCCGCCUACAUGCACAGUUCGGGACCCCUACAAGAGAUCCGCAGGUUUUGACACCGACACCAUCCUCACAUUAGGGGGUUCAACCCCCCAUCUCAACUGCGAUUCCUGGAUCAUCAUGGACACCUCCUCUCCACUCCAUCUCCCACAUGAUGGCCCCUCUAGCACUAGAUACUUAAUGAGUGAUGGUGGUUCACAUUUUAUUCAUGGUGCUUUUCGUAAAAUGCUUGCUAAGUAUGAUGUUAAUCAUAAAAUUGCAUCUCCAUACCAUCCACAGUCUAGCGGUCAAGUAGAAUUGAGUAAUAGAGAGAUUAAAUUGAUCUUGCAAAAGACUGUUAAUAGAUCUAGAAAGAAUAUGUCCAAGAAACUUGAUGAUGCAUUAUAGGCCUAUAGAACUGCAUAUAAAAAUCCUAUGGGCAUGUCUCCGUAUAAAAUGGUUUAUGGAAAGGCAUGUCACUUACCUCUCAAACUAGAACAUAUGGCAUAUUGGGCAAUUAAAGAGCUCAAUUAUGAUUUCAAACUUGCUGGUGAGAAGAGGCUUUUUGACAUUAUCUCACUUGAUGAAUGGGGAACCCAUGCCUAUGAGAAUGCCAAACUAUUUAAAGAAAAAGUUAAAAGGUGGCAUGACAAAAGGAUACAAAAGCGGGAGCUUAAUGUAGGUGAUUAUGUUUUGCUAUACAACUCCCGUUUAAGAUUUUUUGCAGGAAAACUUCUCUCUAAAUGGGAAGGUCCUUACGUUAUCGAGGAGGUCUAUCGUUCCGGUGCUAUCAAAAUCAACAACACUGAAGGCACAAAUCCGAAGGUGGUGAACGGUCAAAGAAUCAAACAUCAUAUCUCAGGUAAUCCCAUAAAUGUUGAAACCAAUGUUACUGACACUGUAACCCCGGAGGACUACAUAAGGGACACUUCCCAAAAUGUUUUAGACUCCAAAAGGAAUAGGUAUGUGGUACGGUAAGUAAACUGACUCCAAAACAGUUAUAAUAGCAAAUUUUCUCUGUUUUGGAAUAUUUAAAAAAUUAGGAAAAUAAGAAGUAGUCCGAAGGAGACACGAGGCAUCCACGAGGGUGGAGGGCAUGCCCUACCCCCUGGGCGCGCCCCCUGCCUCGUGGACACCUCGUGUGCCCUCCGGAUUCCGUUUUCUUGCACGAUACUUCUUUUUGUCGGUAAAAAUUCAUUAUAUAAUCUCCCAAAGGUUUUGACCAUCGAACCAUGACAAAAUCAUCUGCUUUUGUUCUGAGCGGUUUUUCUGACAGAUCUAGAUCACCAUGGCGUCUUCAAGCGCCCCCAAGGACAAGUUUUCAAGUGCCAAGGGAUGGUGGAACACGGACUCAACGCCAACCACAUGAUGGUCGCGGAGUUCACCAACAACCACAAGUUGGAUGCCAAGAACAUUGGGGAGACCAUCUUCAAGCUUCAUGAGAAAAUCGAGCACCUCCAAGCCUAGAUCUAUGACUUGCAAAACCAAAACUGUGAGUAUGAAUAUAGAUUCAAGAGGAUGAGUUUGGCUGCAGAUUUGAGGAUCCCGGAGACUCGAUCAUCCUUCUAUGAUGGUGAGCCUAUGCCCUGGAAGAUGGACCACAAGCCUACAUCAUCAACAACUCCAUCAUCACCCCCCCAAGAAAGGGACAUAAACACAUGGGUAUGGGCACUCCCCUUGGCAACUACCAAGCUUGGGGGAGCUGCCCCGGUAUCGUAUCACCAUCACAUUUCUAUCUUUACUGUUUUUCUUAGUUCGAUCCUUUUGGUUAUAUCUUGAUCUAGUAGAAUAAAGUUUUAGUUCGAUCUAGCUUUGAUUUUUGUGUUGAUACCUAUCUAUGUAAUCGAGUCCGUGAGCUAUAUAUAAUAAAGAUUAGUUUUGAGUUGAGGGCUUUGCUAUCUUGCUAUGAUAUUGAGGGAAUAAAAGAAAAAGAAAGAAUAAAAAUAAAUAAAAAGAUCAUAUUGACCUUUUGGAGAGUAAUGACUUUACACAUAAAGAGUAUGAUGAAUAAAAGUUGUUGACAGUUGACAAACAUAGUUUUGGUCAUCGUGGCAAUUAAUAGGAAGUAAUAAACAAAGAGAGGUUUUCACAUAUAAAUAUACUAUCUUGGACAUCUUUUAUGAUUGUGAGCACUCAUUAAAAUAUGACAUGCUAAAAAAUUGAUGUUGGACAAGGAAGACAACAUAAUGAGUUAUGUUUGCUUAUAUCCUAAAUAAAUUAUAUUGUCAUGGAUCAUCCAACAUGUUGAACUUGCCUUUCCCCCUCAUGUUAGCCAAAUUCUUUGCACCAAGUAGAGAUACUACUUGUGCUUACAAACAUCCCUAAACCCAGUUUUGUCAUGAGAGUCCACCAUACCUACCUAUGGAUUGAGUAAGAUCCUUCAAGUAAGUUGUCACCGGUGCAAGCAAUAAAAAUUUCUCUCUAAAUAUGUAUGAUCUAUUAGUGUGGAGAAAAUAAGCUUUAUACGAGCUUGUGAUACGGAAGAAAUAAAAGCGACAGACUGCAUAAUAAAGGUCCAUAUCACAAGUGGCAACAUAAAGUGACGUUCUUUUGCAUUAAGAUUUUGUGCAUCCAACCAUAAAAGCGCAUGACAACCUCUGCUUCCCUCUGCGAAGGGCCUAUCUUUUAUUUUUACCUUCUACCGUUAUACAAGAAUCUUGGUGAUCUUCACCUUUCCUUUUUAUACUUUAUCCUUUGGCAAGCUCUGUGUGUUGGAAAGAUCCUGAUAUAUAUAUAUCCAAUUGGAUGUGGGUUUUCAUAAAGUAUUAUUGUUGAUAUUACCCUCGAGGUAAAAGGUUGGGAGGCGAAAGUAUAAGCCCCUACCUUUCUCUCUGUCCGAUUGAAACUUCAUAUUCAUAAGUAUCGCGUGAGUUUUAGCAAUUGUGAAAGAUUAAAUGAUAAUUGAGUAUUUGGACUUGCUGAAAACCUCUUAUAUUGACUCUUUCCGAUGUUAAGAUAAAAUUGCAAUUGCUUCAAUGACUGAGAUUAUAGUUUGCUAGUUUGCAAUGAAGUUUCUGAUUCAUACUUUACAUUGUGAAUAGAUUGUUACUUUAGCAUAAGAAAUCAUAUGAAAAUAUAUAUGUUGCUGUUCUAAGAAUGAUCAUGAUGCCCUCAUGUCCGUAUUUUAUUUUAUCGUCACCUCUAUCUCUAAACAUGUGGACAUAUUUUUCGAUAUCGGCAUCCGCUUGAGGACAAGCGAGGUCUAAGCUUGGGGGAGUUGAUACGUCCAUUUUGCAUCAUGCUUUUAUAUCAAUAUUUAUUGCAUUAUGGGCUGUUACUACACAUUAUGUCACAAUACUUAUGCCUUGUCUUUCUUAUUUUACGAGGUUUACAUGAAGAGGGAGAAUGUCGGCAGCUAGAAUUCUGGGCUGGAAAAGGAGCAAAUAUUAGAGGCCUAUUCUGCACAACUCGAAAAGUCCUGAAACUCCACGAAAGUCAGUUUUGGAAUAUAUUAAAAUAUUGGGCGAAGAAAGCACCAGAGGGGGGCCACCCACCGUCCACGAGGGUGGAAGGCGCGCCCUACCCCCUGGUUGCGCCCCCUGCCUCAUGGGCCACCUGGCAGGCCCCCGAUCCCCAUCUUCUCCUAUAUGGUGUCUUUUUCCCUGGAAAAAAAAUCAUAAGGUAGAUUUUGGGACGAAGCGCCGCCGUCUCGAGGCGGAACCUUGGUGGAACCAAUCUAGGGCUCUGGUGGAGCUGUUCUGCCGGGGAAACAUCCCUGCGGGAGGGGGAAAUCAUCACCAUCGUCAUCACCAUGGAUCCUCUCAUCGAGAGGGGCCAAUCUCCAUCAACAUCAUCACCAACACCAUUUCCUCUCAAACCCUAGUUCAUCUCUUGUAUCCGAUCUUUGUCUCAAAACCUCAGUUGGUACGUGUGGGUUGCUAGUAGUGUUGAUUACUCCUUGUAGUUGAUGCUAGUUGGUUUAUUUGGUGGAAAAAACAUAUGUUCAGAUCCUUUAUGCAUAUUAAUACCCCUAUGAUUAUGAACAUGAAUAUGAUUUGUGAGUAGUUAUGUUUGUUCCUGAGGACAUGGGAGAAGUCUUGUUAUAAGUAGUCAUGUGAAUUUUGUAUUCUUUGAUAUUUUGAUGAGACGUAUGUUGUCUCUCCUCUAGUGGUGUUAUGUGAACUCGACUACAUGAUAGUUCACCAUUGUUUGGGCCUAGGGGAAGGCAUUUGGAAGUAAUAAGUAGAUGAUGGGUUGCUAGAGUGAUAGAAGCUUAAACCCUAGUUUAUGCGUUGCUUCGUAAGGGGCUGAUUUGGAUCCAUAUGUUUCAUGCUAUGGUUAGGUUUACCUUAAUUCUUCUUUCAUAGUUGCGGAUGCUUGCGAGAGGGGUUAAUCAUAAGUGGGAUGCUUGUCAAAGGAAGGGCAGUACCCAAGCACCGGUCCAACCACAUAUCAAAUUAUCAAAGUAACGAACGUGAAUCAUAUGAGCAUGAUGAAAACUAGCUUGACGAUGAUUCCCAUGUGUCCUCGGGAGCGCUUUGCUUUAUAUAAGAGUUUGUCCAGGCUUGUACUUUGCUACAAAAAGGAUUGGGCCACCUUGUUGCACCUUGUUACUUUUGUUACUUGUUACCCGUUACGAACUAUCGUAUCACAAAACUAUCUGUUACCAAUAAUUUCAGUGCUUGCAGAGAAUACCUUACUGAAAACUGCCUGCCAUUUCCUUCUAUUCCUCAUUGGGUUCGACACUCUUACUUAUUGAAAGGACUACGAUAGAUCCCCUAUAGUUGUGGGUCAUCAAAUAGUACAUAACAUAACUUGAGCUUUAGAUUUGGCUCAUUAUCACACUGAUGUCAAAUUUGUCAUUUUUGUAUCUUAAAAAUGUUAUAAACUUUAAUACAAAAUUUUUGUGACAUCAUACAUUGAUGUGCGUUAAUGUGCUAGAUUUUUUUUGCCUUUUUAAAAUGUUCUAUAGCAUCCGGUGCACCGGUAGCACCAUUACUGCGGGUGCAUAGGAUACAUCCCCGCGAGCGAUCCGUGGAUGGCUUGGUGCGGACGGGCGCGUGCGGUUGCCGAUCCAUAUAUUCCUGAACUCGGAUCUAGACACAAGAUCCUCCGUUGCAUGCCACAUCCAUGGCUCUAGUGAGCCAGAUCCGCACAUGUGAUAUGUCUCCAACAUAUUUACUUUUUGUUUUGGCCUCUAAUCUAUAUGAUUUGAAUGAAACUAACCCAAACUAACGUUGUUUUAAGUAGAACUACCUUGAUGUUAUUUUUUGUGUAGAAAUAAAAAUCUCAUAAUUGGACGAAACUUCAUAGAGAUUUUUUAUGGAAUAAAUAAAAAAUACCGGAGCCAUCGGCAUCCGUACCAAGAAAAUAAGAGAGAAAGUAAUUUGGGAGCUGCCACCAUCUCUUGUCUUCAUUGGGAGCCCUGAUCUGGAGUCCAUUCCUAGCUCCGGAGAGAGGGAUUCGUCGUGGUUGUAAUCACCAACUCUUCUCCAUCAAUAAUUUCCUGAUUCUCACCACCAAGAGUGUGUAAUCCCUUGCAGGCAUACUAGAGGUAGAGUAAGAUGAAUGAGAUUUCCUAUGUAAUCAUGUCAAUUUGUUAGGGCUUGAUCCCUAGUAUGCACUAUGUUCUGAGAUUGAAGUUGUUAUGACUUUCUUAUACUUAAUGCUUGUCAUUAGGGCCCAAGUGUCAUAAUUUCAGAUCUGAACACUUAUGCUUCUAUGAAUAUAUUUGACAUGCUGAUCUUACCUGCAAGUUGUAUACACCUGUUAUCAUUCCAAACCUUAGACUUCCAAGUUGACCAUUGAAAGUGCUANNNNNNNNNNNNNNNNNNNNNNNNNNNNNNNNNNNNNNNNNNNNNNNNNNNNNNNNNNNNNNNNNNNNNNNNNNNNNNNNNNNNNNNNNNNNNNNNNNNNNNNNNNNNNNNNNNNNNNNNNNNNNNNNNNNNNNNNNNNNNNNNNNNNNNNNNNNNNNNNNNNNNNNNNNNNNNNNNNNNNNNNNNNNNNNNNNNNNNNNNNNNNNNNNNNNNNNNNNNNNNNNNNNNNNNNNNNNNNNNNNNNNNNNNNNNNNNNNNNNNNNNNNNNNNNNNNNNNNNNNNNNNNNNNNNNNNNNNNNNNNNNNNNNNGAAUAGGAAAUUUUUAUAAAAGUCUUCAAAACAUGCAAUGUCUUCGAAAACGCAGAAGAAAAACAAUCACUAAACAGGAUACAUCGGAAUAUAAACCACACUAGACAUGUCGGUAUGUCAACAAAAAUUGACGUAAGAUGCGAAGAUAGAAAACAACUAGGUAGUUCAGAACAAUGAGAAGAUAGUGUGAAGACAAAUAUGUAAUCAGAGGAAAUGUCUUCAUACAAUGUCUUCGAAUAGUAUGAGCACGCAAAGGCUUCACGAAACUAAACAGAAAGUAAAGGAGUGAAGUGAUAGAACUAGUUGCUCAUAGAAGACAUGUGAUUUGUUUGACCAAUUCCAGCUGUUGUGACAACUAUAUGUUUGGUUAAGGAGGCUGAGAUUGAAAUCUGAAGACUUAGUCUUCACCUUAUUCCCCGUAAGCUAAUAUCCGCAAAUCUCACCCAAUCACUCGGGGAAGUCUUCUAGGUAAACUUCCAAACCUUCACAGACUUCGUUCACUAGCAAUCCACAAUGACUCUUGGAUGCUCAGAAUUCGACACCUAACCGGUUGGAAGAUCACAGUCUUCAAGUGUAACAAGUCUUUGGUUCACGCAGAACAGAAAGGCUUCAGUGAUGCUCAAUCACUUUGGGCUCUGGGUGUUUUGGGUUUGUCCUCGCAAGGAAUUUCUCUCAAGGCUUAAGAGGUGGGUUGCUCUCAAACGAUAACAACCAUGUAAUAACUCGAAACAACCACCAACUUAUGCUAGAGGUGGUGGGCUAUUUAUAGCCAGGAGGCAACCCGACAUGAUAUGACCAAAAUGACCCUGGGUCAAUGGGCAACCGACAUGUGUCCAACAACCGUAUUUCAAACACACGCGAUAGCUUUACUUGAGCUCCAACUAAAGCUAACUCAACAAACGUUGGAAAAGGUGUUCUCUCACUGUCUUCACUGGAAGACAUCAAGUCAGUUUCUAACUUUGUUUACCUCGACCCCAUUUAACAAUACGGUGGUUCCUAUGGCUCAAGAAAGGCGAAAAUGAAACUAUCAAAAGACUGUCUUCGUGCUCCAUUGUAUUCAAGCGAAAGUCCUCACGUCCCAUUGUCUUCAAAUAAAUAUCUUCCCGUACCACCAUUAUCUUUAAUGUCUUCAUACAUGUUUAGGAGUCAUAUUUGAUUGGUAAGCCAAAUCUCUAGGGACUUCUAUCUGUGUUCUCCUGUGAAUCUCAUAAAUAGAUUAGUCCCUCAACCAAAUUUGUCGUCAAUACUCCAUAACCAAUGAUAUGUCCAUUUUGCAUCAUGUUUUUAUAUUGAUAUUUAUUGCAUUAUGUGCGGUUAUUAAAUAUUUACGUACAAUACUUAUGUCUUUUCUCUCUUAUUUUACAAGGUUUACACAAAGAGGGAGAAUGCCGACAGCUGGAAUUCUGGCCCGGAAAGGAGCAAAUCUAAGAGACCUAUUCUGCAUAACUCCAAAAAUCCUCAAAAUUUAAAGAGAAUUAUUUUGGAAUAUAAAAAAAAUAUUGGGCGAAGAAAAUACCAGAGGGGACCCACGAAGUGGCCACAAGAUGAGGGCGUGCCCUACCCCCUGGGCGCGCCUCCCUGGCUUCAGGGCCCCUUGGCAAGCCUUUGGUGCCCCUCUUCUACUAUAUGAUGUCUUUUGACCUGGAAAAAAUAAAUCAGAAGAGAGCUUUCAGGAUGAAGUGCCGCCGUCUCGAGGCGAAACUUGGGCAGAACCAAUCUAAGAUUCAGGUGGCUUCAGAUUGCAAGGUGGCGUUGCAGAUAUACAUUAGAAGAGCGCAAAUACCUAUAGAGCAAUCAUAACUGAGAUCAUAGAUCGGAAGGCUACUUUUACUAAUUGUACAUUAGCCAUGAAUUUAGGAGCUUGAAUGUUGAAGCUCACAAACUCGUGAAGCAUGCUUUAUCCCUAGGGGUUGACCGCCAUGUUUGGUUAGGUAACCCCAUAGCUGAAGUUGUCUCGCCUUGCUUCAAAUCUACUGGGCGUGCGCUGCGAUUUUGACCUAACGGCCUCCAUUUGCUGGAAUUAAUUGGAAUAGUUGAGAAGAAAGUGACAAACGAAUGCGUAAUGCGUGGGAAUCUGCCGAAUAGUUCAGGUCGAAUCCCGAAGAAAGUUCAAAGCGCUGUUUGAUGAGCCUACGUAGUAUUAGUUCGUUGGUCAGGUAAAGGUUGGCCAGCCAAUGAUGCUUAGCUGGUCUUUUUGAAUGUUUAGCCACACUGGGACUGAGACAUAGCCCAGACUCCCAUGGGGGGCAGCAGAGGGGAAUCUUGGACAAUGGGUGAAAGCCCGAUCUAGCAAUAUCGCGCGAGUGAAGAAGGUCAAUGCUCCUUUUAAAGCUCUUAUGUUGAGUGCGCGAUCAUGACAUAUCUCGAGGAAGAAGCCCCGGNNNNNNNNNNNNNNNNNNNNNNNNNNNNNNNNNNNNNNNNNNNNNNNNNNNNNNNNNNNNNNNNNNNNNNNNNNNNNNNNNNNNNNNNNNNNNNNNNNNNNNNNNNNNNNNNNNNNNNNNNNNNNNNNNNNNNNNNNNNNNNNNNNNNNNNNNNNNNNNNNNNNNNNNNNNNNNNNNNNNNNNNNNNNNNNNNNNNNNNNNUAUGUGCGCGAUCAUGACAUAUCUCGAGGAAGAAGCCCUGGCUCACUCCGUGCCAGCAGCCGCGCUAAGUUGGGGGGGGGGGGUAAGUACUCUUUGGAAUGACUGGGUGUAAAGGGCAUGUAGGCGGCGGGUUGAAAAUGAAACUGUGAAAGUAAUAAAAAGUGGCGGAAUGCUCUCGAAACCAAUUCACUUAAGUGAGACAGAGGAGAGUGGGUGAUUUUCUAUUCGUCCCUAUAAACACUACUCAUCAAUCCGUGUAGGUGCACGGGCUAGAUAUACCAUCAUAGAAUCUUGUAAAUAUACUUUGUAAGCCUAUAACUGGAAACAUAAAACAUGGAACAUGCUUUUCAGUUUUUAUUUUAUAGUGGUGUUUAGUCUUCAAAUUUCAGGCAAAAUUAAAAGUGGACACGUAUAAAUUCUCAAGUUCAUUGAUCAAGCGCAUGCAGUUGUUAUGGUAUACAAAAUCGAACAUGUUGAAGACUCACAUGCAUAUUUGUAGGAAAAACUAAAAAAAAUGUAAUUAUUUCUUACAUCAUUACAUUCAAACCCACACAAAGAAAAUAGUCAAAUAAACAUCAUUUUUCUUUAAACAGAAGGAUCCAACUGACGCCAUAAAAUGUAUCUUUUCCUUAUAUUGGCCAAUUAUUGCUCAUAGCUGUGCAUGUGCUGUGUAAAUAAGAUUUAGAUAUGGUACAUAGAACUUUUGUUAGAUUUAGAUCAUAGCUUCAGUGUGAAUGUUGCUGCAAUGGCACAGAAGUAUGAUCGGUUUGGCAUCAUCUGCUUUGCGAUGAUCCACUCCCGUGCACAGGCUCUAUCCUACGGAUCGUCCUAUCGGACAGCUAGCAGUAUAUGUCAUGCCAAAAGCUUCUUGACCAACAUAUGUGCUAGUAAAUCUAAUUACUCUAAAUUAUGAAAAUAUAGUUAUUCUGAAUUAUGAAAAUAAUUACCCUAAACUAUAUAUGUACCUUAGAUCGUAGAGGCCACCAUCGAACAGAACUAUAUAGGGAGUAGUUGUGCGGUAGUACUGUUGAGAUGUAGAAGUGGAAAAGCAAUAAUGCAUAACAAAAUCAUAUUCUAUCACACGCUUAGCUUAUACUAUAUAUAUUGGCACACAUUUUCUUUGCAUAUGCACCUGGUAGAUUAAACAAUGGAAGCAAACACAGUAGGGCAAACCAAUUUCAGAUUUUUAUCUCAAAUCAAAAGCCUAGAAAAGGUGAAUCUGCCGAAUAGUUCGGGCCGAAUCCUGAGGAAAGUUCAAAGCGCUGUUUGACGAGCCUACGUAGUAUUAGUUAGUUGGCCAGGUAAAGGCUGACAAGCCAAUGAUGCUUAGCUAGUCUUUUUGAAUGAUUAGCCACACUGGGACUGAGACAUGGCCCAGACUCCCAUGGGAGGCAGCAGAGGGAAUCCUUGACAAUGGGCGAAAGCCCGAUCCAGCAAUAUCGAAUGAGUGAAGAAGGUCAAUGCUCCUUGUAAAGCUCUUACAUUGAGUGCGCGAUCAUGACAUAUCUCGAGGAAGAAGUAACUCCAUGCCAGCAGCCGCGCUAAGACGGGGGGGGAGGGAGGGGGGCAUGUACUCUUUGGAAUGACUGGGUGUAAAGGGCAUGUAGGCGGCGGGUUGAAAGUGAAGCUAUGAAAAUCAUAAAAAGUGGCGGAAUGCUCUUGAAAUGAAUUCACUUAAGUGAGAUAGAGGAGAGUGGAUGGUUUUCUAUUCGUCCCUAUAAACACUAGUCAUCAACCCGUGCAGCUGCACGGGCUAGCGACUUGAGUCCGAAAACUUUGUGUUUAAUAUACUUUGGAAAAAGAAUAAACAUUGAAUAACAUUCAUAAUUUCUAAUUAUAAGUGUACUUUUUGAAAUCACGGUUACAUUGUUUAGCCUUUCAAGCAAUGCACAACAAUAAUUAGUGGCAAUGCACAACAAUAACAACAAUUUAUAAUUUCAACCGAGCAUACCACAUCACCUUGGCAGGAAUCUUCUUCCUGGAGCGCUCGCCCUCGACAUCUCCAGGGUCAUCGCGGCUGAUCUUAUAGCGCAAUGCACCACAUACGAGGAACGCGUUCGAAUUCUCAUACUCACCACAGUAGAGGAUGCAGUCAUUAGGGCAUGCAUGUAUCUUCUGCACCUCUAAUCCUAGAGGGCAGACAACCUUCUUUGCUUCGUACGUACUCGGGCAAUUUGUUGUCCUUUGGAAGCAUCUUCUUUAACAUUAUCAGCAACUUUCCAAAUCCCUUGUCAGAUACACCAUUCUCUACCUUCCAUUGCAGCAAUUCUAGUGUGGUGCCCAGCUUUUUCUUGUCAGCUUCACAAUUUGGGUACAACAAUUUCUUGUGAUCCUCUAACAUGCGCUACAACUUCUUCUCCCCCUUUUCACUUGUGCAGUUUCUCUUUGCAUCAGCAAUGGCACGACCUAGAUCAUCAGCGGGCUCAUCUGAUGCCUCUUCUUUAGCUUCUUCCCGCAUUCCUAGCUCAAUUUCUUCCCCCAUUGUUGUACCAUCGUUCAGGGAACCCAUGGCCAGGAUAGCUAUCGUCAUCCUCUUCUUGUUCACUGUCUUCCAUCAUAACCCCUCUUUCUCCGUGCUUAGUCCAAACAUUAUAGUGGGGCAUGAAACCAGACUCAAACAGGUGGACGUGAAUGGUUCUUGACUUAGAGUAAUUCAGAUCAUUCUUACAGUUAGCACAUGGACAAGGCAUAAAACCAUCCGCCCGCUUGUUUGCCUCAUCUGCAAGCAGAAACGUAUGCACACCAUUAAUGAACUGGGGAGAGCAUCGGUCAUCGUACAUCCACUGCCGGUUCAUCUUCAUUUAAACAACACUGAAAAGACCAAAUUAAUACAAGUUCAUACAAAACAACAUACAAAUAACUCUGUAGCUAAAGUAUUUAAAUGCAACAACAAAUGCGAUCAAGAUCGCAACUAAGGUAACAAUUGAUCCAACAACAUAAUGAAACCAAGCCUCACUAUCGAUGGAAUAUUUUUUAAUCUUUCUAAUCUUCAAGCGCAUUUUCUCCAUCUUGAUCUUGUGAUCAUCGACGACAUCGGCAACAUGCAACUCCAACUCCAUCUUCUCCCCCUCAAUUCUUUUCAAUUUUUCUUUCAAAUACUCGUUUUCUUUUUCAACUAAAUUUAACCUCUCGAGAAUAGGGUCGGUUGGAAUUUCUGGUUCACAUACCUCCAAGAUAAAAAUAUCUGUCAACUUGAUGGGCAUAAUUUGUCAUAAACACGAAAUGCAACAAAUAGUUAUAAAAGGGAAUAUACCACAUCCGAAUCAUAACCCGGACGAGGGCCAACGGGGACAGAUAUCAAAACCAUGGCACUAUGUAUAACAAACAACAUACAUGUAAGAUAAUUAUACAAGUAACUAUAUAUCUAAAUAACAAAAACAUGAUUUUUCUUAUAUUAAAAAGAUAAGAACAAGAGACUCAUCACAAGGUGGUGCCGGCGACGGGACGGUGCGGGCGGUCGACGGUGGUUAGGACAGAGACGGGAAGGCACUAAGUAAACCACACCUACAUAUGCAAACUAAGAGUUAUUUGACCUCAAAUUGCAUAUGAAUCAAAUAAACUACAACAUAUAUAUAUUUCCUCCCAAACUAAAAACCCACAAAUCACUAUACUUAUAGAGCAUUGCAAGAGCUAAUGUAACAAUGAGAGAUGAAAGGACGGAGUUGCUAACCUUUGUGAUCACUUGGACGGAUGGGGUGCCUUCAAAUGUUGGAAAAUUUUGGAAAAAAUGGAGGUGGGAGAUCGAGCAAGAGGGGAAGAAAACAAAGAGGAGGGGAAAAGUAGAGGGCUUCGGCUCGGUUGGUUACACGAACCGGGACUAAAGGUCAACUUCUAGUCUCGGUUCGUGGCAUGAACCGGUACUAUAGGUCAUGGUGCGGCCGCAGCCUGCCGCAAGCCUGCCACCACCUCUUUAGUACCGGUUUGUGGCACGAACCGGUACUAAAGGUUCGCCACGAACUGGUACUAAUGAGAGCAGCCCACCUAGCCGUUGGAACCGGCAGUAAUGGUCACAUUAGUGUCGGUUCCAUUAAAAACCGGGACUAAAUUGUUGAACAUUAGGCCCUUUUUCUACUAGUGGUUACUUGACGGGCACUAUUUUUGUAAGGCAAAUGCCAAAUAAUUGGUCGGUAUUAAAUGUUGGUUGCCUAAACAAAAUAUUGUAAAUUUUUGGUCGGCGAAACAAACUCCCAUCUGACUGUCGGCCGAGAAAUGUCCAUGGCAACCCUAACUAAUUGUUGGAUGGGAAAAACACUAUUUGAUAGUCGGUCGGGAAAGGACCAUAGUAGCUCAAAUGGACUGUCGUUCGGGAAACGUCCGUGGCAGGCCCAACAGAAUGUUGGUCUCGAAUGAUACACUAUAGCCGACAAGCAGUCGGUUGGGAAUAACAUGUCGUUCGGGAAAUGGUUUUCCUGUCUGGACUUUCCCCAAGGAUCUUUGCCGUCAGCCAGCUCACGACAAAGAAAGUUUUUGCCAUCAGCUUACAAAAAACUGACGGCAAAGAAAGAGCCAACGACAAAGAGCAUGUUUGCCGUCCAGCAUAGCAGCCGACAAAGAGGGAGGGUGGUCCACUAAGGAGUACCACCUAACGACCACUUUCUUUGGCGUCUGCUAGCGGACGACAAAGAUUGUAGCUAAUGGCUACAUACGGCCCACCCGACACCUCCCACUCUCCAUUUCUCUUUCUCUCUCACUCCAACGUGCCGACCCCGACCCCAACCACCGCCGCCGCUCCCGACCCCCACCUCCCUCGCCGCCCCUGACCCCCCUGCCGCCCCGUCGGUCCACGACCCGCCACCCCGCGGUCCGCUGCGCCCCCCGGCCCCUGCAACCACNNNNNNNNNNNNNNNNNNNNNNNNNNNNNNNNNNNNNNNNNNNNNNNNNNNNNNNNNNNNNNNNNNNNNNNNNNNNNNNNNNNNNNNNNNNNNNNNNNNNNNNNNNNNNNNNNNNNNNNNNNNNNNNNNNNNNNNNNNNNNNNNNNNNNNNNNNNNNNNNNNNNNNNNNNNNNNNNNNNNNNNNNNNNNNNNNNNNNNNNNNNNNNNNNNNNNNNNNNNNNNNNNNNNNNNNNNNNNNNNNNNNNNNNNNNNNNNNNNNCCCCGCCGACCCACUCAGUUGAGCUCCCCCCGUUUUUUCUACUGCUAGUAAUUAGGUUACUUUGUACUAUUGGUUUCUUUUUUUCUACUGCUAGUAAUUAGGUUAGUUAGUAUUUUUAGAGUUGGUUAGGUUAGUUAGGUUAGUUUCUAGGUUAGAUCUUGAAAAAAAUUAUUAGGAGAAGAAAAUAAGAAGAAUUAGAAGAAGAGGAGGGGCAGGAGAAGAAGAAAAAGGGGAGGAGAAGAAGAAGAAGAAGAAGAAGAAGAAGAAGAAAAAGGAGAAGAAGAAGAAGAAGAAGAAGAAGAGGAGGAGGAGGAGGAGAAGAAGAAGAAGAAGAAAAAGAAUAAGAAAAGGGGCAGGAGAAGAAAAGAAGAAGAAGAAGAAGAAGAAGAGGAGGAGGAGGAGAAGAAGAUCACCGGUCCCCGACACCCCGACCCCGACACAACUCCCCGAGACCACCUCGACACCCCAACACGACACCACCGACACCCCGACCCCGAUACCAUCGACACCCUGACACCACUGACACCUCGACACGACACCACCGACAUNNNNNNNNNNNNNNNNNNNNNNNNNNNNNNNNNNNNNNNNNNNNNNNNNNNNNNNNNNNNNNNNNNNNNNNNNNNNNNNNNNNNNNNNNNNNNNNNNNNNNNNNNNNNNNNNNNNNNNNNNNNNNNNNNNNNNNNNNNNNNNNNNNNNNNNNNNNNNNNNNNNNNNNNNNNNNNNNNNNNNNNNNNNNNNNNNNNNNNNNNNNNNNNNNNNNNNNNNNNNNNNNNNNNNNNNNNNNNNNNNNNNNNNNNNNNNNNNNNNNNNNGUUGACACCCCGAUCCCUGACACGACACUCGAGACCCCGACACGGCACCCCCAACCUCGACACAGCACCUCGACCCUAACAUGACACCCCCGACACUCCGACCCCCGAUACCUCCUCAAAAAGGUGCUCUUCGGCCUUCCAGAGGCCGACGGGGUCAUAUAUUUGUGAAUUAUGAGUUAGGUCAGGUAUUCAAUUAUUAUUAUGUACAUAUACAUAUAUAUUAUUAUUAAUUAGUUCAUGUUAUUAGGUAUUCAAUUUUUUAUUAUGUUCAUGAUGAUGAUACACACUUAAUUUUUUUAUUAUGUUUAUGUUGUACUAAUUUCAUUUACUCUUUGUCAUUGCAGGUGUUGACAGAUGGUGGGCGCGGGUCGAGAGCGCUCCGAGCCUCCUUCUUCGGCGCGUGCUGGGAGGUGUGUUGUUAUUCCACCCCAGCACCUUUGGAGAGCGCAUAUAGACAGCACACAGACACCAGCGGGCGCUUCUUCUUCGACCGAGAGAGGUCGGGGGAAGACGAAGAGGGGUACAGCUAGAGGUGGACGUGGCGGCGGGAUAGGUAGGAAGGCUGCUACGCCUUCCUCGCCGCCACCCCAGCUGAUUCUUUGGACCACUGGAGUGCUUCGUCCCAGGUGGACCCGUCUGACUUGGACCCUUCUCGGACUCCGGUCCACAAGCCUCGGGCCAACGAUCCUACAUCCGACGAGACUCGGGUCCUAGAGUCUUGGUCCCAGGAGACUCGGGUCCCAGAGUCUUCGUCCCAUGUGACUCUGGAGACUAGUGGCCAUGCUGAUGGUGGCGAGGACACCUUGUCUGACGAUAGCUACAACGAUGGCGAGCUAGUUGAGGGGGGCAAGAAGGUCUACGAGCAUGGUGGUACAGAUCUCCCAUCCGUGUCGGCGACCCGUGACCAGAGGUGGUUGAUUGAGCCUAAAGGGGAGAAGUAAGUGCAUUUACUCUUUUUUAACCUUUUGCCUUCAUGUUUCUUCAAAUUAAUAUCUAAUGUGUUGGCCUUGUCAUACUGCAGGGGUUGGAUACACGCCUCUGAUGUCCGCAGGCCCAACCAGGUCCUUGGUGUGAUUUGCCGGCACCACUUCCUGGGAUGGGUCACAUUGCCCGAUGAGGGUGAGGUUCCAUAGCUAGCACUGACCUGGGAGCUGCACAAGGCUGCCCCGGCCCCGCCGAGGGAGAUGGUCGACGGUGUCCUGUGCAAUACGGUGGCCGACAUUGUGAGUCGGCGGUUUUGGGUAAUUUCUCCUUUAGAGAAUUAAAAAUCAACAAUACUUAGUGAUUGUACUAAUCAGUGUUGUCUUGUUUGAUUGCAGACCUUCUACAGGUGUCUUGAGGAACACGAGGUGGACACGGCUAUGGUUCUCGAAGCCGAGUGCAAGCGCCUAGUUCAGAACUUAUGGUACGAGGCUCGGGUGCAGGCUAUUCGAGACUACUAUGCCUCGACUAACAUCAGGAGGGCCAAGAAGAAGUGACGCGGCAAGUAUCUGAGUAAGGAGAAGUACAUGAAGGUAAUUACCUAUUCUUAAGGCCUUGUACUUAGUUUCCUUGAUUUGAUUUGUCGGCAUAGCGCUGAAAUUUCUCUUUGUCUAACUUUGGUGCCCCCGAGAUGGUGUGCGGAGAGGAUGGACUGUUGGGAGAGGUUGGUGGAUGAGUGGUGCUCUCCCCAAUGGCUAGCCGUCCACAACAAGGGUAGGGAUAAGUGUGCCUAGAUGCAAGGUGUGCCACACCAUCAAGGGAGCUCCAACCUGUUUGAGUACGGGGAUCACUUGGUAUGUGGUUUGAUCCCUUAAUGAUUCAUGCAAUUUCAUUCUUCAUGCUAGCUUGAGCCCUUAACUAAUAUUUUGUUCCUCUCUUUUAGGCGCGACACAACAAGAAGGAGUUGCCACUACUGUACAACCUCUAUGCCAUGGCCCAUACUGCCCCGUACAAGAAGGCCAAGGCAUUCUUGGAGGAUGACCUCGAUCAUCCUGAGAGCUCCACCAACAUAUCCUCCCAUACGAUAAGCUCAUGAGGUACAGAGUCUUUGGGAAGGCGAUGAAAGGGGAGGACUUCAACCCGAGCCAGAGUCCUUUUGAUCCUAAGCUUGUGAUGCUAUCUGAAGGGAGGAAACAUGGCUCAGUAGCCAUUAGGGGUGGAUGAUACGUUGUCCUAGAAGUCUCCCAGAGAUCAAGAAGCGCCAGACGAGGUCUCUUCCUGACAUGAGGCCUCGAUAACGACCAAUGGAGCUCGCCAUCAAGGCUAGGGCCCAGGAGCUUCUGGCGGAGGCAAACAGGUAGUCGACGCAGAGGGAGAGGGAGUUGGAGGAGAGGACAGCUAGUAUGUUGGAGGCGGAGAGGAACCGGAACAACGCGGGUCACCGGGCCCUAUACGAGCUCCUCGUGGUAAGUUUCUCCUACAUAUUAGCCAAAUCAUGUACGUAAUGUUCGUUUCAUUACUAACUAAUAUGACUGACUUGUGAAAACAAAAUGUGCAGUCCGUUUGCGAGAAAAACGACCAGACCCCUCAGCCGAUGCACCAGCACUAGUGCAGAACCGGGCUAUAGCACUAGUUCGUAAGGGCCUUUAGUCCCGGUUCGGUAACCGGCACUAAAGGGUGGAGACUAAAGGCCCCCCUUAGUACCGCUUCUGCACGAACCGGGGCCAAAGGCCCACCAUGUGGCACAAUCCCGCGUGGUGAUCUGGGGGAUAUUUAGUACCGGUUGGUAACACCAACCGGUAAUAAAGGAUUUUUUUUAUUUUUGAUUUUAUUUUUUUCGACAAAAUUGAAUAUUUUUUCCGAUUUUCAAAUUUCUGAAUUAUUUGACGAUUUUGUCUCUAAUCACCGCUCAUCAUUGCUGUAAUCACCCCUCAUCAAUCCAAAUCGUCUAACUUCCUGGCCGGUCACCCAUCCUCUCACUACUCCAGCCUGAGCAUGCUUAACUUCCGAGGUCUAAGUCUGCACGUGUUGUUUACCUGACAAUAGUAAGUUGUCAAUCCUAUUAACCCUCAGGAAUUUAGCUUGAACAUGAAGUCACAUGUUUCACCGUUUUAGUUUGAAACUAUUGUUCUAAAAAAUAAUUAUUAUUUAGUAACCAAGAUACUUCUUGAAUAAGUAGUCUGACCAUAGUUUGACCAUAGUUUGACCAAAAGUCAAAAAAACUAAAAUAACUAUUUAUUAACACUAAUAUUUCUUGAAUAAUUAGUUUGACCAUAGUUUGACCACAAUUCGACCAGAUUUAACAAAUUUUUUUAAAAAAAACUGAAAUUGGAGCAAAUCUUUUUUUCCUUUUAGAAUUUGAGGGUUCUAAAAAAUUGCAAACAAGCAGUAGGCGGUCAAAAUUGGAUGCGGAUUUUCGUGCUGAUUUUUUUGAUAUAUUAUGCGUUUUUUGACAUCGUAUGCAAAAGAUAUGGCCGUUUUACAUUUUCAUAACACUUUUUUUUGCAAAACAUGUCCAAAUUUAAGUUUUUUAAUUUUCCUAACUAGUAGAUUUAGUAACAUAACUACAUCUCGAACGAUUUUACUUUUUGAAGUUUUUAUCAUUUUCUUUUGCUUUUAACAAAAUUGAAAAGGCGGUCCGGGGGGGGGGGAAUGUUUGAAAAUGGGUCCUUUAGUCUCGGUUUGUGUCUCCAACCAAGACUAUAGGUCAAACCUCUUUAGUCCCGGUUCGUGGCACAAACCGGUACUAAAGGUUAGCCCUGUAGUACCGGUUUGUGCCACGAACCGGGACUAAAGGGGCUCGUGGGGCCCCGCCUGACGCCAGCCUGCCACCACCCCUUUAGUACCGGUUCAACACGAACCGGCAUUAAUGCAUAGCCGUUUGAACCGGGACUAAUGGUACCAUUAGUACUGGGCCAACAUUGAAUCGAGACUAAUGUGUCUCACAUUAGGUCCUUUUUCUACUAGUGCAGAUUGGUAUAGCGGAUGCGGUGAGUUUCAUUUGAAUGGUCAUUAGUUACUAGUAUUCACAUUUCAGUUGCAUCAUGCUAACUAGACAUUGCAAAUGAUCUUUGGUGCAGCACGCCUCCCGGCAAGCAUCGACCGAUCCUUCUUCAUCUCAAACUAGCGCAACCCCGACCAGUCCUUCUCCGUCUGGCACUGGUGCAAUCCAAACCGUUCCUUCACCUCCAUGAUGAUGGUCAGUGUUUUGCUUAACAAAUGCAUACUUAGCUUAAGAAAUGACCUACUUAGCUCCAAAAUGACCUAUACUUAUCUUAUUUUCCUCAAAAAUGACAUAAUAACCUUACUUAGCUCCAAACUGACAUAUUCUACCUAGGAUAGCUAUAAAAUGACCUAUACUUAGCAUUUUUUUCCUCCAAAAUGACUUGAUAUGCUUAGUUAGCUAGAAAAUGGCAUAUCUACCUAGGAUAGCUCAAUAAUGAUCUAUAGCUAGCUUAGCUAGUUCAUUUAUGACAUAAUUAGCUCACUUAGGUAAAAAAUGGCAUAACUACCUAGGAUAGCUGAAUAAUGAUCUAUAAUUAGCUUAGCUAGUUCAUUUAUGCCAUAGUUAGCUCACUUAGGUAAAAAAUGGCAUAACAACCUUGGUUUAGCUCCCAAAUGACCUAUACUUAGCUUAUUUCCUUGAAAAUGACAUAACAACCUUACUUAGCUCUGAACUGACAUACUUUACCUAGGAUAGCUAUAAAAGGGCCUAUAUUUAGCAUUUUUUUUACUCCUAAAUGACUUAAUAUGCUUAGUUAGCUAAAAAUGUCACAACUACUUAGGUCAGCUCCAAACUGGCCUACACUUACCAUUUUGUCCUCCAAAAUGAAUAAAUUUGCUUAGUUAGCUCAAAAAUGGCAUAACUACCUAGGUUAGCUCCAAAGUGACCUAUUUACCUAGCUUAGCUCUAAAAUGACCUACACACUUAGCAUUGUUAGCUAGCUAAAGCUAAAAAAAUGGCAUUUUUACCUACCUUAGUUAGAAUAAGAAGAAGAUAAAGAAGAGGAGAGGAGAAAAGGAAUGAGAAGAUAAAUUCUUCUUUUUCUUCUUCUUCUUCUUUUUCUUCUUCUUUUUCUUCCUUUUCUUCUAGCUAGUCUUCUUCUUCUUCUUCUAACUUUCAUCUUUCCUAAUUUGUAGAUUUGAUUUAGAUGAGGAAGCUUGCAUUGAUGGAGUGUACUCUUCUACUUGUGCUUCCUUUUUGUUUAUGGAAACUUGUUUUGGAUAUGUAUGUAUAUAUGGAUAUGUUGUUGGAAGCCAUUGUAUGGUGGAUAUGUUGUUGGAAACUUGUAUGUUGGAUAUGUUGUUGGAAACUUAUUGUUGGUAUGCUUGUUGAAAUUAUUUUGAAAUGUGUGUGUAUAUAUAUAUCUGUGAAAUUCUGUCAAACUGAAUGAAUUUAAGAAAAAACAGAAAAAACAGGGGCUAUACAGUCUCUUUGUCGUCUGCUGGCAUAUGGCAAAGAGCUUUGCCGUCUGCCGGCAAAGCUGCCACAUGGCAGCUACCUGUGCAACUUGGGGUGCUCUGGGCUGACCUAUUUGGCAGCUUUGCCGUCAGCGGCAGACGGCAAAGACCUUUGCAUAUUUGCCAUCCGCUGGCAGACGGCAAAGAUGCAAAGGCCUUUGUUGUCUGCCAGCUGACGGCAAAGCACACCCUUAACCCCUUAACGGACCUAAGCUGCCACGUGUGGUGUCCAGGCUCUUUGCCGUCUGCCAGUAUACGGCAAAGAGGGCUUUGCCGUAGCUUAUUUAGCUAGACCUGUUGCCAUUUGUUGGCUGACGGCAAAGGCCUUUGCCAUACUCCAGGCAUGCCUUUAUCGUCAGCCAUGGCUGACCGCAAAGUGCCUGAUUCCUUUAGUGUUGGCACAACUUGUAUUCCCGACCAAUCUGGCUUUUGGGGAUGUAGUGCAGUGGUGUACUGAAUGCAGUGUCGUGGUGUAGUGCGGGCAAGUUAAGAAAAAAAUGGACACAUGCGAGGCUAGCACCAUGAUGAACACUACUGAGGUAGAGGAGAUGAUGAAGAAGUUGGGGAUCACGGAGGAUGACUUUGAUGAUGUGGUAGUAGAGGAAGAGGAGGAGCUCCCUGCUGAAGCAAUCCAGUGGAUGGCAAUCAUGCGAGUGCACAUAGAGAAAACUUAUGCUCAGUACUGGUUUUCAGAAACAUGAGGGUGGCUUGGGACUUGGCGAAAGAGGUGAAGAUCUGGCCACUCAACAAUAAUAUGUACAUGCUGCAAUUUUCUUGUUUAGGCGACUAGGAGGGAGUCAUGGACGAUGGGCUCUGGACUUACCGAGGCAACACGGUGCUUUUGGCGUCGUAUGAUGGAUUCACUAAACCAUCAACCAUAGCCUUGGACACAAUUGAGAUGUGGAUCCAAUUCAUGAUCUACCAGAUAGCUACUCCUACCCCCAAUUGAGCCUGGCGCUUGCUAGACCAUCCCGGUUCUCUGAGUUCCAUUGAUCUUAAAAGUUCUAAACUAUCCAAAUAACCCUCUUUCCGAUGCAACCUUGGGACCACAUCACAUAUAUGGCCGACUAUUUUCCAUGGGAAAGACAUAAUGACUUAGGGUUUGAUAAGGAGAAUAGGAGACGGAGAAUCCCCUGAUAUUUGGAACAAUAAUAGGAUAACUAGAGAGCAUAUAAAGAGGCCGAGAACUUCACAAACACCACAGCCGCCGACAAGCUCGCUGAACACAUUGAUCACACUAUGUCAUCAAGGGAUGAACAACUUAUUCAAUCGAUACUUAUUCCCAUUUAUGCGAGACUAUAUUGAAGAUCCCUCUUUGCACGAGACAAAUAUCUUAUUUUUGGUCUUGGAUUGAGGAUAGAAGGGGCAUGUUCACUGGGCAUUCUGCUUACAAGAUGAUACAGUGAACCAAGAUCAGUAGAGAAUCAUGGCUGUAUGAGCAGGGUGGCCGAUCAAACUCAGAGGCUGAUUGUCAAGGAUGGAUAGACUUAUGGCAUAUAAAAGCCCCCCGAAAAUCAAGGUGUUCAUGUGAAUAUUAGCACAAUACUCACAAUGUCCUUCUUCAUCAUAGAAACAUGUCGAUGACAAGUGCUUGUUGUUUGUGCAGGUCUAACGAUAUGUGCAGGCACGCCCUGCCGAAUUGCUUGGUUUCAAGGAGCACUAGGCACUAUCAUACGAGCAAAUUGUCGAGCUAUUGAGUCUGAAUGUAAAUGAUGACGCCAAACAGUGGCUUUUCACCAUGCAUGAGGUGUUAUCACAUGCGGACGAUUUUAUCAUGUUUACGAUCACUUUUGUGGACGAUAUGGGGAGCUCGGCACAAAGCUAUACAUGAGGAGAUAUAUAAAAGCCCUUUCACUUUUCAGGCUUUUGUGCAGAGUUACUUAAUUGAGCUGAGAGCUACCCAAAGCACUCAAAGUCCAGUUCCAGGGGCACCCGUGAUUAGGCCAAGUCAAUGUAUCGCUCCUCGGGAUGAUAUGGUGAAGGUCAAUGUGGAUGCGGCGGUUGGACCAGGCGACACUCGAGGUGCAAUGGGAGCUAUAUGCAGAGAUCAAGCAUGUAAUUUUCUGGGUGUGUCGGCCAUUGUGUUCCCACAUAUAUCAGAUCUUGUUACUGUCGAAUCUUCAGCAAUCAGGGUGGCACUUGCACUUGGUGAUAAUCUCUAUGAGAGGAAGAUUCAGGUGGCUUCAGAUUGCAAGGUGGUGUUGCAGAUAUACAUCAGAAGAGCGCAGCUAUCUACAGAGCAAUCAUAACUGAGAUCAUAGAUCAGAAGGCUACUUUUACUAAUUGUACAUUAGCCAUAAAUUUAGGAGCUUGAAUGUUGAAGCUCACAAACUCGUGAAGCAUGCCUUAUCCCUAGGGGUUGACCGCCAUGUUUGGUUAGGUAACCCCAUAGCUAAAGUUGUCUCGCCUUGCUUCAAAACUACUGAGCGUGCGCUGCGGUUUUGACCUAAAGCCUCCGUUUGCUGGAAUUAAUUGGAAUAGUUGAGAAGAAAGUGACCAACGGAUGCGUAAUGCGUGGAAAGCUGCUGGAUAGUUUGGGCCGAAUCCUGAAGAAAGUUCAAAGCGCUGUUUGGUGAGCCUACGUAGUAUUAGUUCGUUGGUUAGGUAAAGGUUGGCAAGCCAAUGAUGCUUAGCUGGUCUUUUUGAAUGUUUAGCCACACUGGGACUGAGACAUGGCCCAGACUCCCAUGGGGAGCAGCAGAGGGGAAUCUUGGACAAUGGGCGAAAGCCCGAUCCAGCAAUAUCGCGUGAGUGAAGAAGGUCAAUGCUCCUUGUAAAGCUCUUACGUUGAGUGCGCGAUCAUGACAUAUCUCGAGGAAGAAGCCCAGGCUAACUCCGUGCCAGCAGCCGCGCUAAGACGGGGGUGGGGGUGGGGGUGGGGGGAAGUACUCUUUGGAAUGACUGGGUGUAAAGGGCAUGUAGGCGGCGGGGUUGAAAAUGAAACUGUGAAAAUCAUAAUAAGUGGCGGAAUGCUCUUGAAACCAAUUCACUUAAGUGAGACAGAGGAGAGUGGGUGGUUUUCUAUUCGUCCCUAUAAACACUAAUCAUCAACCCGUGCACCUGCACGGGCUAGAUAUACCAUCAUAGAAUCUUGUAAAUAUACUUUGUAAGCCUAUAACUGGAAACAUAAAACAUGGAACAUGCUUUACAGUUUUUAUUUUAUAGUGGUGUUUAGUCUUCAAAUUUCAGGCAGAAUUAAAAGUGGACACGUCUGAAUUCUCAAGUUCAUUGAUCAAGCGCAUGCAGUUGUUAUGGUAUACAAAAUCGAACAUGUUGAGGACUCACAUGCAUAUUUGUAGGAAAAACUAAAAAAAAAUUGUAAUUAUUUCUUACAUCAUUACAUUCAAACCCACACAAAGAAAAUCCUCAAAUAAACAUCAUUUUUCUUUAAACAGAAGGAUCCAACUGACGCCAUAAAAUGUAUCUUUUCCUUAUAUUGGCCAAUUAUUGCUCAAACAGCUGUGCAUGUGCUGUGUAAAUAAGAUUUAGAUAUGGUACAUAGAACUUUUGUUAGAUUUAGACCAUAGCUUCAGUGUGAAUGUUGCUGCAAUGGCACAGAAGUAUGAUUGGUUUGGCAUCGUCUGCUUUGCGAUGAUCCACUCCCGUGCACAGGCUCUAUCCUACGGAUCGUCCUAUCGGACAGCUAGCAGUAUAUGUCAUGCCAAAAGCUUCUUGACCAACAUAUGCACUAGUAAAUCUAAUUACUCUAAAUUAUGAAAAUAUAGUUAUUCUGAAUUAUGAAAAUAUAAUUACCCUAAACUAUAUAUGUACCUUAGAUCGUAGAGGCCACCAUCGAACAGAACUAUAUAGGGAGUAGUUGUGCGGUAGUACUGUUGAGAUGUAGAAGUGGAAAAGCAAUAAUGCAUAACAAAAUCAUAUUCUAUCACACGCUUAGCUUAUACUAUAUAUAUUGGCACACAUUUUCUUUGCAUAUGCACCUGGUAGAUUAAACAAUGGAAGCAAACACAGUAGGGCAAACCAAUUUCAGAUUUUUAUCUCAAAUCAAAAGCCUAGAAAGGGUGAUCCAGGAAAAACAUUAAUCGCUGCAUUGUUGAGAGUCUCAUGUUUCAAUUUCACCAUCCAAUCUCAUAGAAAAAUGUAGGCAGCCGGUGAGGAAUCAGCAGAUGGUUGCCAUGUGCUUCUCGAUAUUUCUUUUCCCUAAUCACCAAAGAACACAUAGGCGAGCCCAGCAGUAACUUGAUAUACAGGAGGCUUCUUUGCUUUGCACCAGUGUAACACGAAAGAACAGAUACGCAGCCGUGAAAGUCGCUGGCUGCAUGAUGGAAGACGCCAACCACAUAUCGUUGAUAUUGAACGCAACGCUUGAAUAUCUUUUUUGACCUCUUCGUUCACCAUAACCUUUCAUAGUGGGAUCCAUCUUUCUUAAGCUUUGACACUUGGAAAUAAUACUUACCAUCAUAUUAAUCAAACCUUGCUGCAUCCACCGAUUUUUUUCCAACUCAUGCAUGUGAAACCAUGGAUAUUUCAUCAGCAAAAAGUACGAAAAAGGACACAACUAUGCACUAUUAAUUAUGUCUGUGCUCAGACGUACCGCUCUCCUGUAGUAUCCACAAAAGGAAAACCAAGAUUUUCAGUUCUCACGCGCCUGAGAAACAUCAUCUAUCUUCUGCUUGCAAUCUUUCCUGAUGAUACAUCAUGUCUGUUGGGGGUAAUAUGAAUUCGAAAGGAUGGAAAAAAGACCUGGGAAGAGGGGAAUUAGGGAUACUGUGCUAAAUUGGGACAGGAGAGGAGAGCAUUAUGCCCUUGAAUGGAAUCCAGGAUGCGAAACGUUGUGCCGCCAUAGCGAUGAUGGCCACAACCAUACUUGCUUCAAAGAGGAACAUCAGUACUGUACCUCCUCCAAGCCUCGAGCAAGCAACACAAUAUUGUACAGGAGGCCCCAUGCCAGCGGUAGGGGCAGAUCGCCGUUCAAUGCCUGCAGAGGGCCUCUCAUCCUUCUAGUACUGAAUAUGCUAGCAGUCGACUAAAAUAGAUGAUUGAGCUGAUACUGUUAUCAUUGCCAUCUGUAAUCGAUAUUGAAUACCUCCUCUUGCAUGCUAGAUCUAAACAUAAAAUUUAGCUCAACUGUACACAUCUGUUUUGACUCGACAGUAAGGAACCAUAAUAUUGCAACCCUGAGGAACAAAGCAACGGAUGAGUACUUGACAACAAUUUAGCUCAAGUGUACAGCUAAAAAUUUAAUUCUGAAGGAGAAAAUUGGUUGCGACAAAAGCAGUCACUUGACAACAAUUAUCACAUUUGUCUAUGAAUAUUUGAACCUAUGGUCUUUGUUGCGCCCUGGUCGGAUGGAUUAAAAAAGGCAACCAUCUAGUACAUAGGGAGAUUGUGCAUAGUUCUUACCUCCAAUAAUCUAAUCAAGGCAGUAGAGGAGGAUUAUGUGCCCUGUGUAAGAGGAACACGCAUCAGUCUGGAGUAGGAUCCAGGAGGCCAUUAUUGAACCAAUUUUCACAUAUCACCAGCUAAUGAAAAAUAAUUUACAAAUAGUAACUCUCAUCGAGUGGAAAUAAUAUCAUGCAUGGUACUUAAGCCAGCCGUACCUGAAACUUGAUGAAUCUAAUAUUUGUUCAAGGAAGUGUCUCAUGGCCUUUAACUAAAACUAACAAUUUACAGUUGACAGUGAUCUAGUUUCAUGAAGCUAUAAUUAUUAGAAGUCACCAGAUGUCUGCCUCUCUUCGAUUUCUGCAAGUAGCACCUAGGUGAGCUCACCAAAUCACCCCAUGUUGCUCUAAGUAGGUAGAAAUUUGGCAGAUACACAAAUAUUAGUACGGUAUCCAUUAAUUCUAAUAAUUGAUAAAGAAGGACACUCCUCUAGCUUCUUAUGUGUGUGUGUGUCUGUGUGUUUGGUGCUGUGUAUUUCGAUGUGAGAUCAGUAAUUCCAACUCCCUACAAUUAAGAUAUGAAUAGUCAGUGGAAACUUACCAUUGGGAACCAUGGCUUGGGGAGCAUGUUCAGACCUGCAAGUUGCUGCUCUCAAUCUAUUGCCCAUGUAUAUGGAUGAUUAUUAAUCUGCUCAUAUGUUUACACCUCCAGACGUUGCCACUGCAGGGAUUACUAACAUGAACACAACCAUCAUCGCCAUUAAGUUAGCAACAUAGAUCAACAUACUUGUCGCCAUGGCGGGUAGGAAAAGUUUCACGUGUGAUGUUCUCUAUUGCUAUCACGUAAUCCUUGUAACUAACAGUCAAACGACAUGCUAGGCAAUCACAAAGGGAAACGUUUCUGGCCGGGGCACCGGCCGAACCUUCGGCCGGUCGCGAGCCACGCUGGCGCCCCGCGCCCGCCCAAGCCGCGCCCCGCGCGAGACUCCUGUUAUUGUUGGGCCCCACAUGGACCACCCCUCCUCCCUUUUUUAUCUUUCCCCUAACUGCCGCCUUCAUCCCCUACCUCCAGACACAUCCUUUCCCGUGGCCAUUUUUCUUCUUCCUUUUCCCUGCGCUGCUGCCUACCGGCGGCCGCUGCCGGCUGUGUGCUUCGCCGAGCCAGGGGGACUACCCGACUGCUGCCAGUCCUCCUCCUCCGCACAUCUUAUCCCCCAAAACAUCUCUCCUUCUCUCUCAAAUAAGCCAUGUUUCAAGACGAGACAAGGUCUGGGAAGGAGGCUGCAACCGGUGCCCGGGGAGCCAGCGACCGGCCAUGAGACGGCGAGCAUGGUGACCUCAGGACGGCGAGGAUAGGGCAACACUCCUCCAAGAAAACAAUCGACGUCGUUAUUUUUGCUACAUGCUUCAACCGGCGUCGGAAUUUGCUACAAACGGCAUCGCGUACUGCUGCCACUGGUGUCACAUUUUGCUGCAAUGCACAAUCAACCUCGCGUUUUUGCUAGAAUAGAUGUCGCUUUUUGCUACAACCGUUUUCAUUUUUUGCUACAUAUGUUCAGGCUGAGCUGUGACCCGAUGACGUCGGCGAUGCCUUUUUUGCUGCAACCGUAAUAGAUUUUUGGUACAUCCAGCAACAAUUUUUGCUACAUCCAUUCUUUUUUUGCCAGCGACGAUACAAUGGCGAGAUACAGCCGCCAGCGAUGAUGACAAGCUUUUUCGCCGAAUAAGCUGCAACGGGCAUCGUGAAAAGCUGGAACCGGCCAUCAGCAGAGCUGCAUCUACUGUGGGUGGUGCCCCGGCAACCAUAUCGGGCACCUCUCGCGGAGCUCGACGCCCAUGGCCAUGGCGACAGCCCUCGCGGAGCUCGACGGCCAUGGCCAUGGCAGCACCCCUCGUGGAGCUCGAUGCCGAUGGCCAUGGCAGCACCCCUCGCGGAGCUCGACGCCCAUGGCCACGGUAGCAUCCCUCGCGGAGCUCGACUCCCAUGGCCAUGGCGUGCCCUAGCAGCCACGGCGGCAUCCCUCGAGUGGAUCUCGACGAACAUGGCCGUCGUGUCCAUCACCAGACGGGGAAUCAUGCAUCUCGCGGGUCACAGGGGGAGCGCGCGUCCCCCGCGAGGAAGGAGACGAGUUUGGGGGAGAAUCGAACGGUUAGAGGCGUGCAAAUCGUACGGCUACCGAGCGACCGACCGAACUUUCAGCCGGUGCGCCGGCGCCUAUCGUUACCCAAUCACAAAAGACAAUCUGGAGGAAGGCAACCGCUUGCACUGCUGGGGAGAGGGUCUAGAAAAUAUAGAACUUUCCCCCAAAAUAAGAAUUUCCUGUAAAAAACAGAGCAGGAGCAGAUGAUGAACCGCGCCGGCAUGUACCUGCCUUUACCUUCUGGCAUGUGCGCCCUCCUUCAAACUACCAUGGAUACACAUCCACAUAUGCAUAGGCCAUCUAGGAUUCGGAAACCUGAAAUAAAAGGAGAUUGUUAGUCUAAUAUGUCACGUUUUGUGACAUAUCUCCUAAUCCCCUAAAUCGAGGAGAAUCGAUAUUGUUGUGAUCUCCCAUUUAUGGUUAAGAUUGUAAAUCUGUCUAUAUAUUGACAUGCAAUGGAAAAGCCCAAGUGUGCAACAAUUCCUAAAUCUUUCAUGGUAUCAGCCUAAGAAAAUCCUCUCGCUUCCGCUCCCUCCAACCCUAGCGCCGUCGACCCUGUUCCCGCGCCGCCGGCCAACACCUCCCUCCCCUCCCCUCCCAUGACGCCCUCCGAACCACCUGCUCCCCAUCCCAACACCGCCCUCUGGGUGCAGGCCACCGCCAUCCCAAGCGUCCGCUCUCUCGUCCCCAUCGUCCUCGAGUUCAAGAGCGCCGUCUUCCCCAAGUGGAGGACCUUAUUCAACUCGCUGUCACCACCUACGCCCUUGAGGACCAUCUCACCGCCGAGACGCCCUCCACCGAUCCAACAUGGCGCCGCCUCGACGUCUUGGUGCUCCGCUGGCUCUACGGCUCCAUGGCCAUGGACAUCGUCGACGUCGUCAUGCCCACCGACCCUGCCACCACCACGGCCUACAAGGUCUGGACCUCCGUCCUCGCUCUCUUCAACGACAACCAAAAGAGCCGCGAGAUUUAUCUCGCCGAGGAGUUCCACAACAUCAAGCAGGAGGAUCGGUCCAUCACCGAGUAUCUUCACCUGCAAAAGACGGUGGCUGACGCUCUUGCCGAGGUCGGUGCCCCCGUAUCUGACCCCGAGCUCGUCACCAACGUCAUCAAGGGCCUUCACGAGCGCUUCGACAGCGUUGCCGACAUCGCCCCCUCCUCACGUUGUUCCCUACCUUCCUCAACUUUCGCAACAUGCUGCUGCUCCACGAGAUGAAGACUUCCCGGCGCUCCACCAACACCUUAGCCUCCGCCUUCUACACCGCCAAAGGACCAGUCCCUGCUCCUCCCAGCGGCGGCGGGUCGUCCUCCGGCGGCGGUGCUCCUCCAAUGCCCACUCCGUUCAACCCUUGGACAGGAGCCAUCCAGAUGUGGCCCAUGCAGUCGCACCCCAACAGCACCGGCGACAUCCUUGGACGGGGUCUGGGAUCACGCGCCCACGCCUACAUGGCCGCUCCCCCGGCUUCUCUCGGCGCGCCCUACGGUGGCCAUAGCGCAGCUCCGUUCGGUGUCGUGCUGCCCUACGCCACAACACCGACGCCGACACCAUCAUGGGACACCGCCGCUCUCGCUCAACAGUUCACCAACAUGACGUUGCAUCAACCCUCUCCUGAGUGGGUCAUGGAUAGCGGCGCGACCGCCCACCUCUCCUCCGAUGUCGGUAUCUUAUCAUCUCUUUCUCCCCAUCCUAUAUAUCGUCACGUGGUGGUCGGCGACGGUUCCACCGUUCCCGUCACCACAUCCGGUCAUUCCUCCCUUCCCUCCCUCUUUCCCAAUAGACCUCUUCAUUUACGUCAUAUCUUAGUCACACCUAACAUUAUCAAAAACCUUAUUUCCGUUCGUCAAUUCACUACUGAUAAUCAUUGCAUCGUCGUUUUUGACCCUUUUGGUUUCUCUGUGAAGGACCUUCAUUCCCGGCGCGAGAUCCUUCGGUGCAAUAGUAUAUGGGAGCUCUACACGUUCACACGUCCUCCGCCUCCUCGCACCCUCGCCACGCUCACCGCCCCUCGUGACGUGUGGCACCGUCGCCUCGGUCACCCCGGCCAUGAUGCCUAUAGUCGCCUCUCGCAACAUAUUUCUCUUCCUUGUAUUAGACAAAUAAAUCAAACCACUUUAUGUCAUGCUUGUCAACUAGGAUGUCAUGUACGUUUACCUUUUUCCUCUUCCACUACUCGUACAACUCGUCCAUUCAAGUUAGUCCAUUGUGAUCUUUGGACUUCACCGAUCUUGAGUGUUUCUGGCGAUAAAUAUUUUUUAGUCAUUCUUGAUGAUUUCACUCAUUUUCUAUGGACUGUUCCGCUUCACCAAAAAUCUGAUGCUUACGCCUCGCUCUCCGCUUUUCGCGCGUUCGCUCACACUCAGUUUGGCUUAUCUCUCGUGUCCAUAGAAUGUGACAACGGUCGUGAGUUCGACAAUAACAAACUUCACUCUCUCGCCGCCACGCACAACAUUCACAUUCGCUUCUCUUGCCCAUACACAUCCCAACAAAAUGGUAAAGCUGAAUGCAUUAUUCGCACUGUCAAUGACAUUGUGCGUUCUCUCUUAUUUCAGGCUAGCCUACCACCUCGUUAUUGGGCCGAAGCACUUCACACCGCCACUCACGUCCUUAACCGUCUUCCUACAAAAACAAUUAGCGGCCCCUCUCCAUACUUUGCCCUUCACAACACCCAUCCCGAUAACUCGUCACUACGCGUCUUCGGCUGCCUAUGCUAUCCCAACACCGCCUCCACUAUGCCACAUAAACUGUCGCCGCGUUCGAGUGCUUGCGUUUUUCUUGGCUAUUCCUCUCAUCAUAAGGGAUAUAGGUGCAUGGACCUCACUACCCACCACAUCAUCAUCUCUCGUCACGUCGCAUUCGAUAAGAUGACCUUUCCCUUUGCCUCCCCACAGCCUACCAACGCCGCCACAUACGACUUUCUUGCCGCCGAUGACAACCUACCCAUAGUUGUCCCACCCCUUCCGAUUACUACCCCUCCACCCACCCCACCACCCUCCCUCCUCCCGCCCCUCCCUCACCACCUGCACCACCCUCACCACCUGGACCUCCCUCACCGGGCGCCCCUCCUGCACACACUCAUCGCACGCGCAACACCUCCGGCAUCCACAAGGGGCCUCGCAAGCGGCUUAACCUGCAUGUUUCGUCUGUCAGCAGGUACUCACCGGUUCCCACCUCCGCCUGUGCAGCUCUCAAGGAUCCCAACUGGCUCGAUGCUAUGACUGCGGAGUACCGCGCUCUCCUCAGCAACAACACUUGGGAUCUUGUGCCUCCUCCUCGGGAUGCUAACAACGUCUCCGGCAAGUGGGUUUUUUGCCACAAGCUCAAGCCCAAUGGCUCCCUCGAUCGCUAUAAAGCUCGUUGGGUGCUUCGAGGUUUCUCUCAGGAGCCAGGUGUCGACUUCGACAAGACAUUCAACCCGUUUGUCAAACCAGCCACCGUGCGUGUCAUCUUCUCCAUCGCGCUCUCUCUUAAUUGGGAGACUCAUCAGCUCGACAUCAAGAACGCCUUUCUGCAUGGCACUCUUGCUGAGGUUGUCUACUGUCGUCAACCCACUGGCUUCAUCGACUCCAGUUGCCCCGACCACGUCUGUCGGCUGAACCGUUCACUCUACGGUCUCAAGCAGGCUCCUCGUGCGUGGUACCAACGCUUCACUGCUUUCACCACUUCAACCGGCUUCAUAUGCUCACGCUCAGACACUUCGUUCUUCGCCCUCCGGUGUGCAGAAGGCACGGCCUUCCUCCUACUUUAUGUGGACGACAUCGUCCUCACCGCCUCGUCGACUCGCUUGCUCGACAUGAUCACGUCCUCUCUCCACGCCGAGUUCGCCAUGACGGACAUGGGCAUCCUCCACUACUUCCUCGGCAUCGCGGUUACCCGCAACUCCUCCGGCAUGCAUCUUUUGCAAGCUAAGUACGCCACGGAGAUUCUGGACAGGGCCGACAUGACUCCUUGCAAGUCGGCCACGACACCUGUUGAUACAUCACCGAAGCUCGCUGCUACUGCCGGUCCUUCAGUGGCCGAUCCCACGGAGUACCGGAGUCUUGUCGGCGCUCUCCAAUACCUCACUUUUAUGCGCCCAGACAUCGCGUAUGUCGUUCAACAUGUUUGCCUUCAUAUGCACGACCCGCGUGAGCAACACCUCGCCGCCAUCAAGCGCAUCUUGCGCUACGUCAAGGGCACGCUCUCAUGGCCUUCAGCUCUACUCGACUUCACCAAGCUCCAUGAUCGCCUACACCGACGCCGACUGGGCCGGCUGCCCCGACACUCGGCGGUCAACGUUAGGAUUCUGUGUUUACCUUGGAGAUAACCUCAUCUCUUGGUCCUCCAAGCGGCAACACACAGUCUCGCGUUCGAGUGCUGAAGCCGAGUACCGUGCCGUGGCAAAUGCCGUGGCUGAGGUGAGUUGGCUUCGGCAACUUCUCUAGGAACUUCAUCGACCAUCUCCUCCUGCGACGAUCGUCUUCUGCGACAACGUCAGCGCCGUCUACAUGUCCACGAACCCAGUGCAACAUCAGCGUACCAAACACAUCGAGAUCGAUCUCCACUUCGUUCGCGAUCGUGUUGCCAUGGGUCAGGUCCGUGUGCUUCAUGUUCCCUCGUCACGACAGUUCGCCGACAUCUUGACGAAGGGUCUUCCGUCGCCGUUGUUUUUGGAUUUUCGGUCCAGUCUCAACGUCCGUUCUCCUCCUGUUGUGACUGUGGGGGAGUGUUAGACUAAUAUGUCACCUAUCGUGACAUAUCUCCUUAUCCUCUAAAUCGAGGAGAAUCGACAUUGUUGUGAUCUCCCAUUUAUGGUUAGGAUUGUAAAUCUGUCUAUAUAUUGACAUGCAAUGGAAAAGCCCAAGUGUGGCAACAAUUCCUAAAUCUUUCACAGAUAUCAAAACUCGAGUGGAAGGGCAAUGAGUAGAGAUUGAAUUGGUUCAUUUUCUUCUAGAUGGACUGCAUUAGGGAUCGUACCUUGCAGUAUAUAGGAGAACAUGGAGAGGCGGCGGAGGAGGAGGAGCGGCGCUGGCAGAAGAGAUGCGGCCAUGCGGGGAAACCUGUUUUUUCUUUGGGUUUCCAUACGAAGACCUCUUUUUUUUUUCUUGUAAGGAGACGUACCUGUGAGAUAAUUUGCUAGGACUCUCAGGGAUUUCAUCUAACGGCUGCAGAUAUUUCAUACUGAUAUCUGAUGGUUAAUUUUAUUAGUUUUAUAGGAUUAACGUGACCCUUUUUAUUUGGGUUCCAUACAAAGAACUAUUUUUCUUGUAAGGAGACGUACGUGUGGGAUAAUUUGCUAGGACUCUCUUAGUGAUUUCAUCCAACGGCUGUAGAUAUUUUAUACUGAGAUCAGAUGGUUAUUUUUGUUAGUUUUGUAGGAUUAACGUGAUGCCUCGUUUGGUGCCUCCAAUUAGUAAAUAUAUAAGAUAAGAUAUAAGAUAUAAGAUAAGAUUGUGAGGUACUAAAAUUAAUUUUUUUGAAAGGAAAAGUUGAAACAGACACUCACUUCCAUGAACACGUGGACACACAACCGGUGGCUCCAUGCAUGCAUGCAUGAUACAUCGCACGCAGUACGCAAGCGGGCUGUUGCCAAGCUAACUAAUGGCGCCCGGCCGACAACACAGUACAGCUAAUAGAGCACUCGCUGCCAAACGCCUACGUGAGAGACCCUCGUGAGCCCAGCUAUACAACAUCCGCUCCUCCACCCAUCCUCGUUCACUCCGCAUCCGCAGCCGAAUUCCCCCGUCUCCACCGCUCAGCCCCCCGGACCGCCGGACCUCUCCUCGCCUUGCCAUGGCAGCCGCAGCACUGAGGGCGCAGCUGAACGCCCAUAUCGCCGGCAUGUACACCAAUGUGAGGCCCUUCCCCUCCCCUCUAGUCGUGUGGUAUUGGAUUUUGGCUUGGCUGGACGACUAACUUGGCCUUUGCCUUUGCUUUGGCGUGGUCGAUGUCGAUGCAGGGUGUGGUGGACGAGGAUACAUUCGAGGAGCUGCGGGACGAGGGCACCGCCGCCGAGGUCUCCCGCCUCUUCAUCUACGACGCCUCCGAGAUCAUCGACGACAUCGACCUCCUGAUGUCCGCCCCCACGCCCUCUGUCAUCUCUCCCUCUGCUCUCUGUCUCGGGAACUGACUCAUCUUAAUUAUCUGCUCUGGAAAUCGCAGGGAGGAGCCUGAAGUGGACUUUGACGAGGUGGAAGCCCUGACGCAGCAGCUCAUGCGGUGCACCUCCAGGUGAUGACUAUCAUAAACCAUUUCUCUCUCUUCCACCUGCUUAUUUUUAACUCUAUGUUUGUUUGCCCGCUGCGUCAAUGUCGUGCGAUUCGGAUCUGUUUAUACUGGGCAAAGGAUUCUUAUUUGUCGGUUGCACUACCCCAUAGGCGUAAUUAGAAGAAUCAAGUUUAGUCGCGUUUAGUGUAACAGAGUUACCAGUAUCCCGAUUAAUAUCAAUGUUAUGAUGAGGAUAAAUUGCUGGCAUUUUUGGAAUAGUCUUGGUAUUAAUGAUCUGCUAUUUUGUGUAUUGCUAAUGGUGUUUUUUCUGGUAUUAAUGAUCUGCUAUUCUAUGUAUCUCUAAUGGUGUUUUUUCUAGUUUGUCCACGGCUUUGAUGUUGUUUUUUAUUUUGAUGUGUCGGCACGGGGUGUGUACCUCACGACACGGCCACACAAUUGAGGUUUGUGUCGUUUUACAGGCGUCGUAUAGCCAUAGGUAGAAGAGCUGAGUUUAGUCAUAUAUCGUGUAACGAAAUUGUUGGUAUUCUUCCCAAUGUUAAUCAAAUCGUAUAGCUUGGCGAGGGGAAUUUUUGUCGUUUUACAAACGUUUGUUCUACUAUCAUGUCUGUUCUUCGGGCAAUGCCAUUAUUCUAGGUUGAGAAUGAAAAAAAUUGUCGUUUUAUAAGCAUGGCUGGUAUUAAUGAUUUGCAAUUCUACAUAAUGCCAAUGGCCAUGUUUCACCAUUGGAACGGUGUUGUUUCUAUUCAGAUUUGUCAGGCGCAGGGUGUGUACGUCAUGGACGUCAUUUGGGUGUCGUAUAUCCAAAAUUAGAAGACCUCAUUGUAGUUGUGUCUCGUGUAGCGGAAUUGUCGGUAUUCAUGACAAUUUCAUGGUCCGGCAAGAAAAACUUUGUCGUUUUCUAAAUAUUUCUGGUACUACUGAUCUGCUAUUGCACAUAGCGGCAAUGGUGUUUUUUUUUUCUGCUUCAUCAAACAAUUUAUGGAGUUGACAAUCAUGAUAGGAAAUGGCUCCUUGCGAAAUUAUUAUUGAGUUGACGUCUCAGUUUAUAAUAAGUUUGAUAAGUUCCUAAUUUCCUGAUCUGCAUUUUUUUUGCAUGUUUCAGUGUUGGUGCACAGCAAGUGAACCUCGCCUGCAUGCACUUCGGCAAUUUCUAUGCCAUACAAUACAAACAAGGGUCAGAACUUAGUAGCUUAUUUAAUACUGCUACACAAUAAUUAUUCCCAACAUUGUUUUUCAAUGUCUCUAUGUAAACCUGACAGCUCAUGUUGUCUUUUCUGUCGUUAUUUUCAGCUCAUAUACCAAUCUAACAUUGUUAAGAAGUAUCCUCAUUUGCUUUUUCACUUCAUCUGCAAUCACGUUAUUGAUAUUACUCGGUUCACUAUCUGAAUAUGCUACUCUUUGAUGGUUCUCUUGUAAUUUAUUGGCUCUAGACUUUUGUUUAUAGAACAACUAAAUUCUUAUAUGGCUAGAGAUUUUUCUCUUUUCAAAUAUAGGGUUACAAUUUUUGAACCAUUUCAUCUCAGUUCUGUUAACCUCUUCAGAAUUUGACAAUGUGGUAAUUUUGCAUUAUUUCAGGUGUCUCGUGUCAUUGACUCUUGUUAGGAAUGAGUUCUAUAUUGUGCGACAUGAGUUGGAGAUCGUGAUGCAGGUAGCACCGUAUGUGCAUAAUGUUGGAUGUUGAUACCAACUUUCCACUAGUUUCAUAACCCAUAGAUUGGUCAUAUUAAGAUAGAGAAAUGGGAACAAUCUUUAAUCCUUAAUCUAAUUCUUUUGACAUUUAGAUUUGGAGCACUUAGUUUGAGGUACCGAAAAGUCUCCUUUAGCCGUUAAAUGAUUAUGUGGUAAUUUUGUCAUCAUGUUCGGUAGAUGCAUAGGGUAGCUAAAAAAGUGGGAGAAAUUCUCUGUUUCCCAGCUUAAAUUAAGCUUCACCAAAUACCCAAAUAAGAAACUAGCUAACUUGUAACAUGGUGAUUAGUGAAACCAUGUGACUUGAGCACCAUUAUGUGCCAUAGACUUAUCUUAAUCAUUUUUCGGAAGGUACUUCUCUUAAUCAUUGACCUAUUAUUCAUAUUUUGUUGCAGCUCGAAGAGCAGAUCGCGGCAUGUGGUCCUGACUCCUAAGUAGCGGCAAGUGAAGGGGGAAGAGCCUGGCCCCAUGCAAUCCCUUGCAUUAUGCGGUCCAUGUGUCUCGGAAGAUGUAGCCGUUUUCAAAGGGUGUCUAGCACUAUAGGGUGCACGUAAAACUUAGAUGAAUAUUCUCGCGUCGGAACUUUGGGCUCGUAACCCUGUGAAAGAAAACUGUUGUCGUGUGUUGAUGUUAGUGUGAAGUCCAUAUUAUAGAGUGUCGUGGAUGUGUUGGCCCCCGCCUACGGGCUGUUUAUGAAACCUAUACUUGGUUGGUUGGUCCUCUAGUGACUUUGUUUUGCUGUUUCUUCUGUUUGUUUUUCUCUAUAAGCAAGUCUUGUUGUUAGUUGUUGUACCCAGAGUGUAGCCAAUCACCAUAUUUGGGCAUAUUAAACAUGUUGUUUCGGUCUGAAAUUUCAGCAUGGCCUUCUUAUAAGAGUACGACGGCACUUCCACGAGCAGUAGCCGGAGGAGGGGAAAAACAGAGGGGAUGGUCUGUGAGGUCACAUCCAGGGAUCACAAAGCUGUCGGUUCGCGAGACGACGUGAAGAGCAUCUCUGGGCUUGGGUAUGUUUGCAUUGGUAUGAAAAGUCUGGGCUAAUUAAGUCGCCAAUUACAGCUCCAACGAUGAUCGCUGGAACAUCAUACUACUCCUAGUCCACAUAGUUAUUUAGACUACCCUGAAUCACCAACUGGGCAAGAGAACAUGUGGCCAUCUUCGUCUUUGUCAUGUAGUGGCUGAUCUCACCUGUUGCAAACCAUGUUCUGAUGUGAAACUUCGGGUCUUUGAUGGUAGUAGAAACUGGUGUUAUUCAUCACCAUGGCUAGCCGAUGCUCGUACGGCCUCCCUUCCAUGACUGCUAUCGCUUCUCAUGCUGGCUCGCCAACUAGGGUAUGGUUGGUUGAUGAAAGAAAAACUCACACACCAAAUUUAGAUCCCGCUUUCUUAUAUAUGUGCAAAUUUUUUGGUACAACCAUGCUCCACAUCCAACUCUAUCUUAUUUUUCCAGAGUGGAGGAAGGGGACACUUUGCGGGACUUUCAGUAGAAAAUUUUCCAUACAGAUAGAAGCACCUAUUAAAAAGAUACUCCAAAGGCUUCCGGAUCAUAGUCUCAUUAGCUGAAGAACACACAUGCUAAUCUAUAUUAAGUGCAUUCAAAUCAUGCCUUUAUUAACUAGUCCAAGGCCUCAUCAGCCACAACAUCAUAAAUACAAAGAGGAAAAACAUGAAACCAAGUUUUACACAAAUCAUUGGGGCAACCUUCCCUUGCCAUGAUGGAAUUAGCCCUAUUAGUUGUUCUUCUAUUCCACUUCACCCGAUGCUCUUCUAAAGCAGAUAACAAGUCCAUUAUGUCUUCACAGAGAGGCCCCAUCUUGGGGGAGGGGGGGGGGGGUUAGUCUACAGAGUUCAACGUUAUAGCCACACCCUGAUUGUCAUUAAUGAAUACAAUUGUUUGGUCAAAUAUGUUGGUUGAGAGUAGUUCAUGAUGGCCUUUCUAGUUGGAGAGAAUAAUUCUUUCCUUGAUGAUUUCUCUUACAAAGAUCAAGCAUAUAUAUCGAGGGAGAGAGAACCCACUCCCCUGGAACGUAGGCAUGCAAGCCAUGAGAACUAGGAGAUCCUAACAAUGGUGCAUAGACGUCCUGCACAAACGGUUCUCCGUGUUAUGGCAGGUUACAUUCUCAUGUUUUUUUACUUUACAGUGCUUACAAGUUGAGAUUUGAAAAAAUCUAGCCUAGAACAUAAGUCAUCAAAACUCAUGGCAUUUUGAAACUUUAGUCAUAAAAAGAUAUCAAAUAUCAGACACAAAAAGGGACUGCUAGACAAAAACGCAAAAAGAAUGAAAAUAAAGAAGUGGCACAAUAGUUACCGAGCGUUGAUAUGUCUCCAACGUAUCUAUAUUUUUUAUUGUUCCAUAAUAUUAUAGCCCGACAGCCCCAUCCUCUACUCCAUCGAUGCGUCCACUGGGCGAGAUCGGUGGUGUGCCAUCUGAGGGAGUCCCGGAUUAGGGGGUGUCCGGAUGACCUGACUAUGACCUUUGGCCGGACUCCUGGGCUAUGAAGAUACAAGAUUGAAGACUUCGUCCCGUGUCCGGAUGGGACUUUCCUUGGCGUGGAACACAAGCUUGGCGCGGAUAUGUAGAUCUCCUCCCAUUGUAACCGACUCUGUGUAACCCUAGCCCUCUCCAGUGUCUAUAUAAACCGGAGGGUUUUAGUCCGUAGGACGAACAACAAUCAUACCAUAGGCUAGCUUCUAGGGUUUAGCCUCUCUGAUCUCGUGGUAGAUCUACUCUCGUACUACCCAUAUCAUCAAUAUUAAUCAAGCAGGAGUAGGGUUUUACCUCCAUCGAGAGGGCCCGAACCUGGGUAAAAACAUCAUGUCCCUUGUCUUCGUUACCAUCUGCCUAGACGCACAGUUCGGGACCCCCUACCCGAGAUCCGCCGGUUUUGACACCGACAUUGGUGCUUUCAUUGAGAGUUCCUUUGUGUCGUCAUCUUUAGGCCCGAUGGCUCCUCCGAUAAUCAACAACGAAGCGGUCCAGGGUGAGACUUUUCUCCCCGGACAGAUCUUCAUAUUCGGCGGCUUUGUGAUGCGGGUCAAUUCGCUUGGCCAUCUGGAGCAGAUCGAAAGCUACGCCCCUGGCCAUCAGGUCAGAUUUGUAAGUUUGAACUACACGGCCGACAUCCGCGAAGACUUGAUCUUCGGCGGAUUCGAGCCACAGCCGGGCGCGCCGCACUGUCACGAUGGGCAUGUUCUAACUCUGCCACCGAACAGUGUCCAGGAGGCCGCCCUAGCGUCCGAUCCGACCCUUAGCUCGAAGCCGACUGCGCCAAUCGAGGACGGGUGGCUGGACACCGCCUCGGGGGCUGCAAUCCCUACGGCGAUCGAGCCGAAUACCAGCCUUGUCCUUUACGAAGCUCGUGACUCCCAGGUGCCAGACUCCUUUCCAGAAUCCAAACCUUCCACGCCCCUGCCGAUCGAACCCGAUUGGGCGCCGAUCAUGGAGUUCGCUGCCGCGGACAUCUUUCAGCACUCGCCCUUCGGCGACAUUCUGAAUUCACUAAAGUCUCUCUCUUUAUCAGGAGAGCCCUGGCCGGACUAUGGUCAGCGAGGUUGGGAUGCAGACGACAAAGAAAUUCAAAUCCCACCCACCACCCACUUCGUAGCCACUGUCGAUGAUUUAACCGACAUGCUCGACUUCGACUCCGAAGACAUCGACGGUAUGGACGCCGAUGCAGGAGAUGACGAAGAACCAGCGCCUAUAGAGAACUAGAAGGCCACCUCGUCAUAUGACAUAUACAUGGUGGACACCCCCAAAGAAGGGAAUGGCGAUGGAACAACGGAGGUUGACCCCUCCAAGAAGCAGCCUAAGCGCCGGCAUCCGCGGCGCCGCUCUAAAUCCCGCCAAAGAAAAAACGAUGAUUCCGGCAUGGGAGAUAAUAACACCCCGGACAGUGCCGAAGACAACCCCCUCCAGCAGGAUUCAGCACAGGAGGAUGGAGAAGCCAGCCCUCAUGAGAGAGCGGCAGACAGAGAGGUAGAGGACGAUAAUCACAUGCCUCCCUCCGAAGACGAGGCAAGCCUCGACGACGACGAAUUUAUCGUGCCUGAGGAUCCCGUCGAACAAGACCGUUUCAAACGCAGGCUUAUGGCCACGGCGAGCAGCCUCAAGAAAAAACAGCAGCAGCUUAGAGCUGACCAAGACUUGCUAGCCGACAGAUGGACUGAAGUCCUUGCAGCCGAAGAGUACGAACUCAAACGCCCCUCCAAGAGCUACCCAAAGCGUAGGCUGCUAUACCAAUUAGAGGAGGAAGCACCUAAACCUACAUCACCAGCGCACGACGCGGCAGACCGGCCACCUCGUGGCCGCGACAGAGAGGCCUCUCGGCCAUCCACUCAAGCCGCACCCCGACGUCGCUCAAAAAAUACCAAGGCACGGGGAAAGGUGCCAGACCUGCGAGAUAUAUUGGAGGACAAGGCAAGGCAAACAAGAUAGACCUCCGGAUCGCGUGGGCGCCCCACGACACGUAACGAUAACCGUCAUGCCGGAUAUGGCAAAUACGGCCAGGCCAAACACAGCAGACAAAGCUCAUUUGAGCUACGACGUGAUAUAGCCCAGUACAGAGGCGCCGCACACCCACUAUGCUUCACAGAUGAAGUAAUGGAUCAUCAAAUCCCCUAGGGUUUUAAACCCGUAAACAUCGAAUCAUACGAUGGCACAACAGAUCCUACGGUAUGGAUCGAGGACUAUCUCCUUCAUAUCCACAUGGCCCGCGGUGAUGACCUACACGCUAUCAAAUACCUCCCACUCAAGCUUAAAGGACCAGCUCGGCAUUGGCUCAAGAGCUUACCAACAGAGUCAAUUGGUUGCUGGGAGGACCUGGAAGCCGCAUUCCUCGACAAUUUCCAGGGCACCUAUGUGCGACCACCAGACGCCGAUGACCUAAGCCACAUCAUUCAGCAGCCAGAGGAAUCGGCCAGACAAUUCUGGACAUGGUUCUUAACCAAGAAAAAUCAAAUAGUCGACUGUCCAGACGCAGAGGCCCUCGCAACCUUCAAACAUAACAUCCGUGACGAAUGGCUUGCCCGGCACCUAGGACAGGAAAAGCCGAAAUCCAUGGCAACCUUCACAACACUCAUGACCCGCUUUUGCGCGGGAGAAGACAACUGGCUAGCUCGUAGUAAUAACAUGACCAAGAGCCCUGGUAAUUCGGAUACCAAGGACAACAAUGGCAGGUCGCGUCGCAACAAAUACAAGCGCCACAUUAAUGGCGACAAUACUGAGGAUACGACAGUCAAUGCCGGAUUCCGAGGCUCCAAACCCGGUCAGCGGAAAAAGCCAUUCAAAAGAAGUACUCUGGGCCCGUCCAAUUUGGACCGAAUACUCGAUCGCUUGUGCCAGAUACACGACACCCCUGAAAAACCAGCCAAUCACACCAACAGGGAUUGUUGGGUGUUCAAGGAGGCAGGCAAGUUAAGCGCCGAAAACAGAGACAAGGGGCUGCAUAGCGAUGACGAGGAGGAGCCCCGACCACCGAACAAUAGGGGACAGAAGGGCUUUCCCCCACAAGUGCGGACGGUGAACAUGAUAUACGCAACCCACAUCCCCAAAAGGGAACGGAAGCGUGCACUCAGGGACGUAUAUGCCUUGGAGCCAGUCGCCCCAAAGUUCAACCCAUGGUCCUCCUGCCCGAUCACUUUUGAUCGAAGGGACCACCCCACUAGCAUCCGCCACGGCGGAUUCACCACGUUGGUUCUAGACCCAAUCAUUGACGGAUUUCACCUCACUAGAGUCCUUAUGGACGGCGGCAACAGCCUGAACCUACUUUAUCAGGAUACAGUGCGAGAAAUGGGCAUAGAUCCCUCAAGGAUUAAACCCACAAAGACGACCUUUAAAGGCGUCAUACCAGGUGUAGACGCCCACUGUACAGGCUCAGUUACACUCGAAGUGGUCUUCGGAUCCCCGGAUAAUUUCCGAAGCGAGGAGUUAAUCUUCGACAUAGUACCGUUCCGCAACGGCUAUCACGCGCUGCUCGGACGAACCGCAUUUCCAAAGUUCAAUGCGGUGCCGCACGACACAUAGCUCAAGCUCAAGAUGCCAGUCCCUCGAGGAGUCAUUACGGUUAAUGGAAACACCGAACGCUCUCUCCGAACAGAGGAGCAUACGGCGGCCCUCGCGGCGGAAGUACAAAGUAGCCUCUCAAGGCAAUUCUCCAGUCCAGCUAUUAAACGUCCAGACACCGUCAAGCGCGCCCGGAGUAACCUACAACAAGACCGCCUGACACGUUCCGAGCAAGUGUAGCAGUGCGGCCCCAACCCUAGCCCUCGCGAAAUUGCGAAACCAGUACCACGCGUACAUAAUUACGCUCUAGAAAUAUCAUGGGCAUAGGGGGAGGGGCACAACCAUGGCACGCCCAAAAUGCGGCUUAACCGCACUAGGGGCUCCCGAUUUUGUCAUUUCUUUUUUCUUACUUUGAGGACUCCAUUCUCCGGAAGGCCUGUCCGGCAGUACAAUCGCCAAACACACGAUGCAACAGCCAGGGAGGCAGCAAGCUACGUCAAAUAUCGAGGUGGUCUCUAUAACGAGCUAAAUACCUGUCUUACAUAAAGUCUCGCAGCUUGCCCUUGGAGGGGGACAUGUCAAAUAAUCCCAUCUCUUGCUUAUCGCACUAUUUGUAUCGUUCUGCUUUCACAGCAGCCUUUUAAUAAACAAUGCAUAGCUCUUGUCUAUUAUUGCUUUCUUUUUUAUGUAAAUAUGUUCAGUCAUGACAUUAUGCAACCGUACACUUUGGUACGGCCAACACACCAGGGGCUUAAGUACUCCAGAAUAUGGUGUGAGAAGUCCGAACACUCUCACGAGUGCGGCACCCCGAACUUAUAGCAUUAUAUGCAUCGGCUCCGAAUCAUGUCUUGGGUCAAUAGUUGGGUUUGCUCGGCUCCCAUGUUUUGGUACCUUACGUUCCGUUAUAUCGGCUAAGGUAGCGCUGGGAGAACUACUGCGAUUGUGCCCCAGUUGAGCUGGGUUAAGCACCUCAGUAGAGAAAGCUAAAACUGACUGUCAUGAUAGGGCGAGAGCCGGUCGCUGUUCGAGAGGUUUCGAGUCCCUAAAGACUUAUGCCGCUUAGAGCGAGGAGCUGGCUUUGUCCGGCCUAGGCGUGGAUAGCGCCCCGAACUCGGUCUUCCGAAUACUAGGGGCUUUGCCGAAAUUUAAAAUUAUAGAAUUCUAUGGCUAAGUGAGAGUGAUAAAGCAUUAUAGUCCAAUUGCCUUGUUCGUUGUGCUGAGCGCCUCCCUCGAAGCACCCAAUAAUGGGAACAAGAGCGCUCAGGUUUAUCCCAAACACCCCAGCACUCGUGGCAUGGGGGUAGAAGCCGACGACUCGCCAUCUCUCAGAUUUGAUAAAUGGCCGCACAGAAGGUAAUAUUGUAAAUUCAAAAAGCAUUGCUUAGCGCAUAUGAACAAGUCUUCAGCGCACAGGAUAACACGAGCGAGUUUACUCAAAUAUUACAUAUUUGGAACAUUCAUUCGCCACAAGGAGGGCACCCUUCAGGACACCCUCAUAAUACAUCUCGGGCUGCGAUGCUCCUUCCCCUCCGGUGGCCCAUCUGUCACCAGCUUCUCAGCAUCCAGCUUGCCCCAGUGUACUUUAGCACAGGCAAGGGCCCUACGGGCGCCUUCGAUGCAUACGGAGCGCUUGAUGACUUCAAGCCGUGGACAUGUAUCCACCAGCCGCCUCACCAGCCCAAAGUAGCUCCCGGGCAUGAGCCCCCAGGCCAUAGUCGGACUAUUAGGCCCUUCAUGGCCUGUUCGGCUACCUUAUGGAGCUCGACCAACUACUUCAGCUGGUCGCUCAAGGGCACCGGGUGUCCGGCCUCAACAUACUGGGACCAGAACACCUUGUCCGUCGAGCUCCUUUCCUCGGCUCGGUAGAAUGCGGCAGCAUCGGACACACUGCGGGGCACAUCUGCGAAUGCUCCUGGAUCCGGACUCGGGUAAGUAACAAGUAAUUCACUUUCACGUGCUUGCUUUGCAUAAAGAAUGCCUUAGCCGCCGCUAUCUUCUUCAUCGCCUCAAUUUCUUGGAGGGCUUUUUGGGCUUCGGGCUUGGCAGAUUUGGCGCUUUCAAGAGCCGAGGCAAGCUCGGACUCUCGAGUCUUUGAGUCAAGCUCCAAACUCUCGUGUUUUUCACAAGAGCGUGGAGCUCUUGCCGCACCUCCUCCACUUGCGCUCCUCCUUUUCUUGCUCGAUGCGCUCCACGGCCGCAUUGUCUUCGGCCUUGGACAGCGCUUCCUUCAGGGUCGCCACCUCGGUUGUGGCCCCUAUAACACUCACGUUGGUCCUGUCACUAUUUGCAACCAGGUAUUUUUAUAUACUUACAUAAGGUACUACUUACCUUCCUUGUCCUUGAGCUACUUCUUGGCAAGGCCGAGCUCGUUCUCGGACCACUCGAGGCUCUUCUUCAAUGCAUCGACCUCCGCAGUCAGUGCGGCAGAGGUCAGCAGCGCAACCUGCAUUCCCAUCUUGAUAUAUUUAUGUUAGACUCCUGCGUAUAUCUUUUUAGAUCCUCAGUCCGGAUUUUCUUUCCGAACACCAAACUGAGCAUCAGGGGCUACUGUCUAUGCGGUAAUAUUUUUACAUGUCUUAAAUACAUACCUCAAAACCUGUUAGAAGGCUGGCACAGGCUUCUGUCAGCCCGCUCUUGGCGGACUGAACCUUCUGGAUCACCGCACUCAUAAUAGUGAGGUGCUCCUCGUCGAUGGAGGCGCCGUUAAGCACCUCCAGCAAAUUGUCCGGUGCCUCCGGUUGGACGGAGGACACCGGCAUCGUAGGCUUGCCCUUCUUACGAGGGGGCCGCCUGCCGGAAUCCGGAACCACUGAGGGUUCCGGUGCGGUGUCCGGCCCAUGGCCGGACUUAGAUCCCUCUGGGGUUUCAUCCCCUUUGCGCCUGCAGCCCGGGAGGUCGCCUUGCGGCGCCUCCAGGACCACCUCCUCCUGGCUUAGCCCCUUUUGGGACUUCACCUCGGCAUCGUCCGCGGGGCGAGGGGAGGUAGCAGUCGGGAGUGAAAGACUAUUCACAUCCGACGAAUCCAGGGAGCCGCUCGACGAAGCAUCGAGCCGGGCCUUGGGCGGACUACAUGAUUAUAUUUGGCGUGAGAAGAUACUGUGCAAUAAAGGAACGCCAUGAGUUAUUCUGGUACCCGGAUACUGACGAUUUUGCCAGGGGCUUGGCGCUGGACGGCCACUCCUCUCCGCCGUCGUCGGCGCUGGUGGAGUAGUCCGGAAGAAGGGUCUUUCCCUUCUUGGACCCUCCGACCUCCCCAGUUGGGGCGGCCUUCCUUUUCUUUCCUCCCCCCGUUGGAGGGGGAGAGGCUUCUUCUUCCUCCUUCUCGUUUUCGGGGGAGGAGUGCGUUUCGGGGUCGUCAGGCGAUGAAUCUGACACCACCAGGCGCCAGGAACUCUUUCGAGUUCCCGUGGCCUUCUUCUUGGCCUUCUUCUUUGGCACCAUGUGAGGUGUCGGGACCAGAAGCUUCGCCAAGCGUGCAUCUACUGGGCCUUUGGGCAAAGGAGCCGGACAGUCAAUCUGUCUGGACGUCUUCUUCCAGUCCUGUCAAAGGAGCGGGAGCUUAGAUCCCGCGUAGAGUCAAACUAUGAAAAACAAGUAUCCUGUAAAGGGUAAAACAAGCUUACUGCGCUGGCUUGGCGCUUCGCGCAGAAUCCGCGAUCCUCGGUAAUGGGAGGGGAAACCUCGGAGCCCUUGAAUAGCACCUUCCAGGCGUCUUCGUGCAUUGUGUCAAAGAGCCUGGACAAAGUUUGAUGCUGGGCCGGGUCGAACUCCCACAAGUUAAAAGCCCGUCGUUGACACGGGAGGAUCUGGCGGAAGAGCAUGACUUGGACUACGUUGACAAGUUUAACCUUCUUGUCCACCAGGUUUUGGACCCAGGUUUGGAGUCCGGUCACCUCUUUCGGAUUACCCCACGACAGGCCCAUCCCUUUUCAGGAGGUGAGCCGUGUGGGGAUGCCAGAUUGGAAUUCGGGGGCCGCUGCCCAUUCAGGGUCACGCGGCUCGGUUAUGUAGAACCACCCCGAUUGCCACCCUUUGAUGGUUUCCACAAAGGAACCCUCGAGCCAUGUGACGUUGGGCAUCUUGCCCACCAUGGCGCCUCCGCACUCCGCUUGCCGGCCGCCCACAACUUUCGGCUUGACAUUGAAGGUCUUCAGCCAUAAGCCGAAGUGGGGCUUGAUGCGGAGGAAGACCUCUCACACGACGAUAAACGCCGAGAUGUUAAGGAUGAAUUUCAGGACCAGAUCGUGGAAAUCCAGGCCGUAGUAGAACAUGAGCCCCCGAACAAAUGGGUGGAGUGGGAAACCCAGUCCGCGGAGCAAAUGGGGGAGGAACACCACCCUCUCAUGGGGCCUGGGGGUGGGGAUGAGCUGCCCCUCGUCUGGAAGCCGGUGCGCAAUGUCGUUGGACAAGUAUCCAGCCUUCCUCAACUUUUUGAUGUGCCCCUCCGUGACGGAGGAGGCGAUCCACCUGCCUCCCGCUCCGGACAUGGCUGGAGAAGGUCGAGGUGGGAAGUUCGGACAUGGGCGCUGGAGCUCGAGUGCGCGGAAAUGGAUAAGCGAAGGAGGAAGAGGGCGUGGAUGGAAAAGGUGGAUCCUUAUCCCCUUAUAUGAGCGGACGAAACUGUGUGCCCCCACCAGCCUGGUAAAACUCGCUUAUCUCCCAAGUGCCGUGAUUAAUGGCACGGUUGGGUUACCCAUGCCCGUAUUGAUGAGAAUCCCGGAAUAAGAGGACAUGAUCUCUGCUUUGACAAGACGUGCCAAGGAAAUCGCCUCGCUGAACGCGCUGAGGUGGGACAGUAAAAUGAUUCGAAUGAAGGCUUGGCCGUGGGAUGAUGUCACGCUACGGAAUACGUUAGCAGAUUAGAUUUGUACAAACAUUAUUCUCUCUACGGUGGUAUAUAGAACUUAUUUUGCAGAACCGGACACUAUCCUUGUGUUCGAAAUCUUCUAUGAAGUAUUCGGAGGAGGAACCCGCCUUGCAAUGCUGAAGACAAUUUGUGCGCCGGACUCGUUGUCAUUGAAGCCUGGUUCAGGGGCUACUGAGGGAGUCCCGGAUUAGGGGGUGUCCGGAUGACCGGACUAUAACCUUUCGCCGGACUCCUGGGCUAUGAAGAUACAAGAUUGAAGACUUCGUCCCGUGUUCGGAUGGGACUUUCCUUGGUGUGGAAGGCAAGCUUGGCGAUACGGAUAUGUAGAUCUCCUCCCAUUGUAACCGACUCUGUGUAACCCUAGCCCUCUCCGAUGUCUAUAUAAACCGGAGGGUUUUAGUCCGUAGGACGAACAACAAUCAUACCAUAGGCUAGCUUCUAGGGUUUAGCCUCUCUGAUCUCGUGGUAGAUCUACUCUUGUACUACCCAUAUCAUCAAUAUUAAUCAAGCAGGAGUAGGGUUUUACCUCCAUCGAGAGGGCCCGAACCUGGGUAAAAACAUCGUGUCCCUUGUCUGCUGUUACCAUCCGCCUAGAUGCACAGUUCGGGACCCCUACAAGAGAUCCGCAGGUUUUGACACCGACACCAUCCUCACAUUAGGGGGUUCAACCCCCCAUCUCAACUGCGAUUCCUGGAUCAUCAGGGACACCUCCUCUCCACUCCAUCUCCCACAUGAUGGCCCCUCUAGCACUAGAUACUUAAUGAGUGAUGGUGGUUCACAUUUUAUUCAUGGUGCUUUUCGUAAAAUGCUUGCUAAGUAUGAUGUUAAUCAUAAAAUUGCAUCUCCAUACCAUCCACAGUCUAGCGGUCAAGUAGAAUUGAGUAAUAGAGAGAUUAAAUUGAUCUUGCAAAAGAAUGUUAAUAGAUCUAGAAAGAAUUGGUCCAAGAAACUUGAUGAUGCAUUAUAGGCCUAUAGAACUGCAUAUAAAAAUCCUAUGGGUAUGUCUCCGUAUAAAAUGGUUUAUGGAAAGGCAUGUCACUUACCUCUCAAACUAGAACAUAUGGCAUAUUGGGCAAUUAAAGAGCUCAAUUAUGAUUUCAAACUUGCUGGUGAGAAGAGGCUUUUUGACAUUAUCUCACUUGAUGAAUGGGGAACCCAGGCCUAUGAGAACGCCAAACUAUUGAAAGAAAAAGUUAAAAGGUGGCAUGACAAAAGGAUACAAAAGUGGGAGCUUAAUGUAGGUGAUUAUGUUUUGCUAUACAACUCUCGUUUAAGAUUUUUUGCAGGAAAACUUCUCUCUAAAUGGGAAGGUCCUUACGUUAUCGAGGAGGUCUAUCGUUCCGGUGCUAUCAAAAUCAACAACGCUGAAGGCACAAAUCCGAAGGUGGUGAACGGUCAAAGAAUCAAACAUCAUAUCUCAGGUAAUCCCAUAAAUGUUGAAACCAAUGUUAUUGACACCGUAACCCCGGAGGACUACAUAAGGGACACUUCCCAAAAUGUUUUAGACUCCAAAAGGAAUAGGUAUGUGGUACGGUAAGUAAACUGACUCCAAAACAGUUAUAAUAGCAAAUUUUCUCUAUUUUGGAAUAUUUAAAAAAUUAGGAAAAUAAGAAGUAGUCCGAAGGAGACACGAGGCAUCCACGAGGGUGGAGGCAUGCCCUACCCCCUGGGCGCGCCCCCUGCCUCGUGGACACCUCGUGUGCCCUCCGGAUUCCGUGUUCUUGCAUGAUACUUAUUUUUGUUGGUAAAAAUUCAUUAUAUAAUCUCCCAAAGGUUUUGACCAUCGAACCAUGAAAAAAUCAUCUGCUUUUGUUUUGAGCGGUUUUUCUGACAGAUCUAGAUCACCAUGGCGUCUUCAAGCGCCCCCAAGGACAAGUUUUCAAGUGCCAAGGGAUGGUGGAACACGGACUCAACGCCAACCACAUGAUGGUCGCGGAGUUCACCAACAACCACAAGUUGGAUGCCAAGAACAUUGGGGAGACCAUCUUGAAGCUUCAUGAGAAAAUCGAGCACCUCCAAGCCUAGAUCUAUGACUUGCAAAACCAAAACUGUGAGUAUGAAUAUAGAUUCAAGAGGAUGAGUUUGGCUGCAGAUUUGAGGAUCCCGGAGACUCGAUCAUCCUUCUAUGAUGGUGAGCCUAUGCCCUGGAAGAUGGACCACAAGCCUACAUCAUCAACAACUCCAUCAUCACCCCCCCAAGAAAGAGACAUAAACACAUGGGUAUGGGCACUCCCCUUGGCAACUACCAAGCUUGGGGAAGCUGCCCCGGUAUCGUAUCACCAUCACAUUUCUAUCUUUACCGUUUUUCUUAGUUCGAUCCUUUUGGUUAUAUCUUGAUCUAGUAGAAUAAAGUUUUAGUUCGAUCUAGCUUUGAUUUUUGUGUUGAUACCUAUCUAUUUAAUCGAGUCCGUGAGCUAUAUAUAAUAAAGAUUAGUUUUGAGUUGAGGGCUUUGCUAUCUUGCUAUGAUAUUGAGGGAAUAAAAGAAAAAGAAAGAAUAAAAAUAAAUAAAAAGAUCAUAUUGACCUUUUGGAGAGUAAUGACUUUACACAUAAAGAGUAUGAUGAAUAAAAGUUGUUGAGAGUUGACAAACAUAGUUUUGGUCAUCGUGGCAAUUAAUAGGAAGUAAUAAACAAAGAGAGGUUUUCACAUAUAAAUAUACUAUCUUGGACAUCUUUGAUGAUUGUGAGCACUCAUUAAAAUAUGACAUGCUAAAAAGUUGAUGUUGGACAAGGAAGACAACAUAAUGAGUUAUGUUUGCUUAUAUCCUAAAUAAAUUAUAUUGUCAUGGAUCAUCCAACAUGUUGAACUUGCCUUUCCCCCUCAUGUUAGCCAAAUUCUUUGCACCAAGUACAGAUACUACUUGUGCUUACAAACAUCCCUAAACCCAGUUUUGUCAUGAGAUUCCACCAUACCUACCUAUGGAUUGAGUAAGAUCCUUCAAGUAAGUUGUCAUCGGUGCAAGCAAUAAAAAUUUCUCUCUAAAUAUGUAUGAUCUAUUAGUGUGGAGAAAAUAAGCUUUAUACGAGCUUGUGAUACGGAAGAAAUAAAAGCGACAGACUGCAUAAUAAAGGUCCAUAUCACAAGUGGCAACAUAAAGUGACGUUCUUUUGCAUUAAGAUUUUGUGCAUCCAACCAUAAAAGCACAUGACAACCUCUGCUUCCCUCUGCGAAGGGCCUAUCUUUUAUUUUUACCUUCUACCCUUAUACAAGAAUCUUGGUGAUCUUCACCUUUCCUUUUUAUACUUUAUCCUUUGGCAAGCUCUGUGUGUUGGAAAGAUCCUGAUAUAUAUAUAUCCAAUUGGAUGUGGGUUUUCAUAAAGUAUUAUUGUUGAUAUUACCCUUGAGGUAAAAGGUUGGGAGGCGAAAGUAUAAGCCCCUACCUUUCUCUCUGUCCGAUUGAAACUUCAUAUUCAUAAGUAUCGCGUGAGUGUUAGCAAUUGUGAAAGAUUAAAUGAUAAUUGAGUAUUUGGACGUGCUGAAAACCUCUUAUAUUGACUCUUUCCGAUGUGAAGAUAAAAUUGCAAUUGCUUCAAUGACUGAGAUUAUAGUUUGCUAGUUUGCAAUGAAGUUUCUGAUUCAUACUUUACAUUGUGAAUAGAUUGUUACUUUAGCAUAAGAAAUCAUAUGAAAAUAUAUAUGUUGCUGUUCUAAGAAUGAUCAUGAUGCCCUCAUGUCCGUAUUUUAUUUUAUCGUCACCUCUAUCUCUAAACAUGUGGACAUAUUUUUCGAUAUCGGCAUCCGCUUGAGGACAAGCGAGGUCUAAGCUUGGGGGAGUUGAUACGUCCAUUUUGCAUCAUGCUUUUAUAUCAAUAUUUAUUGCAUUAUGGGCUGUUACUACACAUUAUGUCACAAUACUUAUGCCUUUUCUUUCUUAUUUUACGAGGUUUACAUGAAGAGGGAGAAUGCCGGCAGCUAGAAUUCUGGGCUGGAAAAGGAGCAAAUAUUAGAGGCCUAUUCUGCACAACUCGAAAAGUCCUGAAACUCCACGAAAGUCAGUUUUGGAAUAUAUUAAAAAUAUUGGGCGAAGAAAGCACCAGAGGGGGGCCACCCACCGUCCACGAGGGUGGAAGGCGCGCCCUACCCCCUGGUUGCGCCCCCUGCCUCAUGGGCCACCUGGCAGGCCCCCGAUCCCCAUCUUCUACUAUAUGGUGUCUUUUGCCCUGGAAAAAAAUCAUAAGGUAGAUUUCGGGACGAAGCGCCGCCGUCUCGAGGCGGAACCUUGGUGGAACCAAUCUAGGGCUCCGGUGGAGCUGUUCUGCCGGGCAAACAUCCCUGCGGGAGGGGGAAAUCAUCACCAUCGUCAUCACCAUGGAUCCUCUCAUCGAGAGGGGCCAAUCUCCAUCAACAUCAUCACCAACACCAUUUCCUCUCAAAACCUAGUUCAUCUCUUGUAUCCGAUCUUUGUCUCAAAACCUCAGUUGGUACAUGUGGGUUGCUAGUAAUGUUGAUUACUCCUUGUAGUUGAUGCUAGUUGGUUUAUUUGGUGGAAAAAUCAUAUGUUCAGAUCCUUUAUGCAUAUUAAUACCCCUAUGAUUAUGAACAUGAAUAUGAUUUGUGAAUAGUUAUGUUUGUUCCUGAGGACAUGGGAGAAGUCUUGUUAUAAGUAGUCAUGUGAAUUUUGUAUUCUUUGAUAUUUUGAUGAGACGUAUGUUGUCUCUCCUCUAGUGGUGUUAUGUGAACAUCGACUACAUGAUAGUUCACCAUUGUUUGGGCCUAGGGGAAGGCAUUUGGAAGUAAUAAGUAGAUGAUGGGUUGCUAGAGUGAUAGAAGCUUAAACCCUAGUUUAUGCGUUGCUUCGUAAGGGGCUGAUUUGGAUCCAUAUGUUUCAUGCUAUGGUUAGGUUUACCUUAAUUCUUCUUUCAUAGUUGCGGAUGCUUGCGAGAGGGGUUAAUCAUAAGUGGGAUGCUUGUCAAAGGAAGGGCAGUACCCAAGCACCGGUCCAACCACAUAUCAAAUUAUCAAAGUAACGAACGUGAAUCAUAUGAGCAUGAUGAAAACUAGCUUGACGAUGAUUCCCAUGUGUCCUCGGGAGCGCUUUGCUUUAUAUAAGAGUUUGUCCAGGCUUGUACUUUGCUACAAAAAGGAUUGGGCCACCUUGUUGCACCUUGUUACUUUUGUUACUUGUUACCCGUUACGAACUAUCGUAUCACAAAACUAUCUGUUACCAAUAAUUUCAGUGCUUGCAGAGAAUACCUUACUGAAAACUGCCUGCCAUUUCCUUCUAUUCCUCAUUGGGUUCGACACUCUUACUUAUUGAAAGGACUACAAUAGAUCCCCUAUAGUUGUGGGUCAUCAAAUAGUACAUAACAUAACUUGAGCUUUAGAUUUGGCUCAUUAUCACACUGAUGUCAAAUUUGUCAUUUUUGUAUCUUAAAAAUGUUAUAAACUUUAAUACAAAAUUUUUGUGACAUCAUACAUUGAUGUGCGUUAAUGUGCUAGAUUUUUUUGACUUUUUAAAAUGUUCUAUUGCAUCCGGUGCACCGGUAGCACCAUUACUACGGGUGCAUAGGAUACAUCCCCGCGAGCGAUCCGUGGAUGGCUUGGUGCGGACGGGCGCGUGCGGGCCGAUCCAUAUAUUCCUGAACUCGGAUCUAGACACAAGAUCCUCCGUUGCAUGCCACAUCCAUGGCUCUAGUGAGCCAGAUCCGCACAUGUGAUAUGUCUCCAACAUAUUUACUUUUUGUUUUGGCCUCUAAUUUAUAUGAUUUGAAUGAAACUAACCCAAACUAACGUUGUUUUAAGUAGAACUACCUUGAUGUUAUUUUUUGUGUAGAAAUAAAAAUCUCAUAAUUGGACGAAACUUCGUACAGAUUUUUUAUGGAAUAAAUAAAAAAUACCGGAGCCAUCGGCAUCCAUACCAAGAAAAUAAGAGAGAAAGUAAUUUGGGAGCUGCCACCAUCUCUUGUCUUCAUUGGGAGCCCUGAUCUGGAGUCCAUUCCUAGCUCCCGAGAGAGGGAUUCGUCGUGGUUGUAAUCACCAACCCUUCUCCAUCAAUAAUUUCCUGAUUCUCACCACCAAGAGUGUGUAAUCCCUUGCAUGCAUACUAGAGGUAGAGUAAGAUGAAUGAGAUUUCCUAUGUAAUCAUGUCAAUUUGUUAGGGCUUGAUCCCUAGUAUGCACUAUGUUCUGAGAUUGAAGUUGUUAUGACUUUCUUAUACUUAAUGCUUGUCAGUAGGGCCCAAGUGUCAUAAUUUCAGAUCUAAACACUUAUGCUUCUUUGAAUAUAUUUGACAUGCUGAUCUUACCUGCAAGUUGUAUACACCUGUUAUCAUUCCAAAUCUUAGACUUCCAAGUUGACCAUUGAAAGUGCUAGCUAUCGACUAGAGGGGGGGGUGAAUAGGAAAUUUUUAUAAAAGUCUUCAAAACAUGCAAUGUCUUCGAAAACGCAGAAGAAAAACAAUCACUAAACAGGAUACAUCGGAAUAUAAACCACACUAGACAUGUCGGUAUGUCAACAAAAAUUGACGUAAGAUGCGAAGAUAGAAAACAACUAGGUAGUUCAGAACAAUGAGAAGAUAGUGUGAAGACAAAUAUGUAAUCAGAGGAAAUGUCUUCAUACAAUGUCUUCGAAUAGUAUGAGCACACAAAGGCUUCACGAAACUAAACAGAAAGUAAAGGAGUGAAGUGAUAGAACCAGUUGCUCAUAGAAGACAUGUGAUUUGUUUGACCAAUUCCAGCUGUUGUGACAGCUAUAUGUUUGGUUAAGGAGGCUGAGAUUGAAAUCUGAAGACUUAGUCUUCACCUUAUUCCCCGUAAGCUAAUAUCCGCAAAUCUCACCCAAUCACUCGGGGAAGUCUUCUAGGUAAACUUCCAAACCUUCACAGACUUUGUUCACUAGCAAUCCACAAUGACUCUUGGAUGCUCAGAAUUUGACACCUAACCGGUUGGAAGAUCACAGUCUUCAAGUGUAAUAAGUCUUUGGUUCACGCAGAACAGAAAGGCUUCAGUGAUGCUCAAUCACUUUGGGCUCUGGGUGUUUUGGGUUUGUCCUCGCAAGGAAUUUCUCUCAAGGCUUAAGAGGUGGGUUGCUCUCAAACGAUAACAACCAUGUAAUAACUCGAAACAACCACCAACUUAUGCUAGAGGUGGUGGGCUAUUUAUAGCCAGGAGGCAACCCGACAUGAUAUGACCAAAAUGACCCUGGGUCAAUGGGCAACCGACAUGUGUCCAACAACCGUAUUUCAAACACACGCGAUAACUUUACUUGAGCUCCAACUAAAGCUAACUCAACAAACGUUGGAAAAGGUGUUCUCUCACUGUCUUCACUGGAAGACAUCAAGUCAGUUUCUAACUUUGUUUACCUCGACCCCAUUUAACAAUACGGUGGUUCCUAUGGCUCAAGAAAGGCGAAAAUGAAACUAUCAAAAGACUGUCUUCGUGCUCCAUUGUAUUCAAGCGAAAGUCCUCAGUCCCAUUGUCUUCAAAUAAAUGUCUUCCCUUACCACCAUUAUCUUUAAUGUCUUCAUACAUGUUUAGGAGUCAUAUUUGAUUGGUAAGCCAAAUCUCUAGGGACUUCUAUCUGUGUUCUCCUGUGAAUCUCAUAAAUAGAUUAGUCCCUCAACCAAAUUUGUCGUCAAUACUCCAUAACCAAUGAUAUGUCCAUUUUGCAUCAUGUUUUUAUAUUGAUAUUUAUUGCAUUAUGUGUUGUUAUUACGUAUUUACGUACAAUACUUAUGUCUUUUCUCUCUUAUUUUACAAGGUUUACACAAAGAGGGAGAAUGCCGACAGCUGGAAUUCUGGACCGGAAAGGAGCAAAUCAGAGAGACCUAUUCUGCAUAACUCCAAAAAUCCUCAAAAUUUACAGAGAAUUAUUUUGGAAUAUAUAAAAAAUAUUGGGCGAAGAAAAUACCAGAGGGGACCCACCAAGUGGCCACAAGGAUGGGGGCGCGCCCUACCCCCUGGGCGCGCCUCCCUGUCUUCAGGGCCCCUUGGCAAGCCUUUGGUGCCCCUCUUCUACUAUAUGAUGUCUUUUGACCUGGAAAAAAUAAAUCAGAAGAGAGCUUUCAGGAUGAAGUGCCGCCGUCUCGAGGCGAAACUUGGGCAGAACCAAUCUAAGAUUCAGGUGGUUUAGAUUGCAAGGUGGCGUUGCAGAUAUACAUUAGAAGAGCGCAACUACCUAUAGAGCAAUCAUAACUGAGAUCAUAGAUCGGAAGGCUACUUUUACUAAUAGUACAUUAGCCAUGAAUUUAGGAGCUUGAAUGUUGAAGCUCACAAACUCGUGAAGCAUGCUUUAUCCCUAGGGGUUGACCGCCAUGUUUGGUUAGGUAACCCCAUAGCUGAAGUUGUCUCGCCUUGCUUCAAAUCUACUGGGCGUGCGCUGCGAUUUUGACCUAACGGCCUCCAUUUGCUGGAAUUAAUUGGAAUAGUUGAGAAGAAAGUGACAAACGAAUGCGUAAUGCGUGGGAAUCUGCCGAAUAGUUCAGGUCGAAUCCCGAAGAAAGUUGAAAACGCUGUUUGAUGAGCCUACGUAGUAUUAGUUCGUUGGUCAGGUAAAGGUUGGCCAGCCAAUGAUGCUUAGCUGGUCUUUUUGAAUGUUUAGCCACACUGGGACUGAGACAUAGCCCAGACUCCCAUGGGGGGCAGCAGAGGGGAAUCUUGGACAAUGGGUGAAAGCCCGAUCUAGCAAUAUCGCGCGAGUGAAGAAGGUCAAUGCUCCUUUUAAAGCUCUUAUGUUGAGUGCGCGAUCAUGACAUAUCUCGAGGAAGAAGCCCCGGNNNNNNNNNNNNNNNNNNNNNNNNNNNNNNNNNNNNNNNNNNNNNNNNNNNNNNNNNNNNNNNNNNNNNNNNNNNNNNNNNNNNNNNNNNNNNNNNNNNNNNNNNNNNNNNNNNNNNNNNNNNNNNNNNNNNNNNNNNNNNNNNNNNNNNNNNNNNNNNNNNNNNNNNNNNNNNNNNNNNNNNNNNNNNNNNNNNNNNNNNNNNNNNNNNNNNNNNNNNNNNNNNNNNNNNNNNNNNNNNNNNNNNNNNNNNNNNNNNNNNNNNNNNNNNNNNNNNNNNNNNNNNNNNNNNNNNNNNNNNNNNNNNNNNNNNNNNNNNNNNNNNNNNNNNNNNNNNNNNNNNNNNNNNNNNNNNNNNNNNNNNNNNNNNNNNNNNNNNNNNNNNNNUGGAAUGACUGGGUGUAAAGGGCAUGUAGGCGGCGGGUUGAAAAUGAAACUGUGAAAAUCAUAAAAAGUGGCGGAAUGCUCUCGAAACCAAUUCACUUAAGUGAGACAGAGGAGAGUGGGUGAUUUUCUAUUCGUCCCUAUAAACACUACUCAUCAAUCCAUGUAGGUGCACGGGCUAGAUAUACCAUCAUAGAAUCUUGUAAAUAUACUUUGUAAGCCUAUAACUGGAAACAUAAAACAUGGAACAUGCUUUUCAGUUUUUAUUUUAUAGUGGUGUUUAGUCUUCAAAUUUCAGGCAAAAUUAAAAGUGGACACGUAUAAAUUCUCAAGUUCAUUGAUCAAGCGCAUGCAGUUGUUAUGGUAUACAAAAUCGAACAUGUUGAAGACUCACAUGCAUAUUUGUAGGAAAAACUAAAAAAAAUUGUAAUUAUUUCUUACAUCAUUACAUUCAAACCCACACAAAGAAAAUAGUCAAAUAAACAUCAUUUUUCUUUAAACAGAAGGAUCCAACUAACGCCAUAAAAUGUAUCUUUUCCUUAUAUUGGCCAAUUAUUGCUCAUAGCUGUGCAUGUGCUGUGUAAAUAAGAUUUAGAUAUGGUACAUAGAACUGUUGUUAGAUUUAGAUCAUAGCUUCAGUGUGAAUGUUGCUGCAAUGGCACAGAAGUAUGAUCGGUUUGGCAUCAUCUGCUUUGCGAUGAUCCACUCCCGUGCACAGGCUCUAUCCUACGGAUCGUCCUAUCGGACAGCUAGCAGUAUAUGUCAUGCCAAAAGCUUCUUGACCAACAUAUGUGCUAGUAAAUCUAAUUACUCUAAAUUAUGAAAAUAUAGUUAUUCUGAAUUAUGAAAAUAUAAUUACCCUAAACUAUAUAUGUACCUUAGAUCGUAGAGGCCACCAUCGAACAGAACUAUAUAGGGAGUAGUUGUGCGGUAGUAUUGUUGAGAUGUAGAAGUGGAAAAGCAACAAUGCAUAACAAAAUCAUAUUCUAUCACACGCUUAGCUUAUACUAUGUAUAUUGGCACACAUUUUCUUUGCAUAUGCACCUGGUAGAUUAAACAAUGGAAGCAAACACAGUAGGGCAAACCAAUUUCAGAUUUUUAUCUCAAAUCAAAAGCCUAGAAAAGGUGAAUCUGCCGAAUAGUUCGGGCCGAAUCCUGAGGAAAGUUCAAAGCGCUGUUUGACGAGCCUACGUAGUAUUAGUUAGUUGGCCAGGUAAAGGCUGACAAGCCAAUGAUGCUUAGCUAGUAUUUUUGAAUGAUUAGCCACACUAGGACUGAGACAUGGCCCAGACUCCCAUGGAAGGCAGCAGAGGGAAUCCUUGACAAUGGGCGAAAGCCCGAUCCAGCAAUAUCGCGUGAGUGAAGAAGGUCAAUGCUCCUUGUAAAGCUUUUACAUUGAGUGCGCGAUCAUGACAUAUCUCGAGGAAGAAGUAACUCCAUGCCAGCAGCCGCGCUAAGACGGGNNNNNNNNNNNNNNNNNNNNNNNNNNNNNNNNNNNNNNNNNNNNNNNNNNNNNNNNNNNNNNNNNNNNNNNNNNNNNNNNNNNNNNNNNNNNNNNNNNNNNNNNNNNNNNNNNNNNNNNNNNNNNNNNNNNNNNNNNNNNNNNNNNNNCAUGUACUCUUUGGAAUGACUGGGUGUAAAGGGCAUGUAGGCGGCGGGUUGAAAGUGAAGCUAUGAAAAUCAUAAAAAGUGGCGGAAUGCUCUUGAAAUGAAUUCACUUAAGUGAGAUAGAGGAGAGUGGAUGGUUUUCUAUUCGUCCCUAUAAACACUAGUCAUCAACCUGUGCAGCUGCACGGGCUAGCGACUUGAGUCCGAAAACUUUGUGUUUAAUAUACUUUGGAAAAAGAAUAAACAUUGAAUAACAUUCAUAAUUUCUAAUUAUAAGUGUACUUUUUGAAAUCACGGUUACAUUGUUUAGCCUUUCAAGCAAUGCACAACAAUAAUUAGUGGCAAUGCACAACAAUAACAUUCAUAAUUUAUAAUUUCAACCGAGCAUACCACAUCACCUUGGCAGGAAUCUUCUUCCUGGAGCGCUCGCCCUCGACAUCUCCAGGGUCAUCGCGGCUGAUCUUAUAGCGCAAUGCACCACAUACGAGGAACGCGUUCAAAUCCUCAUACUCACCACAGUAGAGGAUGCAGUCAUUAGGGCAUGCAUGUAUCUUCUGCACCUCUAAUCCUAGAGGGCAGACGACCUUCUUUGCUUCGUACGUACUCGGGCAAUUUGUUGUCCUUUGGAAGCAUCUUCUUUAACAUUAUCAGCAACUUUCCAAAUCCCUUGUCAGAUACACCAUUCUCUACCUUCCAUUUGCAACAAUUCUAGUGUGGUGCCCAGCUUUUUCUUGUCAGCUUCACAAUUUGGGUACAACAAUUUCUUGUGAUCCUCUAACAUGCGCUACAACUUCUUCUCCCCCUUUUCACUUGUGCAGUUUCUCUUUGCAUCAGCAAUGGCACGACCUAGAUCAUCAGCGGGCUCAUCUGAUGCCUCUUCUUUAGCUUCUUCCCGCAUUUCCGGCUCAAUUUCUUCCCCCAUUGUUGUACCAUCGUUCAGGGAACCCAUGGCCAGGAUAGCUAUCGUCGUCCUCUUCUUGUUCACUGUCUUCCAUCAUAACCCCUAUUUCUCCGUGCUUAGUCCAAACAUUAUAGUGGGGCAUGAAACCAGACUCAAACAGGUGGACGUGAAUGGUUCUUGACUUAGAGUAAUUCAGAUCAUUCUUACAGUUAGCACAUGGAAAAGGCAUAAAACCAUCCGCCCGCUUGUUUGGCUCAUCUGCAAGCAGAAACGUAUGCACACCAUUAAUGAACUGGGGAGAGCAUCGGUCAUCGUACAUCCACUGCCGGUUCAUCUUCAUUUACACAACACCGAAAAGACCAAAUUAAUACAAGUUCAUACAAAACAACAUACAAAUAACUCUGUAGCUAAAGUAUUUAAAUGCAACAACAAAUGCGAUCAAGAUCGCAACUAAGGUAACAAUUGAUCCAACAACAUAAUGAUACCAAGCCUCACUAUCGAUGGCAUAUUUUUUAAUCUUUCUAAUCUUCAAGCGCAUUUUCUCCAUCUUGAUCUUGUGAUCAUCGACGACAUCGGCAACAUGCAACUCCAAUUCCAUCUUCUCCCCCUCAAUUCUUUUCAAUUUUUCUUUCAAAUACUCGUUUUCUUUUUCAACUAAAUUUAACCUCUCGAGAAUAGGGUCGGUUGGAAUUUCUGGUUCACAUACCUCCCAGAUAAAAAUAUCUGUCAACUUGAUGGGUAUAAUUUGUCAUAAACACGAAAUGCAACAAAUAGUUAUAAAAGGGAAUAUACCACAUCCGAAUCAUGACCCGGACGAGGGCCAACGGGGACGGAUAUCAAAACCAUGGCACUAUGUAUAACAAACAAUAUACAUGUAAGAUAAUUAUACAAGUAACUAUAUAUCUAAAUAACAAAAACAUGAUUUUUCUUAUAUUAAAAAGAUAAGAACAAGAGACUCAUCACAAGGUGGUGCCGGCGACGGGACGGUGCGGGCGGUCGAUGGUGGUUAGGACGGAGACGGGAAGGCACUAAGUAAACCACACCUACAUAUGCAAACUAAGAGUUAUUUUGACCUCAAAUUGCAUAUAAAUCAAAUAAACUACAACAUAUAUAUAAUUCCUCCCAAACUAAAAACCCACAAAUCACUAUACUUAUAGAGCAUUGCAAGAGCUAAUGUAACAAUGAGAGAUGAAAGGACAGUGUUGCUAACCUUUGUGAUCACUUGGACGGAUGGGGUGCCUUCAAAUGUUGGAAAAUUUUGGAAAAAAUGGAGGUGGGAGAUCGAGCAAGAGGGGAAGAAAACAAAAAGGAGGGGAAAAGUAGAGGGCUUCGGCUCGGUUGGUUACACGAACCGGGACUAAAGGUCAACUUGUAGUCUCGGUUCGUGGCAUGAACCGGUACUAUAGGUCAUGGUGCGGCCGCAGCCUGCCGCAAGCCUGCCACCACCUCUUUAGUACCGGUUUGUGGCACGAACCGGUACUAAAGGUUCGCCACGAACUGGUACUAAUGAGAGCAGCCCACCUAGCCGUUGGAACCGGCAGUAAUGGUCACAUUAGUGUCGGUUCUAUUAAAAACCGGGACUAAAUUGUUGAACAUUAGGCCCUUUUUCUACUAGUGGUUACUUGACGGGCACUAUUUUUGUCAGGCAAAUGCCAAAUAAUUGGUCGGUAUUAAAUGUUGGUUGCCUAAACAAAAUAUUGUAAAUUUUUGGUCGGCGAAACAAACUCCCAUCUGACCGUCGGCCGAGAAAUGUCCAUGGCAACCCUAAUUAAUUGUUGGAUGGGAAAAACACUAUUUGAUAGUCGGUCGGGAAAGGACCAUAGUAGCUCAAAUGGACUGUCGGUCGGGAAACGUCCGUGGCAGGCCCAACAGAAUGUUGGUCUCGAAUGAUACACUAUAGCUGACAAGCAGUCGGUUGGGAAUAAAAUGUCGGUCGGGAAAGGGUUUUCCUGUCUGGACUUUCCCCAAGGAUCUUUGCCGUCAGCCAGCUCACGACAAAGAAAGUUUUUGCCAUCAGCUUACAGAAAACUGACGGCAAAGAAAGAGCCAACGACAAAGAGCAUGUUUGCCGUCUAGCAUAGCAGCCGACAAAGAGGGAGGGUGGUCCACUAAGGAGUACCACCUGACGACCACUUUCUUUGGCGUCUGCUAGCGGACGACAAAGAUUGCAGCUAAUGGCUACAUACGGCCCCCCCCACACCUCCCACUCUCCAUUUCUCUUUCUCUCUCACUCCACCGUGCCGACCCCGACCCCAACCGCCGCCGCCGCUCCCGACCCCCACCUCCCUCGCCGCCCCUGACCGCCCUGCCGCCCCGCCGGUCCACGACCCGCCACCCCGCGGUCCGCUNNNNNNNNNNNNNNNNNNNNNNNNNNNNNNNNNNNNNNNNNNNNNNNNNNNNNNNNNNNNNNNNNNNNNNNNNNNNNNNNNNNNNNNNNNNNNNNNNNNNNNNNNNNNNNNNNNNNNNNNNNNNNNNNNNNNNNNNNNNNNNNNNNNNNNNNNNNNNNNNNNNNNNNNNNNNNNNNNNNNNNNNNNNNNNNNNNNNNNNNNNNNNNNNNNNNNNNNNNNNNNNNNNNNNNNNNNNNNNNNNNNNNNNNNNNNNNNNNNNNNNNNNNNNNNNNNNNNNNNNNNNNNNNNNNNNNNNNNNNNNNNNNNNNNNNNNNNNNNNNNNNNNNNNNNNNNNNNNNNNNNNNNNNNNNNNNNNNNNNNNNNNNNNNNNNNNNNNNNNNNNNNNNNNNNNNNNNNNNNNNNNNNNNNNNNNNNNNNNNNNNNNNNNNNNNNNNNNNNNNNNNNNNNNNNNNNNNNGAUCCAGGGGCCACGCCGUCCCGGCACCCUAGCCACCCCGACACCCCGCCGCCCCGGUGCCCCGCCGACCUACUCAGUUGAGCUCCCCCCGUUUUUUCUACUGCUAAUAAUUAGGUUACUUUGUACUAUUGGUUUCUUUUUUUCUACUGCUAGUAAUUAGGUUAGUUAGUAUUUUUAGAGUUGGUUAGGUUAGUUAGGUUAGUUUCUAGGUUAGAUCUUGAAAAAAAUUAUUAGGAGAAGAAAAUAAGAAGAAUUAGAAGAAGAGGAGGGGCAGGAGAAGAAGAAAAAGGGGAGGAGAAGAAGAAGAAGAAGAAGAAGAAGAAGAAGAAAAAAGGAGAAGAAGAAGAAGAAGAAGAAGAAGAAGAAGAAUAGGAGGAGGAGGAGGAGAAGAAGAAGAAUAAAAAGAAUAAGAAAAGGGGCAGGAGAAGAAAAGAAGAAGAAGAAGAAGAAGAAGAGGAGGAGGAGGAGGAGGAGAAGAUCACCGGUCCCCGACACCCCGACCCCGACACAACACCCCGAGACCACCUCGACACCCCAACACGACACCACCGACACCCCGACCCCGAUACCAUCGACACCCUGACACCACUGACACCUCGACACGACANNNNNNNNNNNNNNNNNNNNNNNNNNNNNNNNNNNNNNNNNNNNNNNNNNNNNNNNNNNNNNNNNNNNNNNNNNNNNNNNNNNNNNNNNNNNNNNNNNNNNNNNNNNNNNNNNNNNNNNNNNNNNNNNNNNNNNNNNNNNNNNNNNNNNNNNNNNNNNNNNNNNNNNNNNNNNNNNNNNNNNNNNNNNNNNNNNNNNNNNNNNNNNNNNNNNNNNNNNNNNNNNNNNNNNNNNNNNNNNNNNNNNNNNNNNNNNNNNNNNNNNNNNNNNNNNNNNNNNNNNNNNNNNNNNNNNNNNNNNNNNNNNNNNNNNNNNNNNNNNNNCACCCCGACCCCCGAUACCUCCUCAAAAAGGUGCUCUUCGGCCUUCCAGAGGCCGACGGGGUCAUAUAUUUGUGAAUUAUGAGUUAGGUCAGGUAUUCAAUUAUUAUUAUGUACAUAUACAUAUAUAUUAUUAUUAAUUAGUUCAUCUUAUUAGGUAUUCAAUUUUUUAUUAUGUUCAUGAUGAUGAUACACACUUAAUUUUUUUAUUAUGUUUAUGUUGUACUAAUUUCAUUUACUCUUUGUCAUUGCAGGUGUUGACAGAUGGUGGGCGCGGGUCGAGAGCGCUCCGAGCCUCCUUCUUCGGCGCGUGCUGGGAGGUGUGUUGUUAUUCCACCCCAGCACCUUCGGAGAGCGCAGAUAGACAGCACACAGACACCAGCGAGCGCUUCUUCUUCGACCGAGAGAGGUCGAGGGAAGACGAAGAGGGGUAGAGCUAGAGGUGGACGUGGCGGCGGGAUAGGUAGGAAGGCUGCUACGCCUUCCUCGCCGCCACCCCAGCUGAUUCUUUGGACCAUUGGAGUGCUUCGUCCCAGGUGGACCCGUCUGACUUGGACCCUUCUCGGACUCCGGUCCACAAGCCUCGGGCCAACGAUCCUACAUCCGACGAGACUCGGGUCCUAGAGUCUUCGUCCCAGGAGACUCGGGUCCCAGAGUCUUCGUCCCACGUGACUCCGGAGACUAGUGGCCAUGCUGAUGGUGGCGAGGACACCUUGUCUGACGAUAGCUACAACGAUGGUGAGCUAGUUGAGGGGGGCAAGAAGGUCUACCAGCAUGGUGGUACAGAUCUCCCAUCCGUGUCGGCGACCCGCGACCAGAGGUGGUUGAUUGAGCCUAAAGGGGAGAAGUAAGUGCACUUACUCUUUUUUAACCUUUUGCCUUCAUGUUUCUUCAAAUUAAUAUCUAAUGUGUUGGCCUUGUCAUACUGCAGGGGUUGGAUACACGCCUCUGAUGUCCGCAGGCCCAACCAGGUCCUUGGUGUGAUUUGCCGGCACCACUUCCCGGGAUGGGUCACAUUGCCCAAUGAGGGUGAGGUUCCAUAGCUAGCACUGACCUGGGAGAUGCACAAGGCUGCCCCGGCCCCGCCGAGGGAGAUGGUCGACGGUGUCGUGUGCAAUACGGUGGCCGACAUUGUGAGACGGCGGUUUUGGGUAAUUUCUCCUUUACAGAAUUAAAAAUCAACAAUACUUAGUGAUUGUAAUAAUCAGUGUUGUCUUGUUUGAUUGCAGACCUUCUACAGGUGUCUUGAGGAACACGAGGCGGACACGGCUAUGAUUCUCGAAGCCGAGUGCAAGCGCCUAGUCCAGAACUUAUGGUACGAGGCUCGGGUGCAGGCUGUUCGAGACUACUAUGCCUCGACUAACAUCAGGAGGGCCAAGAAGAAGUGACGCGGCAAGUAUUUGAGUAAGGAGAAGUACAUGAAGGUAAUUACCUAUUCUUAAGGCCUUGUACUUAGUUUCCUUGAUUUGAUUUGGAGGCAUAGCACUGAAAUUUCUCUUUGUCUAACUUUGGUGCCCCCGAGAUGGUGUGCGGAUAGGAUGGACUGUUGGGAGAGGUUGGUGGAUGAGUGGUGCUCUCCCCAAUGGCUAGCCGUCCACAACAAGGCCAGGGAUAAGUGUGCCCAGAUGCAAGGUGUGCCACACCAUCAAGGAAGCUCCAACCUGUUUGAGUACGGGGAUCACUUGGUAUGUGGUUUGAUCCCUUAAUGAUUCAUGCAAUUUCAUUCUUCAUGCUAGCUUGAGCCCUUAACUAAUAUUUUGUUCCUCUCUUUUAGGCGCGACACAACAAGAAGGAGUUGCCACUGCUGUACAACCUCUAUGCCAUGGCCCAUACUACCCCGUACAAGAAGGCCAAGGCAUUCUUGGAGGAUGACCUCGAUCAUCCUGAGAGCUCCACCAACAUAUCCUCCCUUACGAUAAGCUCAUGAGGUACAGAGUCUUUGGGAAGGCGAUGAAAGGGGAGGACUUCAACCCGAGCCAGAGUCCUUUUGAUCCUAAGCUUGUGAUGCUAUCUGAAGGGAGGAAACAUGGCUCAGUAGCCAUUAGGGGUGGACUGAUACGUUGUCCUAGAAGUCUCCCAGAGAAGAAGCGCCAGACGAGGUCUCUUCCUGAGAUGAGGCCUCGAUAACGACCAAUGGAGCUCGCCAUCAAGGCUAGGGCCCAGGAGCUUCUGGCGGAGGCAAACAGGUAGUCGACGCAGAGGGAGAGGGAGUUGGAGGAGAGGACAGCUAGUAUGUUGGAGGCGGAGAGGAACCGGAACGACGCGGGUCACCGGGCCCUAUACGAGCUCCUCGUGGUAAGUUUCUCCUGCAUAUUAGCCAAAUCAUGUACGUAAUGUUCGUUUCAUUACUAACUAAUAUGACUGACUUGUGAAAACAAAAUGUGCAGUCCGUUUGCGAGAAAAACGACCAGACCCCUCAGCCGAUGCACCAGCACUAGUGCAGAACCGGGCUAUAGCACUAGUUCGUAGGGGCCUUUAGUCCUGUUUCGGUAACCGGCACUAAAGGGUGGAGACUAAAGGCCCCCCUUAGUACCGCUUCUGCACGAACCGGGGCCAAAGGCCCACCAUGUGGCACAAUCCCGCGUGGUGAUCUGGGGGAUAUUUAGUACCGGUUGGUAACACCAACUGGUAAUAAAGGAUUUUUUUAUUUUUGAUUUUAUUUUUUUCGAAAAAAUUGAAUAUUUUUUCCGAUUUUCAAAUUUCUGAAUUAUUUGACGAUUUUGUCUCUAAUCACCGCUCAUCAUUGCUGUAAUCACCCCUCAUCAAUCCAAAUCGUCUAACUUCCUGGCCGGUCACCCAUCCUCUCACUACUCCAGCCUGAGCAUGCUUAACUUCCGAGUUCUAAGUCUGCACGUGUUGCUUACCUGACAAUAGUAAGUUGUCAAUCAUAUUAACCCUCAGGAAUUUAGCUUGAACAUGAAGUCACAUGUUUCACCGUUUUAGUUUGAAACUAUUAUUCUAAAAAAUAAUUAUUAUUUAGUAACCAAGAUACUUCUUGAAUAAGUAGUCUGACCACAGUUUGACCAUAGUUUGACCAAAAGUCAAAAAAACUAAAAUAACUAUUUAUUAACACUAAUAUUUCUUGAAUAAUUAGUUUGACCAUAGUUUGACCACAAUUCGACCAGAUUUAACAAUUUUUUUAAAAAAAACUGAAAUUGGAGCAAAUCUUUUUUUCCUUUUAGAAUUUGAGGAUUCUAAAAAAUUGCAAACAAGCAGUAGGCGGUCAAAAUUGGAUGCGGAUUUUCGUGCUGAUUUUUUGAUAUAUUAUGCGUUUUUUGACAUCGUAUGCAAAAGAUAUGGCCGUUUUACAUUUUCAUAACACUUUUUUUUGCAAAACAUGUCCAAAUUUAAGUUUUUUAAUUUUCCUAACUAGUAGAUUUAGUAACAUAACUACAUCUCGAACGAUUUUACUUUUUGAAGUUUUUAUCNNNNNNNNNNNNNNNNNNNNNNNNNNNNNNNNNNNNNNNNNNNNNNNNNNNNNNNNNNNNNNNNNNNNNNNNNNNNNNNNNNNNNNNNNNNNNNNNNNNNNNNNNNNNNNNNNNNNNNNNNNNNNNNNNNNNNNNNNNNNNNNNNNNNNNNNNNNNNNNNNNNNNNNNNNNNNNNNNNNNNNNNNNNNNNNNNNNNNNNNNNNNNNNNNNNNNNNNNNNNNNNNNNNNNNNNNNNNNNNNNNNNNNNNNNNNNNNNNNNNNNNNNNNNNNNNNNNNNNNNNNNNNNNNNNNNNNNNNNNNNNNNNNNNNNNNNNNNNNNNNNNGUUCGUGGCACAAACCGGUACUAAAGGUUAGCCCUGUAGUACCAGUUUGUGCCACGAACCGGGACUAAAGGGGCUCGUGGGGCCCCGCCUGACGCCAGCCUGCCACCACCCCUUUAGUACCGGUUCAACACGAACCGGCAUUAAUGCAUAGCCGUUUGAACCGGGACUAAUGGUACCAUUAGUACUGGGCCAACAUUGAAUCGAGACUAAUGUGUCUCACAUUAGGUCCUUUUUCUACUAGUGCAGAUUGGUAUAGCGGACGCGGUGAGUUUCAUUUGAAUGGUCAUUAGUUACUAGUAUUCACAUUUCAGUUGCAUCAUGCUAACUAGACAUUGCAAAUGAUCUUUGGUGCAGCACGCCUCCCGGCAAGCAUCGACCGAUCCUUCUUCAUCUCAAACUAGCGCAACCCCGACCAGUCCUUCUCCGUCUGGCACUGGCGCAAGCCAAACCGUUCCUUCACCUCCAUGAUGAUGGUAAGUGUUUUGCUUAACAAAUGCAUACUUAGCUUAAGAAAUGACCUACUUAGCUCUAAAAUGACCUAUACUUAUCUUAUUUUCCUCAAAAAUGACAUAAUAACCUUACUUAGCUCCAAACUGACAUAUUCUACCUAGGAUAGCUAUAAAAUGACCUAUACUUAGCAUUUUUUUUCCUCCAAAAUGACUUGAUAUGCUUAGUUAGCUAGAAAAUGGCAUAACUACCUAGGAUAGCUCAAUAAUGAUCUAUGGCUAGCUUAGCUAGUUCAUUUAUGACAUAAUUAGCUCACUUAGGUAAAAAAUGGCAUAACUACCUAGGAUAGCUGAAUAAUGAUCUAUAAUUAGCUUAGCUAGUUCAUUUAUGCCAUAGUUAGCUCACUUAGGUAAAAAAUGGCACAACAACCUUGGUUUAGCUCCCAAAUGACCUAUACUUAGCUUAUUUCCUUGAAAAUGACAUAACAACCUUACUUAGCUCUGAACUGACAUACUUUACCUAGGAUAGCUAUAAAAUGGCCUAUACUUAGCAUUUUUUUACUCCUAAAUGACUUAAUAUGCUUAGUUAGCUAAAAAUGUCACAACUACUUAGGUCAGCUCCAAACUGGCCUACACUUACCAUUUUGUCCUCCAAAAUGAAUAAAUUUGCUUAGUUAGCUCAAAAAUGGCAUAACUACCUAGGUUAGCUCCAAAGUGACCUAUUUACCUAGCUUAGCUCUAAAAUGACCUACACACUUAGCAUUGUUAGCUAGCUAAAGCUAAAAAUGGCAUUUUUACCUACCUUAGUUAGAAUAAGAAGAAGAUAAAGAAGAGGAGAGGAGAAAAAGAAUGAGAAGAUAAAUUCUUAUUUUUCUUCUUCUUCUUCUUCUUUUUCUUCUUCUUUUUCUUCCUUUUCUUCUAGCUAGUCUUCUUCUUCUUCUUCUAACUUUCAUCUUUCCUAAUUUGUAGAUUUGAUUUAGAUGAGGAAGCUUGCAUUGAUGGAGUGUACUCUUCUACUUGUGCUUCCUUUUUGUUUAUGGAAACUUGUUUUGGAUAUGUAUGUAUAUAUGGAUAUGUUGUUGGAAGCCAUUGUAUGGUGGAUAUGUUGUUGGAAACUUGUAUGUUGGAUAUGUUGUUGGAAACUUAUUGUUGGUAUGCUUGUUGAAAUUAUUUUGAAAUGUGUGUAUAUAUAUAUAUCUGUGAAAUUCUGUCAAACUGAAUGAAUUUAAGAAAAAACAGAAAAAACAGGGGCUAUACAGUCUCUUUGUCGUCUGCUGGCAUAUGGCAAAGAGCUUUGCCGUCUGCCGGCAAAGCUGCCACAUGGCAGCUACCUGUGCAACUUGGGGUGCUCUGGGCUGACCUAUUUGGCAGCUUUGCCGUCAGCGGCAGACGGCAAAGACCUUUGCAUAUUUGCCAUCCGCUGGCAGACGGCAAAGAUGCAAAGGCCUUUGUUGUCUGCCAGCUGACGGCAAAGCACACCCUUAACCCCUUAACGGACCUAAGCUGCCACGUGUGGUGUCCAGGCUCUUUGCCGUCUGCCAGUAUACGGCAAAGAGGGCUUUGCCGUAGCUUAUUUAGCCAGACCUGUUGCCAUUUUUUGGCUGACGACAAAGGCCUUUGCCAUACUCCAGGCAUGCCUUUAUCGUCAGCCAUGGAUGACCGCAAAGUGCCUGAUUCCUUUAGUGUUGGCACAACUUGUAUUCCCGACCAAUCUGGCUUUUGGGGAUGUAGUGCAGUGGUGUACUGAAUGCAGUGUCGUGGUGUAGUGCGGGCAAGUUAAGAAAAAAAUGGACACAUUCGAGGCUAGCACCAUGAUGAACAAUACUGAGGUAGAGGACAUGAUGAAGAAGUUGGGGAUCACGGAGGAUGACUUUGAUGAUGUGGUAGUAGAGGAAGAGGAGGAGCUCCCUGCUGAAGCAAUCCAGUGGAUGGCAAUCAUGCGAGUGCACAUAGAGAAAACUUAUGCUCAGUACUGGUUUUCAGAAACAUGAGGGUGGCUUGGGACUUGGCGAAAGAGGUGAAGAUCUGGCCACUCAACAAUAAUAUGUACAUGCUGCAAUUUUCUUGUUUAGGCGACUAGGAGGGAGUCAUGGAUGAUGGGCUCUGGACUUACCGAGGCAACACGGUGCUUUUGGCGUCGUAUGAUGGAUUCACUAAACCAUCAACAAUAGCCUUGGACACAAUUGAGAUGUGGAUCCAAUUCAUGAUCUACGAGAUAGCUACCCCUACCCCCAAUUGAGCCUGGCGCUUGCUAGACCAUCCCAGUUCUCUGAGUUCCAUUGAUCUUAAAAGUUCUAAACUAUCCAAAUAACCCUCUUUCCGAUGCAACCUUGGGACCACAUCCAUCACAUAUAUGGCCGACUAUUUUCCAUGGGAAAGACUUAAUGACUUAGGGUUUGAUAAGGAGAAUAGGAGACGGAGAAUCCCCUGAUAUUUGGAACAAUAAUAGGAUAACUAGAGAGCAUACAAAGAGGCCGAGAACUUCACAAACACCACAGCCGCCGACAAGCUCGCUGAACACAUUGAUCACACUAUGUCAUCAAUGGAUGAACAACUUAUUCAAUCGAUACUUAUUCCCAUUGAUGCCGAGACUAUAUUGAAGAUCCCUCUUUGCACGAGACAAAUAUCUUAUUUUUGGUCUUGGAUUGAGGAUAGAAGGGGCAUGUUAACUGGGCAUUCUGCUUACAAGAUGAUACGGUGAACCAAGAUCAGUAGAGAAUCAUGGCUGUAUGAGCAGGGUGGCCGAUCAAACUCAGAGGCUGAUUGUCAAGGAUGGAUAGACUUAUGGCAUAUAAAAGCCCCCCGAAAAUCAAGGUGUUCAUGUGAAUAUUAGCACAAUACUCACAAUGUCCUUCUUCAUCAUAGAAACAUGUCGAUGACAAGUGCUUGUUGUUUGUGCAGGUCUAACGAUAUGUGCAGGCACGCCCUGCUGAAUUGCUUGGUUUCAAGGAGCACUGAGCACUAUCAUACGAGCAAAUUGUCGAGCUAUUGAGUCUGAAUGUAAAUGAUGACGCCAAACAAUGGCUAUUCACCAUGCAUGAGGUGUUAUCACAUGCGGACGAUUUUAUCAUGUUUACGAUCACUUUUGUGGACGAUAUGGGGAGCUCGGCACAAAGCUAUACAUGAGGAGAUAUAUAAAAGCCCUUUCACUUUUCAGGCUUUUGUGCAGAGUUACUUAACUGAGCUGAGAGCUACCCAAAGCACUCAAAGUCCAGUUCCAGGGGCACACGUGAUUAGGCCAAGUCAAUGUAUCGCUCCUUGGGAUGAUAUGGUGAAGGUCAAUGUGGAUGCGGCGGUUGGACCAGGCGACACUCGAGGCGCAAUGGGAGCUAUAUGCAGAGAUCAAGCAUGUAAUUUUCUGGGUGUGUCGGCCAUUGUGUUCCCACAUAUAUCAGAUCUUGUUACUGUCGAAUCUUCAGCAAUCAGGGUGGCACUUGCACUUGGUGAUAAUCUCUAUGAGAGGAAGAUUCAGGUGGCUUCAGAUUGCAAGGUGGUGUUGCAGAUAUACAUCAGAAGAGCGCAGCUAUCUACAGAGCAAUCAUAACUGAGAUCAUAGAUCAGAAGGCUACUUUUACUAAUUGUACAUUAGCCAUAAAUUUAGGAGCUUGAAUGUUGAAGCUCACAAACUCGUGAAGCAUGCCUUAUCCCUAGGGGUUGACCGCCAUGUUUGGUUAGGUAACCCCAUAGCUAAAGUUGUCUCGCCUUGCUUCAAAACUACUGAGCGUGCGCUGCGGUUUUGACCUAAAGCCUCCGUUUGCUGGAAUUAAUUGGAAUAGUUGAGAAGAAAGUGACCAACGGAUGCGUAAUGCGUGGAAAGCUGCUGGAUAGUUCGGGCCGAAUCCUGAAGAAAGUUCAAAGCGCUGUUUGGUGAGCCUACGUAGUAUUAGUUCGUUGGUUAGGUAAAGGUUGGCAAGCCAAUGAUGCUUAGCUGGUCUUUUUGAAUGUUUAGCCACACUGGAACUGAGACAUGGCCUAGACUCCCAUGGGGGGCAGCAGAGGGGAAUCUUGGACAAUGGGCGAAAGCCCGAUCCAGCAAUAUCGCGUGAGUGAAGAAGGUCAAUGCUCCUUGUAAAGCUCUUACGUUGAGUGCGCGAUCAUGACAUAUCUCGAGGAAGAAGCCCAGGCUAACUCCGUGCCAGCAGCCGCGCUAAGACGGGGGUGGGGGUGGGGGUGGGGGGAAGUACUCUUUGGAAUGACUGGGUGUAAAGGGCAUGUAGGCGGCGGGGUUGAAAAUGAAACUGUGAAAAUCAUAAUAAGUGGCGGAAUGCUCUUGAAACCAAUUCACUUAAGUGAGACAGAGGAGAGUGGGUGGUUUUCUAUUCGUCCCUAUAAACACUAAUCAUCAACCCGUGCACCUACACGGGCUAGAUAUACCAUCAUAGAAUCUUGUAAAUAUACUUUGUAAGCCUAUAACUGGAAACAUAAAACAUGGAACAUGCUUUUCAGUUUUUAUUUUAUAGUGGUGUUUAGUCUUCAAAUUUCAGGCAGAAUUAAAAGUGGACACGUAUGAAUUCUCAAGUUCAUUGAUCAAGCGCAUGCAGUUGUUAUGGUAUACAAAAUCGAACAUGUUGAGGACUCACAUGCAUAUUUGUAGGAAAAACUAAAAAAAAAUUGUAAUUAUUUCUUACAUCAUUACAUUCAAACCCACACAAAGAAAAUACUCAAAUAAACAUCAUUUUUCUUUAAACAGAAGGAUCCAACUGACGCCAUAAAAUGUAUCUUUUCCUUAUAUUCGCCAAUUAUUGCUCAAAUAGCUGUGCAUGUGCUGUGUAAAUAAGAUUUAGAUAUGGUACAUAGAACUUUGUUAGAUUUAGACCAUAGCUUCAGUGUGAAUGUUGCUGCAAUGGCACAGAAGUAUGAUCGGUUUGGCAUUGUCUGCUUUGCGAUGAUCCACUCCCGUGCACAGGCUCUAUCCUACGGAUCGCCCUAUCGGACAGCUAGCAGUAUAUGUCAUGCCAAAAGCUUCUUGACCAACAUAUGCGCUAGUAAAUCUAAUUACUCUAAAUUAUGAAAAUAUAGUUAUUCUGAAUUAUGAAAAUAUAAUUACCCUAAACUAUAUAUGUACCUUAGAUCGUAGAGGCCACCAUCGAACAGAACUAUAUAGGGAGUAGUUGUGCGGUAGUACUGUUGAGAUGUAGAAGUGGAAAAGCAAUAAUGCAUAACAAAAUCAUAUUCUAUCACACGCUUAGCUUAUACUAUAUAUAUUGGCACACAUUUUCUUUGCAUAUGCACCUGGUAGAUUAAACAAUGGAAGCAAACACAGUAGGGCAAACCAAUUUCAGAUUUUUAUCUCAAAUCAAAAGCCUAGAAAGGGUGAUCCAGGAAAAACAUUAAUCGCUGCAUUGUUGAGAGUCUCAUGUUUCAAUUUCACCAUCCAAUCUCAUAGAAAAAUGUAGGCAGCCGGUGAGGAAUCAGCAGAUGGUUGCCAUGUGCUUCUCGAUAUUUCUUUUCCCUAAUCACCAAAGAACACAUAGGCGAGCCCAGCAGUAACUUGAUAUACAGGAGGCUUCUUUGGUUUGCACCAGUGUAACACGAAAGAACAGAUACGCAGCCGUGAAAGUCGCUGGCUGCAUGAUGGAAGACGCCAACCACAUAUCGUUGAUAUUGAACGCAACGCUUGAAUAUCUUUUUUGACCUCUUCGUUCACCAUAACCUUUCAUAGUGGGAUCCAUCUUUCUUAAGCUUUGACACUUGGAAAUAAUACUUACCAUCAUAUUAAUCAAACCUUGCUGCAUCCACCGAUUUUUUUUCCAACUCAUGCAUGUGAAACCAUGGAUAUUUCAUCAGCAAAAAGUACGAAAAAGGACACAACUAUGCACUAUUAAUUAUGUCUGUGCUCAGACAUACCGCUCUCCUGCAGUAUCCACAAAAGGAAAACCAAGAUUUUCAGUUCUCACGCGCCUGACAAACAUCAUCUAUCUUCUGCUUGCAAUCUUUCCUGAUGAUACAUCAUGUCCGUUGGGGGUAAUAUGAAUUCAAAAGGAUGGAAAAAAGACCUGGAAAGAGGGGAAUUAGGGAUACUGUGCUAAAUUGGGACAGGAGAGGAGAGCAUUAUGCCCUUGAAUGGAAUCCAGGAUGUGAAACGUUGUGCCGCCAUAGCGAUGAUGGCCACAACCAUACUUGCACUAGUAGAAAACAGGGCAUUUGUCCCGGUUCGUAAGGGCCAUUAGUCCCGGUUCAUGAACCGGGACUAAAGGGUCGUUACUAAUGCCUCCCCCCUUUAGUCCCGAUUCUAACACGAACGAACCGGGACAAAAGGUCGCGGCCACGUGAAGCUCCACCUUUAGUCCCGGUUGGUAACACCAACCGGGACUAAAGGAAAUUUUAUGACUUUUUUUUGAUUUUUUUUUAUUUUUUUUUAAUUUUCAAAUUUCCGAAUUAUUUAAACUCUAAUCUCUAAUCACCCCUCAUCAUUCCAAAUCAUCUAACUUCCCGAACGGUCACCCACCCUCCCACUCCCCCAGCCUGAGCACGCUUAACUUUUGGGUUCUAUUCUCCCUCGUUUCCAAGUCUGCACUUGUUGUUUUCCUGACAAUAUUAAUAUGUCAAUCCUAUUAACCUUCAGGAAUUUUGCUUGAGCAUGAAGUGACACAUUUCACUGUUUGAGUUUGAAACUAUUGUUUUAAAAAACAAUAAUUAUUUGAUAACACUAAUAUUUCUUGAAUAAUUAGUUUGACCAUUGUUUGACCACUGUUUGACCACAGUUUGACCACAGUUUGACCAGAUUUGACCAAAAUUCAAAAUAACUGAAAUAAUUAUUUAGUAACACUAAUAUUCUAGAUUAAUUAGUCUGACCAUUGUUUGACCAUAGUUUGAAUUGUUUUCGAUUUUUUUCACUCUACAUCUUAAAAGCCCCGUAUCUUUUUUCUGUUAGGUUUUUGAGGAUUUUGAAAAUGUUUAACGGGGUUCCCCCGGUUAAAUUUGGAUGUAACUUUUCGAGUAGAUGAUUUUUUAUAUAAAAAACUUUUUCAUCCGAGUUAGUAUGCAAAAGUUAUCCAUUUUACUAAAUUCUAGAGAGAUUUUGCAAAUAAAGUCGAAAUUCACAUUUGCAAAUUUUCCCAACAACUAGACCACGUAUCACAUGGAAACUUGCUUUUUUUAUUAUUUUUUUGACAUUUUCAUCAUUUUCUUUUAUUUUUUUAAAACUGAAAAGGCGAUCCAGGGGGUGGAGUUUGAAAAUGGGACCUUUAGUACCGGUUCGUGCCAUGAACCGGUACUAAUGCCUCAAACCCCAUUAGUACCGGUUGGUGGCUCGAACCGGGACUAAAGAUCUAACCUUUAGUACCGGUUGGUGCCACGAACCGGUACUAAUGGGCAUCGCACACUUUAGUCCCGGUUCGUGGCACCAACCGGGACUAAAGGGUCCAGACGAACCGGGACAAAUGGCCCACGUGGCCUCUGGGCGCACGAACCGGGAUUAGUGCCCCCAUUAGUCCCGGUUCUAGACUGAACCGGGACUAAUGGGCUAAACCGGCCUGGACCAAAGCCCUCUUUUCUACUAGUGUUGCUUCAAAGAGGAACAUCAGUACCGUACCUCCUCCAAGCCUCGAGCAAGCAACACAAUAUUGUACAGGAGGCCCCAUGCCAGCGGUAGGGGCCGAUCGCCGUUCAAUUCCUGCAGAGGGCCUCUCAUCCUUCUAGUACUGAAUAUGCUAGCAGUCGACUAAAAUAGAUGAUUGAGCUGAUAGUGUUAUCAUUGCCAUCUGUAAUCGAUAUUGAAUACCUCCUCUUGCAUGCUAGAUCUAAACAUAAAAUUUAGCUCAACUGUACACAUCUGUUUUGACUCGACAGUAAGGAACCAUAAUAUUGCAACCCUGAGGAACAAAGCAAUGGAUGAGUACUUGACAACAAUUUAGCUCAAGUGUACAGCUAAAAAUUUAAUUAUGAAGGACAAAAUUGGUUGCGACAAAAUCAGUCACUUGACAACAAUUAUCACAUUUGUCUAUGAAUAUUUGAACCUAUGGUCUUUGUUGCGCCCUGGUCGGAUGGAUUAAAAAACGCAACCAUCUAGUACAUAGGGAGAUUGUGCAUAUUUCUUACCUCUAAUAAUCUAAUCAAGGCAGUAGAGGAGGAUUAUGUGCCCUGUGUAACAGGAACACGCAUCAGUCGGAGUAGGAUCCAGGAGGCCAUUAUUGAACCAAUUUUCACAUAUCACCAGCUAAUGAAAAAUAAUUUACAAAUAGUAACUCUCAUCGAAUGGAAAUAAUAUCAUGCAUGGUACUUAAGCCAGCCGUACCUGAAACUUGAUGAAUCUAAUAUUUGUUCAAGGAAGUGUCUCACGGCCUUUAACUAAAACUAACAAUUUACAGUUGACAGUGAUCUAGUUUCAUGAAACUAUAAUUAUUAGAAGUCACCAGAUGUCUGCCUCUCUUCGAUUUCUGCAAGUAGCACCUAGGUGAGCUCACCAAAUCACCCCAUGUUGCUUUAAGUAGGUAGAAAUUUGGCAGAUACACAAAUAUUAGUACGAUAUCCAUUAAUUCUAAUAAUUGAUAAAGAAGGACACUCCUCUCAUGUGUGUGUGUGUCUGUGUGUUUGGUGCUGUGUAUUUCGAUGUGAGAUCAGUAAUUCCAACUCCCUACAAUUAAGAUAUGAAUAGUCAGUGGAAACUUACCAUUGGAAACCAUGGCUUGGGGAGCAUGUUCAGACCUGCAAGUUGCUGCUCUCAAUCUAUUGCCCAUGUAUAUGGAUGAUUAUUAAUCUGCUCAUAUGUUUACACCUCCAGACAUUGCCACCGCAGGGAUUAUUAACAUGAACACAACCAUCAUCGCCAUUAAGUUAGCAAAAUAGAUCAACAUACUUGUCGCCAUGGCGGGUAGGAAAAGUUUCACGUGUGAUGUUCUCUAUUGAUAUCACGUAAUCCUUGUAACUAACAGUCAAACGACAUGCUAGGCAAUCACAAAGGGAAACGUUUCAGGCCGGGGAACCGGCCGAACCUUCGGCCGGUCGCGAGCCACGCUGCACUAGUAGAAAAGAGGGCUUUGGUCCAUCCCGGGUUAGCCCAUUAGUCCCGGUUCAGUCUAGAACCAGGACUAAUGGGGGCAUUAGUCCCGGUUCGUGCGCCCAGGGGCCACGUGGGUCAUUUGUCCCGGUUCGUCUAGACCUUUUAGUCCCCGUUGGUGCCACGAACCGGGACUAAAGGGUGCGAUGCCCAUUAGUCCCGGUUCGUGGCACCAACCGGGACUAAAGGGUUAGACCUUUAAUCCCGGUUCGUGCCACCAACCGGUACUAAUGGGGUUUGAGGCAUUAGUACUGGUUCAUGGCACGAANNNNNNNNNNNNNNNNNNNNNNNNNNNNNNNNNNNNNNNNNNNNNNNNNNNNNNNNNNNNNNNNNNNNNNNNNNNNNNNNNNNNNNNNNNNNNNNNNNNNNNNNNNNNNNNNNNNNNNNNNNNNNNNNNNNNNNNNNNNNNNNNNNNNNNNNNNNNNNNNNNNNNNNNNNNNNNNNNNNNNNNNNNNNNNNNNNNNNNNNNNNNNNNNNNNNNNNNNNNNNNNNNNNNNNNNNNNNNNNNNNNNNNNNNNNNNNNNNNNNNNNNNNNNNNNNNNNNNNNNNNNNNNNNNNNNNNNNNNNNNNNNNNNNNNNNNNNNNNNNNNNNNNNNNNNGCCUUUUCAGUUAAAAAAAAUAAAAGAAAAUGAUGAAAAUGUCAAAAAAUAAAAGAAAAUAAGUUUCCCAUGUGAUAUGUGGUCUAGUUGUUGGGAAAAUUUACAAAUAUGAAUUUCGACUUUAUUUGCAAAAUCUCUCUAGAAUUUAGUAAAAAUGGGCAUAACUUUUGCAUACUGACUCGGAUGAAAAAGUUUUUUAUAUGAAAAAUCAUCUACUCGAAAAGUUACAUCCAAAUUUAACGGGGGAACCCCGUUAAACAUUUUCAAAAUCUUCAAAAACCUAACAGAAAAAAGUUACGGGGCUUUUAAGAUCUAGAGUGGAAAAAAUCGAAAACAAUGCAAACUGUGGUCAAACAAUGGUCAAACAAUGGUCAAACUAAUUAUUCUAGAAUAUUAGUGUUACUAAAUAAUUAUUUCAGUUAUUUUGAAUUUUGGUCAAAUCUGGUCAAACUGUGGUCAAACAAUGGUCAAACUAAUUAUUCAGGAAAUAUUAGUGUUACUAAAUAAUUAUUGUUUUUUAAAACAGUAGUUUUAAACUCAAACAGUGAAAUGUGUCACUUCAUGCUCAUGCAAAAUUCCUGAGGGUUAAUAGGAUUGACAUCUUACUAUUGUCAGCAAAACAACAAGUGCAGACUUGGAAACGAGGGAGAAUAGAACCCGGAAGUUAAGCGUGCUCAGGCUGGGGGAGUGGGAGGAUGGGUGACCGUUCGGAAAGUUAGAUGAUUAGGAAUGAUGUGGGGUGAUUAGAGAUUAGAGGAUAAAUUGAGCAGUGAUGAGGGGUGGUGAUUAAAGAUUAGAGGUUAAAAAAAUUCAGAAAUUUGAAAAUAAAAAAUUUCAAAAAAAAAUUUCAAAAAAAAAAAUCAUAAAAUUUCCUUUAGUCCCGGUUGGUGUUACCAACCGGGACUAAAGGUGGAGCUCCACGUGGCCGCGACCUUUAGUCCCGGUUCCAGUUUGAACCGGGACUAAAGGAGGGAGGCAUUAGUAACGACCCUUUAGUCCCGGUUCAAGAACCGGAAAUAAAGGCCCUUACGAACCGGGACUAAUGCCCCCUUUUCUACUAGUGCUGGCGCCCCGCGCCAGCGCCCCGCGCGAGACUCCUGUUAUUGUUGGGCCCCACGUGGACCACCCCUCCUCCCUUUUUUAUCUUUCCCCUAACUGCUGCCUUCAUCCCCUACCUCCAGACACAUCCUUUCCCGUGGCCAUUUUUCUUCUUCCUUUUCCCUGCGCUGCUGCCUACCGGCGGCCGCUGCCGGCCGUGUGCUUCGCCGAGCCAGGGGGACUACCCGACUGCUGCUAGUCCUCCUCCUCCGCACAUCUUAUCCCCCAAAACAUCUCUCCUUCUCUCUCAAAUAAGCCAUGGUUCCAGACGAGACAAGGUCUGGGAAGGAGGCUGCAACCGGUGCCCGGGGAGCCUGCGAACGGCCAUGAGACGACGAGCAUGGUGACCUCAGGACGGCGAGGAUAGGGCAACGCUCCUCCAAGAAAACAAUCGAUGUCGUUAUUUUUUCUACAUGCUUCAACCUGCGUCGGAAUUUGCUACAAACGGCAUCCCAUACUGCUGCCACCGGUGUCACAUUUUUCUGCAAUACAGAAUCGACCUCGAAUCGAUGUCACUUUUUGCUACAACCGUUUUCAUUUUUUGCUACAUAUGUUCAGGCUGAGUUGUGACCCGACGACGGCGGCGAUGACUUUUUGGCUGCAACCGUAAUAGACUUUUGGUACAUCCAGCAACAAUUUUUGCUACAUCCAUUCUUUUUUUGCCGGCAACGAUCCAAUGGCGAGAUACAGCCGCCGGCGAUGAUGACAAGUUUUUCCGCCGGAUAAGCUGCAACGGGCAUCGUCAAAAGCUGGAACCAACCAUCAGCAGAGGUGCAUCUACUGUGGGUGGUGUCCCGGCAACCAUAUCGGGCACCUCUCGCAGAGCUCGACGCCCAUGGCCAUGGCGACAGCCCUCGCGGAGCUCGACGCCCAUGGCCAUGGCAGCACCCCUCGUGGAGCUUGAUGCCGAUGGCCAUGGCAGCACCCCUCGCGGAGCUCGACGCCCAUGGCCACGGUAGCAUCCCUCGCGGAGCUCGACUCCCAUGGCCAUGGCGUGCCCUAGCAGCCACGGCGGCAUCCCUCGAGCGGAGCUCGACGAACAUGGCCGUCGUGUCCAUCACCAGGCGUGGAAUCAUGCAUCUCGCGGGUCACAGGGGGGCGCGCGUUCCGCGCGAGGAAGGAGACGAGUUUGGGGGAGAAUCGAACGGUUACAAGCGCGCAAAUCUUACGGCUACCAAACGACCGGACAAACUUUCGGCCAGUGCGCCAGCGCCUAUCGUUGCCCAAUCACAAAAGACAAUCUGGAGGAAGGCAGCCGCUUGCACUGCUGGGGAGAGGGUCUAGAAAAUAUAGAACUUUCCCCCAAAAUAAGAAUCUCCUGAAAAAAACAGAGCAGGAGUAGAUGAUGAACCGCCGCCGACAUGUACCUGCCUUUACCUUCUCGCAUGUGCGCCCUCGAAUAUCAAUGGCGCACCGGCAUGUGCGCCCUCCUUCAAACUACCAUGGAUACACAUCCACAUAUGCAUAGGCCAUCUAGGAUUCAGAAACCUGAAAUAAAAGGAGAUAUCAAAACUCAAGUGGAAGGGCAAUGAGUAGAGAUUGAAUUGGUUCAUUUUCUUCUAGAUGGACUGCAUCAGGGAUCGUACCUUGCAGUAUAUAGGAGAACAUGGAGAGGCGGCAGAGGAGGAGGAGUGGCGCUGGCAGAAGAGAUGCGGCCAUGCGGGGAAACCUGUUUUUUCUUUGGGUUUCCAUACGAAGACCUAUUUUUUCUUGUAAAGAGAUGUACCUGUGGGAUAAUUUGCUAGGACUCUCAGGGAUUUCAUCUAACGGCUGCAGAUAUUUCAUACUGAUAUCUGAUGAUUAAUUUUAUUAGUUUUAUAUAGGAUUAACGUGACCCUUUUAUUUGGGUUCCACACAAAGAAUUAUUUUUCUUGUAAGGAGACAUACGUGUGGGAUAAUUUGCUAGGACUCUCUUAUCGAUUUCAUCCAACGGCUGUAGAUAUUUUAUACUGAGAUCAGAUGGUUAUUUUUGUUAGUUUUGUAGGAUUAACGUGAUGCCUCGUUUGGUGCCUUCAAUUAGUAAAUAUAUAUAAAAUAAGAUAUAAAAUAUAAGUUAAGAUUGUGAGGUACUAAAAUUAUUAUUUUUUGAAAGGAAAAGUUGAAACAGACGCUCACUUCCAUGAACACGUGGACACACAACCGGUGGCUCCAUGCAUGCAUGCAUGAUACAUCGCACGCAGUACGCAAGCGGGCUGUUGCCAAGCUAACUAAUGGCGCCCGGCCGACAACACAGUACAGCUAGUAGAGCACUCGCUGCCAAACGCCUACGUGAGAGACCCUCGUGAGCCCAGCUAUACAACCUCCUCUCCUCCACCCAUCCUCGUUCACUCCGCAUCUGCAGCCGAAUUCCCCCGUCUGCACCGCUCAGUCCCCCGGACAGCCGGACCUCUCCUCGCCUUGCCAUGGCAGCCGCAGCACUGAGGGCGCAGCUGAACGCCCAUAUCGCCGGCAUGUACACCAAUGUGAGGCCCUUCCCCUCCCCUCUAGUCGUGUGGUAUUGGAUUUUGGCUUGGCUGGACGACUAACUUGGCCUUUGCCUUUGCUUUGGCGUGGUCGAUGUCGAUGCAGGGUGUGGUGGACGAGGAUACAUUCGAGGAGCUGCGGGACGAGGGCACCGCCGCCGAGGUCUCCCGCCUCUUCAUCUACGACGCCUCCGAGAUCAUCGACGACAUCGACCUCCAGAUGUCCGCCCCCACGCCCUCUGUCAUCUCUCCGUCUGCUCUCUGUCUCGGGAACUGACUCAUCUUAAUUAUCUGCUCUGGAAAUCGCAGGGAGGAGCCUGAAUUGGACUUUGACGAGGUGGAAGCCCUGACGCAGCAGCUCAUGCGGUGCACCUCCAGGUGAUGACUAUCAUAAACCAUUUCUCUCUCUUCCACCUGCUUAUUUUUAACUCUAUGUUUGUUUGCCCGCUGCGUCAAUGUCGUGCGAUUCGGAUCUGUUUAUACUGGGCAAAGGAUUCUUAUUUGUCGGUUGCACUACCCCAUAGGCGUAAUUAGAAGAAUCAAGUUUAGUCGAGUUUAGUGUAACAGAGUUACCAGUAUCCCGAUUAAUAUCAUUGUUAUGAUGAGGAUAAAUUGCUGGCAUUUUUGGAAUAGUCUUGGUAUUAAUGAUCUGCUAUUCUGUGUAUUGCUAAUGGUGGUUUUUCUGGUAUUAAUGAUCUGCUAUUCUAUGUAUCUCUAAUGGUGUUUUUUCUAGUUUGUCCACAGCUUUGAUGUUGUUUUUUCAUUUUGAUGUGUCGGCACGGGGUGUGUACCUCAUGACACGGCCAGACAAUUGAGGUUUGUGUCGUUUUACAGGCGUCGUAUAGCCAUAGGUAGAAGAGCUGAGUUUAGUCAUAUAUCGUGUAACGAAAUUGUUGGUAUUCUUCCCAAUGUUAAUCAAAUCGUAUAGCUUGGCGAGGGGAAUUUUUGUCGUUUUGCAAACGUUUGUUCUACUAUCAUGUCUGUUCUUCGGGCAAUGCCAUUAUUCUAGGUUGAGAAUGAAAAAAAUUGUCGUUUUAUAAGCAUGGCUGGUAUUAAUGAUUUGCAAUUCUACAUAAUGCCAGUGGCCAUGUUUCACCAUUGGAACGGUGUUGUUUCUAUUCAGAUUUGUCAGGCGCAGGGUGUGUACGUCAUGGACGUCAUUUGGGUGUCGUAUAUCCAAAAUUAGAAGACCUCAUUGUAGUUGUGUGUCGUGUAGCGGAAUUGUCGGUAUUCAUGACAAUUUCAUGGUCCGGCAAGAAAAACUUUGUCAUUUUCUAAAUAUUUCUGGUACUACUGAUCUGCUAUUGCACAUAGCGGCAAUGGUGUUUUUUUUUCUGCUUCAUCAAACAAUUUAUGGAGUUGACAAUCAUGAUAGGAAAUGGCUCCUUGAGAAUAUUAUUGAGUUGACGUCUCAGUUUAUAAUAAGUUUGAUAAGUUCCUAGUUUUCUGAUCUGCAUUUUUUUUGCAUGUUUCAGUGUUGGUGCACAGCAAGUGAACCUCGCCUGCAUGCACUUCGGCAAUUUCUAUGCCAUACAAUACAAACAAGGGUCAAAACUUAGUAGCUUAUUUAAUACUGCUACACAAUAAUUAUUCGCAACAUUGUUUUUCAAGGUCUCUAUGUAAACCUGACAGCUCAUGUUGUCUUUUCUGUCGUUAUUUUCAGCUCAUAUACCAAUCUAACAUUGUUAAGAAGUAUCCUGAUUUGCUUUUUCACUUCAUCUGCAAUCACGUUAUUGAUAUUACUCGGUUCACUAUCUGAAUAUGCUACUCUUUGAUGGUUCUCUUGUAAUUUAUUGGCUCUAGACUUUUGUUUAUAGCACAACUAAAUUCUUAUAUGGCUAGAGAUUUUUCUUUUUGGAAAUAUAGGGUUACAAUUUUUGAACCAUUUCAUCUCAGUUCUGUUAACCUCUUCAGAAUUUGACAAUGUGGUAAUUUUGCAUUAUUUCAGGUCUCUCGUGUCAUUGGCUCUUGUUAGGAAUGAGUUCUAUAUUGUGCGACAUGAGUUGGAGAUCGUGAUGCAGGUAGCACCGUAUGUGCAUAAUGUUGGAUGUUGAUACCAACUUUCCACUAGUUUCAUAACCCAUAGAUUGGUCAUAUUAAGAUAGAGAAAUGGGAACAAUCUUUAAUCCUUAAUCUAAUUCUUUUGACAUUUAGAUUUGGAGCACUUAGUUUGAGGUACCGAAAAGUCUCCUUUAGCCGUUAAAUGAUUAUGUGGUAAUUUUGUCAUCAUGUUCGGUAGAUGCAUAGGGUAGCUAAAAAAAGUGGGAGAAAUUCUCUGUUUCCCAGCUUAAAUUAAGCUUCACCAAAUACCCAAAUAAGAAACUAGCUAACUUGUAACAUGGUGAUUAGUGAAACCAUGUGACUUGAGCACCAUUAUGUGCCAUAGACUUAUCUUAAUCAUUUUUCGGAAGGUACUUCUCUUAAUCAUUGACCUGUUAUUCAUAUUUUGUUGCAGCUCGAAGAGCAGAUCGCGGCAUGUGGUCCUGACUCCUAAGUAGCGGCAAGUGAAGGGGGAAGAGCCUGGCCCCAUGCAAUCCCUUGCAUUAUGCGGUCCAUGUGUCUUGGAAGAUGUAGCCAUUUUCAAAGGGUGUCUAGCACUAUAGGGUGCGCGUAAAACUUAGAUGAAUAUUCUCGCUUCGGAACUUUGGGCUCGUAACCCUGUGAAAGAAAACUGUUGUCGUGUGUUGAUGUCAGUGUGAAGUCUAUAUUCUAGAGUGUCGUGGAUGUGUUGGCCCCCGCCUACAGGCUGUUUAUAAAACAUAUACUUGGUUGGUUGGUCCUCUAGUGACUUUGUUUUGCUGUUUCUUCUGUUUGUUUUUCUCUAUAAGCAAGUCUUGUUGUUGGUUGUUGUACCUAGAGUUUAGCCAAUCACCAUAUUUGGGCAUAUUAAACAUGUCGUUUCGGUCUGAAAUUUCAGCAUGGCCUUCUUAUAAGAGUACGACGGCACUUCCACGAGCAGUAGCCGGAGGAGGGGAAAAACAGAG